GUAUAAUGUCACGAGAGCUAGUACCGUUGCCAAGCAGUAAUUAGUAAUGCUGAGUCUAGAAUAGGAAACGGAUCCAGGAGUCGAAAGAGAGAAAAAAUACUGAAGUUCGAGUGUCCGUAUGGAAACAGCAACUAAAAGCAUGUAACAGGUCCCAAACAAGGAAAGUGUUAUGAGAAUAAACAAGCAGAUUGAACGGCUGGGUAGGAGAUAGGCAGUUAAAACAGUUGCUGCCCAAAAGGUUAAAGUGUUGUAUAACCAAAACAUUGUGGACACGUCUAGUAUAUUUUUUAAAUCUUCUUUUUCAGCGGGUGGAGGACUUGGUACGGGUCCAGUGCUGGUUGAACCUAAAGAUGCGUCAUACAUGAGAUGGAAAUUCUGGGAAUUUGAAAUGGUAUCAGGCUGCUUUGGAGGGUUCAAAGUGGCAGUAUAUGUGGCUGUUAUAAUUAGCACUGUGACUACUAAAAAUGUGUUACGCAUCUCAUAUGGGAUUCCCUUCUUUCCACGACUUGCUAUUGUUGCAAAAUUUUGAAGAACUGACACCUUUCCUUUUAAAUAUGCGAUGUGGAAUGAAGAGAUGGAGGUUUUGGGAAGCGAGGAAGAGGAACCACUCAAACCUCCUGCUUUGCUUAUCAUGUCUUUAAUGGACUCCUUAUAGUCCACUUUCUCUUCAUCCAAUGUGUAUUGUGAUGGGAUAUCAAGUGCAGUCAAUCCCUCCGCAUUUUUGGCAUUGAUAUGGUCACCACACAAGCGUUCCAGCAGUACUUUUACCACCUGUUAAUUAGAAUAUUCAUACAAGUAACCUUUGAGUAUAUAUAUACAUAAAAAAUUUCACUAGCAAAAUUAUCAUACCUGAGGUCUAUUUCUGAUAGCAGCAACAUGUAAAACAGUGUUGCCAUCAAUGUCUGCCCAACUCAGUAGUUCUUUCUCCCAACGGCUGGCAGCUUUAUGGCGGCUCCUUAUAAGCCACCCCACCAAGACUUGGAAAGCUUCAAACCUGUCAUUUUUUACGGCAAGAUGGAAAACCGUCUCAUCUCGAACAGUCAUAUCUUCAAUAGCCUCGGGGCAAACCUCAAGGAACUUGAUCAAAAAAUCAACAUUUCCAUUUUGAACCACAUCAUGCAAAGGAGUCAAGCCCUCCCGCCCUUUGACACGAGCAAGGCCUUCAUCAAACCUGAGGAGUCGAAGCACUGUUUGAGUUUUUUGAUUUUGCAGAGCCAAGUGCAUGGGGCUAAACCCAGCUUGGUUUAGCUUUCUUGCAAACGAUGGCUUUAAGUUGAUCAUCUCCAUCAUAAAAUCAAUAUGCCCUGCAGAGGCUGCUACAUGCAAAGGAGUAUGGAAAAAAGGUACAUCAUCGAUACGCUGUAAAGCAUAUGGAUCAUUCAGAAUUAACUCAUACAAGAUGUUUAUGUCUCCUGUUUGUGCAGCCCCCUUCAUCCUCUCAUCCAUAGCAAGGUGCGGAAAUUUGCAGAAUAUAGAAAUGGAGUGAAGAAAAAACGCUUUAGCAGAGGAUAUGAUUAUGUUAAGGAUACAAUGAAGUGUUUGAUUAUUUUUUCCAGAUGAAGUGUUUGACAUUUUAUAGCACUUUAAUUAUUUUGGAUUUAUAUGUGAUGUCAGCCUCUACACGUAUACAGGUGAAUUGUUGCCUAUUAGAAAGAAAUAGUAAUUAAAUUCAUAUUUAAUAUAUAUUUUUAAUCUAAUUUUUUUAAUUCAAUUUAAUUUUAGUUAAAACGUUUAAAAACAUUUAUUUAAUCUAAUUUCUUUAAUAUAUUAAAUAAAAUAGAUUAGAGAAUAUAUUGAAUAUGGAUGAAUACUAUAUCAUACUAAUUUUAUGUCUCUAAAAAUUAAUAAGGUGUUAUUAUUUUAUUGGUGCUUAAAAAUUUAAAAUAUUUAGAAUCAUUCUAAUAUAAGUUAUUCUUUUAAUAAUAAUAUUUGGUACUUCCACGACAAGUUCAAUGGUUGACAAAUAUCUUAUAAAAGUAUUAUAAAAUAUUUAAAAAAUAUAUUAUUUAGUGACUUAAUUUUUUAAGAACAUUUGAUAAUUCAUAAAGAAAAUAAAUAAUAUUUUUUUUCCAAUAAAAAAGGUGGGAAAAAUGAUAAGUAGAUAAGAGCUACCAUCACUUACAACAUGUUUGGACUAAAAAGAAGAAAAAAGGAGGGAAAAUUAAGUAAAAUGAGUAAAGAAAAUUUGGUUUUUUUUGUUUAAGUUAAGUAAAGUUGUUUAUUUUUUAUCGUAUUAUUAGAUUUUAUUUUUUAGAUUAUUAUCUCUUUUUCUUCUUUUGUUGACUCUUUUUCAUUAGUUUGUUAUUUCUCUAUGAAUCAGUAUCCCAACCAACUCAAUUUUGUUCAGGUAACCAUGUCUAUAUGUUUAAAAGCAUUAAUGCACUAAUCGAAAUCUGAACGUAAUAACUGUUCUCACAUUGAGGUAUAGAAGGUUCUUUUGGUGAAAAGAUGAAGCAUUGCAAAAAAAAAUUGAAUAAGAUAUUUUGAAAGAAAGCGGAGAGGAAGACUAAAACAUAUUUAGUAACAUUAAGCAUCGUACAAGUAAAAAAAAAUAAAGUAAAUAAUUUUAAAACACAAAAUUAUAACUUUAAAAAAGAUAAAACUCACAAUAAAAUAUUUUUUUUAUAAUUUUUAUACUGUUUAAUAUAACUUUAAUAGUUUUUAAUUUUUAAAAAUAAUUUUAUAUUUUUUGAAUUUUUUAAAUUAAAAAAUAAAUUAAUUGCUUACAUGACAAUUUAAUGUAUGUCAUGUCAACAAAGUUAACAAACGCUAACUUUUCUAUUCAUUUUGGGGCGAUUUGAUAAACCAACUUAGUUUAGCUUUCUAGCAAACGACGACUUUAAGUUCAUCUCCAUCAUAAACUCAAAAUGCCCUGCAAAGGCUGCUACGUGCAAUGGGGUAUCAAGAAAAGGAACAUGAUCAAUACGCUCUAAAACAUAUUGAUCAUUCUGAGUCAACUCAUAUAAGACGUUAAUAUGUCCUUGUGCAGUCUUUCUCAUCGUCUCAUCCACGGCAAGGUGUGUGUGUGUUGGGGGGAGAGGAUGAAAUAUGCCGGAACAUAAGAGUCCAACCAAUUGAGAAGGUACACAUAUAUUGAAAGGACCGAUGAAAUCUUAGACCGCACAAAACGGAAGCUAAAGGAUUGAUGAAAGAACGCUUUAGCAGAAGGAUAAUAUUGAAGUGUUUGAUUUUUCUUCUUCUUGUUAUAAUGUUUGACGUUUUGUUUGAUACCAAAUCCCACUUGUUAAAAAAUAUACAAUAAUUAUAUAUUUUUUUAAUGAUUUUUUAGAUAUUAAAUAAAUGGUAACACGUCAUAAUAAAACUCUAAAACUAGAUGCAUUUAAUUUUAAUAUAAAUAUUAUAUCAAUGUAUCAAUAUGGUUGACUUAAAUACAAAUAGUUGAUUAAUUAAUAAAAAAUAUUUAUUGAAUUAUUUAAAUAUUAUCUAAACUAAUUUAAUUUUUAAUUUUCAACCCUAUAAAACAUUUCACCAUCAUUUUUAACAAUAAUACCUAAUAUUUUAAAUUAACAAACCACAACCUUUUAAAUAUUAAUUAUCUUGAAAUUCAACUUUUUAGAAGUUAUUUUUUAACCGUCAACAACGUCAAACUGGCACUAAAGUCUUCCACUCACACUUGUAAAUUAAUAAAAGGACUCCGGUAAUCAAGGGACUUGAGAAUUUAAUCCAGUAUGAAUCUCCGUCACUCACGUAUUUGCUGUCAAUAGUGAUGGAUGAAUACGAAUUUUGUCCCAUAUACUGCUUGGAUUUAUAACCCCAAGCAAUGCAAGUGGUAAUAUUGUAGGGAUUUUCAACAUUAUCAUAAAUUUUAGGGAGGAAUUAAGUGAAUUCAGAGACGAAAUUAGAUGCCCAUUGAGUUUUGUUCAAAUCUAGGGAUUUCAUCGUCAUAUAGGGUCGAUUUUGAUAGCUAUUUUUAGCAACAACUUGAUUUAAUUAAUUAAAUUAAUUAUGAUUAGUUAAGUUUAAUUUAAGUAUAAAAGUUAAAAUUAAAUGAAAAGCAAAACAUUUUUCUCUUCAUCUUCUUCUCCACUGUUUCUAGGGUUUUGGAGCUUUCUACUUUAGCCCUCAAUUUGGUAAAUAAUUUCAAGUUUUUUUUAUUAUAAAUUUGAGCUUGAUUUGAUUUAACUAAACCAUAUUCUAUUUUUGCAAAACCGUUAAAAUUUUCAAACAGGAAAUGUUGAUCUUUUGAUCAAGUUACUUAAGGUUUGUCCUGAGGCUAUUGCAGAUGUGACUGUUCGAGAUGAGACAAUAUUCCAUCUUGCUGUGAAAAACGACAUGUUUGAAGCUUCCAAGUCUUGGUGGGGUGCUUAUGAGAAGCUUCCAUGAGCCUGCCCAAUGGAAGAAAUAACUGCUGAGUUGGCCAGACAUCGAUGGCAACACUGUUUUACACAUUGCAACUAUUAGAAACAGACCUUGGGUAUAUGCUCAUUUUUGUCAUUAAGUCAGUUACUGAUGUGCAUAUAUGCAUGAUAAAAGGGUUACUUAUAGGAAUAUUCUAAUUGAUAGGUGGCAAAACUAUUGCUGAAACACAUGCCGUGACCAAAUCAAUGCCAAAAAUUUGGAGGGAUUGACAGCACUAGAUAUCCAAUCUCAGUACCCAUGGAAUGAAAGGCAAGCAGAUAGGAUUAUAGAUGCUAAGAAAAGCAGGAGGUUUGAGUGGUUCCUCUUCCUCACUUCCAAUACCUUCAUCCCUUCAUUCCUAAUCGAAUCUUUAAAAGACAAGAUGCACGGUCUCAAAAAUGGGCAACUUCUGAAUUUCCACAAUACUUACAUUAAGAGUUCUUAUCAGAAUUUCCAGCACCACUACCACCACUACCUUUUGCAGCAACUUCUGAUCCACUACUGGCACCACUCUUCUUCCCUUUCCACUUCUAGUCCUUUCCUUCUUCACCCUGCUACAUCUUAGCCUUCAAUGCUUCCUUCCUGCCUCAUUAGUCUCUUCUACUACUGUGCUUGUAAAGCACUGAUCAACUCGACUACUCUCAGUUGAGUCAAGUCAUUUGUGUUCUCCAAAGAAGUAAUUGUUCCUUCAUACUUCUCAAGCACAGAGAUUAGUAUUUUCUACAUUAGUCUACAAUCAGAGAGAUUAGUCACUACAACAAAAUAGACUUUUAGCGGCAUUUUUAAGCGCCGCUAAAAGUAUUAGCAGCACUUUAACAAGUGCCGCAAAAAACGCCGCUAUAGACAACGCUGCUAAUUUUAGCGGUGUUUAUGUGAAAAAACACUGCUAAAGAUCAUGACCUUUAGCGGCGCUUCUACCACAAACGCCACUAUAAAGAAUGACUUUCAUGAUUUUUAAAAAAAAUAUUUUAAUUAAAUAAUAUUUAUUUCUAUGAUAAAUAUUAUAUUAUGUUUUAUUUUUGAAAUUUAAACUUUAAACUAUAUGCUUUUAAGGAUAAAAAAUAUUAAAUAAAUUAAAAUUUCUAUUAAAAUUUUAACUUUAAAGCUAAAUAUAAAAAUUAAUGAAUUUAAAUUUAGAAUUAAAAUAUUAUGUUUAAAUAAAUGAGCAAUCUACCUCACAGCUCAUCUGAUCUAUAUUAACUCGGCCAAAUAUAAAAGAAGCUACAAAACACGUAAUAAUUAACAAUCAUGGUUAAAGAAGCUAGUACACAAGGUAGCUACAAAACCCUGUUUCAAUAACACCAAAUUCAAGUUCCGACUAAGAUAAAAGACCAUGACGAUGUGCUUGUUUCCUUCUAUAUAUCUUUGGAAGAAUUCCUUCAAGAAAUCAUCCAUGGAAGUCACUCCACCUGCAGUCAAUAUUAAAAGAUAAACAGUGUCAUCAUCUUGAAAUAAGUAUCUUAUUGAGCUCUUUUGAAUCAAAUAACAUAAAUCUUCUAGCAAAAAGAAACAAAUACAUAAUCUAUAAUGCAAGUAGCUUAGGAAUCAUUGAUAAUUCCCAAAUACCAAAUAAUAUAUGAAGAUUAUAUUUUGACGAUUAAAGAAAAUAUGUAGAGAGGGUUCUUCUCAAGACAUCAUUUUGAUUGAAAAGCAAAUCAGUAAAUCUGGAAGAUAGGAUACAAAUCUAAAAAGAUUUCAGCAAUUGCUAAUACUUAAUAUAAAUGAAUAGAAUUCAUAAACAGGCUGAAAAAAAUGCCGCGAAUGCUCAUUUUUAGCGGCGUUUUUUCAAAAAUUGCCGCAAAUGCUCAAUCUUUAGUGGCGAUUUCCAUAAAGCGCUGCUAAUGCUCAAUUUUUAUCGGUGUUUUUUGUCCAAGUGCUGCUAAAAGCCUAUUUUGGUGUAGUGAGUCCCGAAACCCUUACCUUAUUAGCAAUAUCUAUCAACUUGUUUGAGUAUUCUUUGAUUGACUCAAAAUCUUUUAUUUGUAGCCUAUCGAAUUCCCUGGUCAAGUUCAACACCUUCAUGAUCUAGAACCUCUUAUCUCCUUGAUACUCAACCUUGAGGUAGUAUCUCCUUUAUUGAUCCAAAAAUAAUAAUUCUAUUGAAUAUGGCUAGUGAAACAACAACAUAAAGGCAAACCUUUACAUUUGCUUUCCAAGUGGUUCUUUCUUUGUGCAGUUUGAUCUGGUUCAUAGUUGGAUUUUUGGAAAGUGAAACCACCUCAUAGUCUUCCUCGAUAACUUCCCAAUAAUCACAACCAUCCAUGUAUGCUUGCAUUCUCAUAGCCUAUGCUUGAUAGUUCUUUCCAUCAAACACAUGUGGGGUUAAGACAGACAAAUUGCUUGAUCUUGAUUCCAUUUUUCUCAAUUCCUUACAAGUGUAUCUCUCAAUUUUUGUCUUAGGAUUCUCAUAAGGCCUCUCUCACAGGUCCCUCAAGAAAAAGAGGCUCUCGAUACCACUAUUGUUUCAAUGGAGAACUAACUAAAGGCACAAAAAUUGAAAAUGGAGAAAGUUGAUUAAAAUUUAUUAACCAAGCAAUGCUUAUUUACAUGACUCAAGCAAUGCUUAUUAAAUCAAAUUUUUAUUAUUUUUGGGGGCCAAAGUGUAAUUUUACCAUUACUAAUUUAGAAUUUUAUAAAUUAUAAAGGGUCUAACUGAAAAUUUUUCUAUUUCAGGAGGGCCGAGGGCCCUGCCACCCCCCCUUGGCUUCGCCACUGAUAUUAGUUCUCGUGGUAUUAUACUAGAUAGCCAGUUAUAUACUAUAUAGGUUUGUACCCAAAAGAAAAAUAUCUUCCUCCUUAUGGCAUACUAGUUCAUAUGCUUUUAUUUUUAAGAAUUUAAACUAUCCUUAAUCAUAUAGUCCGCUAUAUCAUUCAGUCAUCACUCUCUUCACCGCUCAUUUAUCUUGUUUUUUAUUUGAUUUAAGAUUUCGUACAUCGAAAUUUCCUUUGACCUUUCAAGAAGUUUUAUUUUCUAAAAUUAGUGCGUUUUAAUCACCUAUAAAAUCAAAAUUUUUAUUCAAGUUGCAGUUGAUUUGGACUGGAUGUACAUUAUCUAUGGCUUUGGGAUACUUGGAAGUUUCCUACGACCUUCGAAGAAAUCUGUUUUUUGAGACAAGAGUGAUCGAGUCGUGUAUAAAUUUUGGUCAGGUUCCUGUGUUUUGCAAAUUUCCUUUCCUACAUUCUCUUCUGGUUCUUUUUUCUGUGUUUCGUUGCAAAUUUCCUUAGUUUUCAAUUUUCAAUUAUCUGAAGAUUAACUGCUCAAUUUAUUACCCCCAAAAGAAAAGUUAUGGAUGAGAGGAUGAUAGAGGCUGCCCAAACAGGAGAUUUUAACCUCUUGUAUGAGUUGAUUCUGAAUGAUCCAUAUGUUUUAGAGCGUAUUGAUGAUGUGCCUUUUUUCCAUACACCAUUGCAUGUAGCUGCCUCUGUUGGGCAUAUUGAGUUUAUGAUGGAGAUGAUCAAAUUAAAGCCAACGUUUGCAAGAAAGCUAAACCAAGCUGGGUUUAGCCCCAUGCACUUGGCUCUGCAAAAUCACAGAACUCAUGCAGUGCUUCGACUCCUCAGGUUUGAUGAAGGACUUGUUCGUGUUAAAGGGAGGGAGGACCUCACUCCUCUGCAUCAUGUGGUUCAAAAUGAAAACUUGAAUCUUUUGAAAAAGUUUCUUGAGGUUUGUCCUGAGGCUAUUGAAGAUAUGACUGUUCGAGAUGAGACGGUUUUCCAUCUUGCUGUGAAAAACGACAUGUUCGAAGCUUUCCAAGUCUUGGUGGGGUGGCUUAUGAGAAGCUGGUAUGAGUCUCCCCGAUGGGAGAAAGAAUUACUUAGUUGGCCAGACAUUGAUGGCAACACUGUUUUACACAUUGCAGCUAUCAGAAACAGACCUCGGGUAUAUGCUAAUUUUUGUCAUUAAGUCAGUUAUUGAUGAGUAUAUAUGUAUGAUAAAAGGGUUACUUAUAUGAAUAUUUUAUUAACAGGUGGUAAACGUAUUGCUGGAACACAUGAGGCGAGACCAAAUCAAUGCCAAAAAUUUGGAGGGAUUGACAGCACUAGAUAUCCAAUCACAGUACCCAUGGAAUGAAAGGCAAGCGGAUAAGAUUAUAGAUAUGCUAAGCAAAGCUGGAGGUUUGAGUGGUUCCUCUUCCUCGCUUCCCAAUACCUCCAUCUCUUCAUUCCACAUCGAAUCUUUAAAAGACAAGAUGUCACGGUCUCAAAAAUGGGCAACAAGAGCAGGUCGAGGAAAGAAGGGUAUGGGACAUGAGAUGCGCAACACAUUUCUAGUAGUGACAGUGCUAAUUAUAACAACCACAUACGAAGCCUCUUUAAACCCUCCAAAGAAGCCUAAUGACAGUCCAUCCAUGAAAUACCAAGUCUCUUCAAGUCAAGAUGAGCCUCUCAAUUCCCACACAUUUUUGCAUAAAACCGACUUCAAUACUGCUCCCAUACCCAGUCCCUCCGCAAUUGACGUUUUGGAUCUAGAUGAUUGGACAUUUAAAUACUCCUCAUUUUUGUUUUGCAACACGUUCACCUUUUGGGUAGCAGUGUUCUUAACAGCACUUCUCCUACCACCUCAUUCAUUCUCUUCCUUGAUUCUCCUAACACUUUCCUUCUUUGGGAGAUCUUACAUGAAUUUAUUUGAUGUUUCCGCAUGGUCAUGGGGAGAUUCAUAUGAGUUUUCCAAUGAAAACGCACACUUAUUAUAUGUUGUAGCCUCCUUUUGUAAUGUUUUCUUCUCAACGUUGCUAGUUUUCCUUGUAUCAUACCAGACAAUAUUUUAUUUUUGCAGUAGGGUAAACAUUACCAAACCAAAAUUCUUCUUCCUCCUACUAGUAGUUGUCAUUGGCUGCAUGGUUUUUAUGUUUGGUUAGCUUAGUGAUGUGAUGGCCAUCGAUAAAUAAAAUCAAGUUUGGUGAAUGUACCCUUUCAUUCCAUUGAUAAAAGAAGUUUAUCUUUAAGUUUUAAAGUUGUUAUAUAUCAUCUAUCUUGCUCCAUAUAUAAAUAUGGAGUGCAAAUCUGUUAAAUACUUAAAUGUGAUAGACUAAAACAUCAUUCUAAUAUAUUAAAUUUAAAAUAUUUUGAUAUUAUUAAAAGCAAUGAUUAAAUUAUUUUAACAUAUAAUAUCUUUUUUUAAGAGUAUUGAUUUUAUUUUUAGCUUUAAAAAAACACAAGUAAAAACAAAAUUUAAUUAACAAAAUUUUUUAUACAAUGCCACAAAUUUAUGUUUUUUUUACACUAAUAGUAAUAUCGAUACUAACUAAAUUAAAAUUCAAUCGAUAAAUAAUUUAAAUUAUUAAUAAAUUAAAAUCUAUAUUAUAUAUUAUACUUUAAAAUAUUUAUGAUAUAAAAAUAUAUUAAUAUAAUACCGACAUAUUGAUUAUUGAUUGUCGUGUUUAAUUAAGACUAGUAUAGCGUCUUAAGGUCAGAUGGGACUAUUGAAGAAACUUUUACCCCUAAGUGCCAAUUCGUUUGGAAUAAGAAAAAACAAUAAAAAGUGCUACUACUUUUUCUUUUCUUCUUUCUGUUUAAGACUUCUAUGGCUUGGGACCAUACGAGAAUUGUAUGUUCUACUUUUAAUUCUAGGACGACGUGAGUACAAAUUAAAUAUUUUUGUAUUGGUAACAAUAUUGAUUGUAAUCAAUUAAAAUAUUAAAUUUUACACUAAAGAACUUAAUAGAAAGAAUGUUGAUGAUGCUAACAACUAAACUUGAAUUUUUAAAUUCGAAAAUUAGAAAGAUUAAAUCUUAAAAGUAAAAGUAGAUGGACUAAUUAAAUUUCUAAUGUAUAAAGUGAUAAGGACUUAAAGUAUAUUUUAACACUUAAAUUUUUAUUUUAUAAUUUCAGACAAUCAAAUAAUCAAUCCAAUAUAAAACGUGGUCAAAAAAAUUCUAUUUUCAUUUCAAGCCUUCAAACAAACAAGCAAAAACAAAAUAAAAUCAAAAGAAGAGAUCAAGUUGUCACUAGAUAACAAUUCUAGGUAGGAUUGGACCGAUGAGGUUCCGGUCCACAAUGAGCAAAACGGUGAGAGUGAUCCGAUUAAGUGAAGAAAUUUGAGAAGGGGGGGAGGGGGAACUUUCAUCGUUGUAAAGUGAAAAAGCUAAGGGAGUGAUUACAAUUUGAUUAUUAUUUCAUAUGCAAAUUCAAUUUUAAUUUAAAAUAACUUGAAGGCUAAAUUCAAUAAAAAAAUACUUUUAUAUUUCACUUUAAUAUUUAACAAUAAUAAGUUAAUUAAUAUAAUAUUAAAUUUAAAUAAAAUGGUUAUUUUAUAAAAUAAUUGUUUUUUCAUUUAUGAUAUAUGGACUUUUAUUUCUCAAGUUUUUAUAAAAUAAGGCUGUUAGGGUUGUUGCGUAUGUAUGCAUGUGUGUAUGCCUUGCAUGGGUGACAUUAGCAAACAAUAUCCCUCAGUUAGUAUAUAAGCUGAGCGAUAGUUGCUGAAAUGUGUGAGUUCCGGAAUAAUAAAAGUUCAAGUUUAUGCUUCUAUUUACUUUCUUGGCAAGUUUUCUCAGCUGCCAAACAGCUACAUAUGAUCGUUUGAUGUUCUUAACUAUCGACUUGUUGGAGUUUAGAGAAGUUGAGAGAGCAAAUAAAGAGAAAAAAAAGGAAAAUAUUUGCUUUCAAAAUUUUUCAUUAUUAUUAUUUUUACACAUGUAAUACAAUAUAUGGGUGUAGUGGUUACAGAUAAUUCAACAAAUCCUACUAAUACACCUUGAAAAUAUCAAUUUAUACAGAAACUGAUUAGGUAAAAUCAAUACCUAAAAAUAUCAAUUCAAUACUAACUCUGCUUGCUUUAACAAGUAAUCUCAGCAAAUAAAUUAAUUACAAAACAUUUAUAUCAGCAAAGGUGAACCCUACCAGCAUUACAACUAGUGGUUCACCAAAAACUUUACUAGCUCAUACUUUGAUGAGCUCCCAGCUUCAAUUGAACUCGCACUUUUUGUUCAACUCACAGCUUCACCGGAAGAAUUCGCCACUGCAUGCCACUUCACAACACGAUUGCAAGAAAGCUAAACCAAGCUGGGCUUAGCCCUCUGCUCUUGGCUCCUCAAAAUGACAAAACUCAAGCGGUGCUUCGACUCCUCAAGUUGACAAAGGCCUUUGUUCGUGUGAAAGGGAGGACGGCCUCACUCCUCUGCACCAAGUUGUUCAAACUGGAAAGGUUGAUCUUUUGUUCAAGUUUCUUGAGGUUUGUCCUGAGGCUAUUGAAGAUCUGACUGUUCCAGAUGAAACGGUUUUCCAUCUUGCCGUAAAAACCAGCAUGUUUUAAGCUUUUGAGCUCUUGGUGGGUGGCUUAUAAGAAGCCGCCAUGGAGCUGCCAAAUGUUGGGAGAAAGAACUACUUAGUUGGCCAGACAUUGAUGACAGUACUGUUCUGCACGUUGCAGUUUUAAACUCACCUCAGGUAUGCUAAUUUUGUUAGUUAAUUCAAUUAUUAAAUAUACAUAUAAUAGGGUUACAUAUUUGAUUUUUUUUUAACUAACAGGUGAUAAAAGUAUUGUUGGAACAUUUGUGUCGACAUCUGUUGGAACAAAGAGACAAUAACAGGCUGUUUUGUAUCUUGCUUGAAUAGCAAGCCUCGAGCCUUGGUGAAGAAACAAACUCAGAAGCAGAAACAGAAAAUGAAACUAGCAAGUGAAUAACAGAAAAGAGAGAAGAAGAAUGAAUGAAAAAUGAGCUGAUAUUUUUCAUUAACACACAACAAGGCAUUAAGCCAUUACAUAUUUCAGUCAACAAGUAAAACAAACAAGUAAUCACCUAAUCAACUACCUAACUCCACUAAUUUGCAUUGAAACUUACAAGAUUAGCUUGUACAACUUGCAUUGCUGACUUUUCAGUCAAUCAAUAUCAAAACAUUUACCUACUUAGUUCAACAUGAACUAGAUUACAAAACAAUCAAAAUGGAACUAAAAACAGCAAGUGGAUUGGCAGCUUCAAACUUCAGUUGCUGCACACAAUGGCAUCACUGCUUGCUGCUAUUUCUUCGAGCAUGACCACCUUUGCAUGUCGUGCAUGGCCACCUUUGCAUGGGAACUAAACUUAACAACAUCAUAUCAAUGCCAAAAAUUUGGAUGGAUUCACUGCCCUAGAUAUCGAACCAGAGUUACCAGAAUGGCCAUUGGAUGAAGGGCAAGUGGAUAAUCGGGACUCCAUUAAAGAUAUGCUAAGCAAAGCAGGAGUUUGAGUGGUUCUUCGCUACCUAUGAGGCUCCGGUCUACAAUGGGAAAAACGGUGAGAGUGGUCCAAUUGUGUCGUCCUUAUUUGGGACCUGUUGCCCGCUUUUAGCUGCUGUUAACAUAUGGGCACUCAUCCUAUCAUGAUGGCCACAGCAUUGUUAAUUACUGCUGUUAACAAUGUUAACAAAAAAUUGUUAACUGUUUAUCCUGAAUUUUAAAAUAUGAAAAUAAAAAAGAUUAAAUUAUUAAAAAUAAAAUAUAUGAAAAAAAAUUUAAAAUUUUGAAAAGUACAUCGUCAAUCAUAUGGUCUGCUAAACCAUUCUUUCAUCACUCCUUCCACCACUCAUUUAGGUUGUUUUCUGUUUGAUCUAAGAUUUCCUACUUGGAAAUUUCCUUUGAUCUUUCAAGAUGUUUUAUUUUCUCAAAUUAGUGCGUUUUACUCACCUCUCAAAUCAAAACUUUUAUUCAACCUGAGUUGCAUUUGAUUUGGACUGGGUGUCUAUUUUCUAUGGNNNNNNNNNNNNNNNNNNNNNNNNNNNNNNNNNNNNNNNNNNNNNNNNNNNNNNNNNNNNNNNNNNNNNNNNNNNNNNNNNNNNNNNNNNNNNNNNNNNNNNNNNNNNNNNNNNNNNNNNNNNNNNNNNNNNNNNNNNNNNNNNNNNNNNNNNNNNNNNNNNNNNNNNNNNNNNNNNNNNNNNNNNNNNNNNNNNNNNNNNNNNNNNNNNNNNNNNNNNNNNNNNNNNNNNNNNNNNNNNNNNNNNNNNNNNNNNNNNNNNNNNNNNNNNNNNNNNNNNNNNNNNNNNNNNNNNNNNNNNNNNNNNNNNNNNNNNNNNNNNNNNNNNNNNNNNNNNNNNNNNNNNNNNNNNNNNNNNNNNNNNNNNNNNNNNNNNNNNNNNNNNNNNNNNNNNNNNNNNNNNNNNNNNNNNNNNNNNNNNNNNNNNNNNNNNNNNNNNNNNNNNNNNNNNNNNNNNNNNNNNNNNNNNNNNNNNNNNNNNNNNNNNNNNNNNNNNNNNNNNNNNNNNNNNNNNNNNNNNNNNNNNNNNNNNNNNNNNNNNNNNNNNNNNNNNNNNNNNNNNNNNNNNNNNNNNNNNNNNNNNNNNNNNNNNNNNNNNNNNNNNNNNNNNNNNNNNNNNNNNNNNNNNNNNNNNNNNNNNNNNNNNNNNNNNNNNNNNNNNNNNNNNNNNNNNNNNNNNNNNNNNNNNNNNNNNNNNNNNNNNNNNNNNNNNNNNNNNNNNNNNNNNNNNNNNNNNNNNNNNNNNNNNNNNNNNNNNNNNNNNNNNNNNNNNNNNNNNNNNNNNNNNNNNNNNNNNNNNNNNNNNNNNNNNNNNCAGAACCCUGUAGCCCUUCUUGACUGAGCUGUAGCCUACUAGAACACCUGGUUGAGCCCUUUUAGAGAGCUUGUCUCUCUUUGCUGCUGGUAUUUGUGCAUAACACAGGCAACCAAACACCUUCAGAUGUGCCAAAGAAGGCUUGAAACUGAACCAAGCCUCGAAAGGUGUCUCGGAUGCAAGAGCUUUGGUAGGAAGCCUGUUCUGAAGGUAAACAGCAGUGUUUACUGCCUCAGCCCACAUGGUUUUGGGCAGUUUCUUUUCAAACAGGAAACAUCUGGCCAUAUCCAUCAGGCUGCUGUUCUUUCUUUCAGCUACCCCAUUCUGCUGAGGUGUGUAGACAUUUGUAAGCUGAUGUUUGAUACCAGCAUCAUUGCAAAUGGCUUGAAACUGAGCUGAAGUGUACUCAGUGCCAUUGUCUGUCCUUAUCGAUUUCAGCUUGCAACCUGUUUCUUUCUCUACAGCAGUUUUAAACUUCACAAACACUUGAGCUACCUCAGACUUGUGUUUUAAGAAGAAAAUCCAGCAAAACCUUGUAAGAUCAUCAAUGAAGAGGAUGAAAUACCUGUUUUUGCUGAGUGAUUCAGUCCUCAUCGGGCCACAUACAUCAGAGUGCACCAGCUGCAGUCUUUCAGUAGCUCUCCAAGCUGAAUUUGUAGGAAAUGGCAGUCUUGCCUGUUUCCCCAUUUGGCAAACUUCACAUACAUCCUCAUGCUCCACUGAGCUGGUGAAGUUCUCUGCCAAACCCUCUUUGGCCAUUCGAGCCAUUGAUCUGAAGUUGGCAUGUCCAAGCCUUUGAUGCCNNNNNNNNNNNNNNNNNNNNNNNNNNNNNNNNNNNNNNNNNNNNNNNNNNNNNNNNNNNNNNNNNNNNNNNNNNNNNNNNNNNNNNNNNNNNNNNNNNNNGUCAUUGUGACUGUCAUAAGGCUUGAUCCACUUGGAUCAGUAAUGUGGCAUUGUUUGUCCUUGAACACAACAGAAUAACCUUUCUCGAGCAGUUGAGCUAUGCUGAGAAGGUUUCUGUCAAUUUCUGGCACCAACAGCACAUUUGGAAUGAUCUUGUUGCCUGUGGGAGUACAUAUCAGCACUUCUCCUCUUCCUCCAGUCCUUAUAAACUGACCAUUUCCAACCUUGACCUUGGUUUUAUAACUUCUGUCCAAGGUUUUAAACAAGGAGGCAUCUGGUGACAUGUGGUUAGUGCAACCACUGUCCAGCAACCAGCCUUUUGAGCAUUUCUUCUGAACAGCUAAGCAGGAAACAGCAAAGACCUGUUCUUCUUGGUCACUACUGUCCUCAGCUACUCGAGCUUCAACCUUUGACUGCUGAAAUUGAUUCUGCCUUGGCUUACUCCUGUUUUUACAGACCCUUUCAACAUGGCCCUUCUUCUUGCAGUGUUGGCAUACUGCAUCUGGCCUAAACCAGCAUCUGUCUUCUGGAUGACCUGGCCUCUUGCAAUGUCUGCAGGGCUGGUCAUUACUCCUUGCAAUAUCAGUCUUAGGCCUGUUUUUCCAAGGCCUUUUGCCUCUUGGAGCUUUGAAGCUCGAGGCUUCUCUGGCCUUGGCAUUGAAUGCACCUUCCUGGUGAUCUUCAGCUCUGCUAGCUCUCCUUUGUUCCUGAGCAUAGAAAGUGUUGAUUAGCUCAGUCAAAGAGAUGGUAGCAAGGUCUCUUGAGUCCUCUAAGGAGGAUAUCUUGGCCUCAUAUCUCUCAGGCAAAGUGGAGAGGACCUUUUCCACAAUUCUUGCCUCAUCAAAGUGCUCACCAAGGAGCCUUAUACUGUUAACCACUGCUAUGAUUCUGUCUGCAUACUGCUUCACUGUUUCUUCUUCCUUCAUCUUUAGAUUCUCGAAAUCCCUUCUCAAAUUUAAUAGCUGCUGUUGCCUUGUUCUCUCAGUGCCUUGAAACUCCUCCUUAAGCUUAUCCCAGGCCUGUUUUGGAGUCUCACAGGCCAUAAUUCUGGUGAAGAUGACAUCUGAUACACNNNNNNNNNNNNNNNNNNNNNNNNNNNNNNNNNNNNNNNNNNNNNNNNNNNNNNNNNNNNNNNNNNNNNNNNNNNNNNNNNNNNNNNNNNNNNNNNNNNNNNNNNNNNNNNNNNNNNNNNNNNNNNNNNNNNNNNNNNNNNNNNNNNNNNNNNNNNNNNNNNNNNNNNNNNNNNNNNNNNNNNNNNNNNNNNNNNNNNNNNNNNNNNGUGAAAAACUUGAGGAAGACAUUCAGCUUUCUUAGUUUAAUACAACAGGUCCACUAAGAAUGAAGCUCUAGAUACCAAUUGUUGGAACAAAGAGACAAUAACAGGCUGUUUUGUAUCUUGCUUGAAUAGCAAGCCUCGAGCCUUGGUGAAGAAACAAACUCAGAAGCAAAAACAGAAAAUGAAACUAGCAAGUGAAUAACAGAAAAGAGAGAAGAAGAAUGAAUGAAAAAUGAGCUGAUAUUUUUCAUUAACACACAACAAGACAUUAAGCCAUUACAUAUUUCAGUCAACAAGUAAAACAAACAAGUAAUCACCUAAUCAACUACCUAACUCCACUAAUUUGCAUUGAAACUUACAAGAUUAGCUUGUACAACUUGCAUUGCUGACUUUUNNNNNNNNNNNNNNNNNNNNNNNNNNNNNNNNNNNNNNNNNNNNNNNNNNNNNNNNNNNNNNNNNNNNNNNNNNNNNNNNNNNNNNNNNNNNNNNNNNNNNNNNNNNNNNNNNNNNNNNNNNNNNNNNNNNNNNNNNNNNNNNNNNNNNNNNNNNNNNNNNNNNNNNNNNNNNNNNNNNNNNNNNNNNNNNNAUGGGAACUAAACUUAACAACAUCAUAUCAAUGCCAAAAAUUUGGAUGGAUUCACUGCCCUAGAUAUCGAACCAGAGUUACCAGAAUGGCCAUUGGAUGAAGGGCAAGUGGAUAAUCGGGACUCCAUUAAAGAUAUGCUAAGCAAAGCAGGAGUUUGAGUGGUUCUUCGCUACCUAUGAGGCUCCGGUCUACAAUGGGAAAAACGGUGAGAGUGGUCCAAUUGUGUCGUCCUUAUUUGGGACCUGUUGCCCGCUUUUAGCUGCUGUUAACAUAUGGGCACUCAUCCUAUCAUGAUGGCCACAGCAUUGUUAAUUACUGCUGUUAACAAUGUUAACAAAAAAUUGUUAACUGUUUAUCCUGAAUUUUAAAAUAUGAAAAUAAAAAAGAUUAAAUUAUUAAAAAUAAAAUAUAUGAAAAAAAAUUUAAAAUUUUGAAAAGUACAUCGUCAAUCAUAUGGUCUGCUAAACCAUUCUUUCAUCACUCCUUCCACCACUCAUUUAGGUUGUUUUCUGUUUGAUCUAAGAUUUCCUACUUGGAAAUUUCCUUUGAUCUUUCAAGAUGUUUUAUUUUCUCAAAUUAGUGCGUUUUACUCACCUCUCAAAUCAAAACUUUUAUUCAACCUGAGUUGCAUUUGAUUUGGACUGGGUGUCUAUUUUCUAUGGCUUUGGGGUACUUGGAAAUUUCCUUCGACCUUGGAAGAUAAUUGUUUUUUGAGACAAGAGUGUUCGAGUCAUGUAUAAAUUUUGGUCAGAUUCCUGUGUUUUUGCAAAAUAUAAGUUCUAUUUCCUUUCUAUCUUGUCUUCUGGUUCUUUCUUCUUUGUGUUUUGUUGCAAAUUUCAUCAGCUUUCACUAAUCUGAAAAUUUACUGCCUAAUUUAUUACCCCCACAAAAAAAGCUAUGGAUGAGAGGAUGAUAGAAGCUGCCCACAUGGGAGAUAUUAACUUCUUGUAUGAGUUGAUUCUGAAUGAUCCAUAUGUUUUACAGCGUAUUGAUGAUGUGCCUUUUUUUAAUACUCAAUUGCAAGUAGCAACCUCUGUUGGGCAUAUUGAAUUUAUGAUGGAGAUGAUCAAAUUAAAGCCAACGUUUGCAAGAAAGCUAAACCAAGCAGGGUUUAGCCCCAUGCACUUGGCUCUGCAAAAUCACAGAACUCAUGCAGUGCUUCGACUCCUCAGGUUUGAUGAAGGCCUUGUUCGUGUCUAAGGGAGGGAGGACCUCACUCCUCUGCAUCAUGUGGUUCAAACUGAAAACUUUAAUCUUUUGAAAAAAAUUCUUGAGGUUUGUCCUGAGGCUAUUGAAGAUAUGACUGUUCGAGAUGAGAUGGUUUUCCAUCUUGCUGUAGAAAACGACACGUUUGAAGCUUUCCAAGUCUUGGUGGGGUGGCUUAUGAGAAGCUGCCAUGAGUCUGCCCAAUGGGAGAAAGAACUACUGAGUUUGGCAGACAUUGAUGACAACACUGUUUUACACAUUGCAGCUAUUAGAAACAGAGCUGGGGUAUAUGCUAAUUUUUGUCAUUAAGUCAGUUAUUGAUGUGCAUAUAUGGAUGAUAAAAGGGUUACUUAGAGGAAUAUUCUAAUUAACAGGUGGUAAAAGUAUUGCUGGAACACAUGCGGCGAGACCAAAUCAAUGCCAAAAAUUUGGAGGGAUUGACAGCACUAGAUAUCCAAUCACAAUACCUGUGGAAUGAAAGGCAAGCGGAUAGGAUUAUAGAUAUGCUAAGCAAAGCAGGUGGUUUGAGUGCUUCCUCUUCCUCGUUUCCCAAUACCUCCAUCUCUUCAUUCCACAUCGAAUCAUUAAAGAAAAAGAUGUCACGGUCUCAAAAAUGGGCAACAAGAGCAGGUCCAGAAAAGAAGGGUAUGCCACAUGAGAUCCGUAACACAUUUCUAGUAGUUAUGACACAUGCCCAUGUGAAGGAGGCACACGCCUAUGUGAAAAGAGGCACACACACGACCGUGUGCCCUAGAGACAUGACUGUGCGAAUAACCCAUGUUACUCUUUGUCCGAAAUUGUUAAAAUAAGGUGCAAAGAAGACACAGCCGUGUGAAAGUCUCACAUGCUCGUGUGCCACGGAACACUACUGUGUGCCCAGAACACACGCCCAUGUGAUUAUCAACUAAAAUCUCCAAAUCGAAACCACAAGAUCGUAUGACACCAAAAAUCAUCGAAAAACCCUAAUUCCUAAAUUCGCACAGCCGUAUGAACUGCCCGUGUGUGGCACAAGCCCAUGUGGUUACGAAACCACACCGAAACAAGCUACAGAACAUGCAUUUGCUACCGAAACAACCCUCAAUCCUCGUUAACAUAGUAAUACACCAAAAACAAAUAGUAUUUCAAGCAAUUCCACAACAAUCGACACUUCGAUUGGUAAAUUUCAGAAACACACAAAAUAUGUCGAAUUUCACGGAGCCAAAUCAAAAUUUUAAAAAUGAAAAUGAUGAGUUUUCAAACCCACACCUAAAUUUGUGAUCAAAGCACGAGGAGAACAACAAAGAAGAAAGCCAGAACGUAGGAGAAGGAAAUAAUAAAAUCUCCCCAACAAAAACAAAAAAAAAUUUGGAACAAAAAAAAAUGGAAACAAAUCUAACGUGAGGAAGAGGGAGGGAGAGGAGGAACGUGAAAAGAUUUUUUAGGAUAACUCCCUGUUUUAGACACAAAAUAAUAAUAAUAAUAAAAUAAAAAGAAUUAAAUUAAAUAAAAAUAACAAAUAAGUAUUGAAACUUUAAACAAGCUAAAAUAAAAUUGAUUCCUCUAAAACACUCAUGAGGGCUCAAACUUGAAAUCCGAAGGUAAACUAACACACUCGCCACUACCAACCAGCAGACUCAUUCUAACAUUAAAACGCAAAAACAAGCACAAUUACUCAGCCUACUCACUAACCCUUACUUAAAACCUCAAAUCUUCUAACCCCAAAAUUUAGGAUGUUACAUGUAAUGUCCAUAUUUUUCUAAUACAAUUUUAUACAUGAAUUUUGGUUUUGUGCAGUUUUGCACAUGAUUUUUUUAUUUAAUUUAUUUUUCACAAACUACUAACAAAAUUAUUGAUAUAUAUCACCAUUUUAAGUUUACAUAUUAUAUACAUAAAUAAGUAUAUUUAUAAGAUAUCAAAAUAAAUCGAUGUCUUUAAACGUAACACCAAAACAAAGUUUGAUAUAUAACUCAACAUAUAAAAAGAAGUUAUUAAACAAUACAUAUAAUGUUUAGAACUAUAGUUCUAAUAUUAUUGGUAAAUUUAUAAUUUUCGGUUCACGUAAAUCGUAAUUAUAAAAAAUAAAAUUAUGACUUAUCUUGGAUUAAACUUACAUUAUAUUAUUUAAAUAAAUAAUUUACUAGUUUUUAAUGUCAGGUAGAUGUAUGUAAUUUUAUGCUUUUAAUAUUUAAUUAAUUUUAAAUAUUAUAUUUUUAAUUGAAAUAAUUAAUGUAAAAUAAUAUUUUUUAUUUGAAUUAUUGAAUGUAAUUAAAAUAUAUUAACUUAUCACUUCAAAUAUUAUAAUAGAAAUUUUUUAAAUCAAAAUUGCAUUUUUAACAUAAUCGACCUACAAUGUAAUUUUACUUUUAUGUAACUAAUACAAGUAACAUUAUUCAAAACAAUAACUAAUCAAUAUAAUUAAAUCUAGUAAUAAUUAAUUUUUAAUUAAGAUACUUAAAAUUUUAGUAAUAAUUCAAUUUUACAUUGAUAAAUAUAUUAAUAUAAUUUUUUAUUUGUAAAUAUAAAUAUAAUAAUAUGAUAGAAAAUAAAAAGUAUUUUAAUAUGGAUAAAUAAAUUUUAAAAUUUAAAAUUCAACAUAUAUAUUUACAUAUUUCGCUAAUUCACCAACGUAUAUGCCUUGAUUUGAUAUAGUUAAUAUUCGGAUAAUGUUGUGAAUCACAUAUAUAUAUAUUUUGAAGUUUUAUCAUAUUUUCAUGGGUAAAAUACUUUAGAAGUUGUUGUACUCUUUGAAAAUUUAGAAUUUAGUUUUUAUGCUUUUAUUUUUAAGAAUUUAGUUCAUUUAUUUUUCAGAUUUUAAAAUUCAAAUCCAAUUGUUAAUAUUGUUAAUAUUUUUAAUUUCUUUAUGUUAAAUUCAAGUUCAUUACAACAUAUUUUUAGUUACAUGGUUUCCAAGUGUUUUUUUUUUAAAUGUCACACCAACAAAUUUAACAAAAAAAAUUUGAGUGUUAACAAUUGGACCUGAGUUUUGAAAUUGAAAGGUAGAGGGACUAAGUUUUUGGAAAUAAAAGUAUAUGGAUUAAAUUUCAAAAUUUUGAAGAGUACAGAUACUUAUAACAUCUUUUAACCUAUUUUAAAAAUGUUUUGAAUCAUUACUUAACUUAUUUAGCUCUUCCAAUAAUUAUUUUAGAAUCUUUUUAAAUUUUAUCUUUCCUUAUAUAAUCUUUAUAAUUUUUUAAAAAUAAAUAUUUUGAAUUUAUUUUUUGUAAUUUUUGUUGAGAGAGAGACUAACCUACUCAUUUUCAAAAUUGUCAAGGACCAAACGAAUAUUUACAUCAAUCUAAUAUUUGAAUUAUUUGAAUCGAAACUCAAAUUACUAAUUCGAGUUGAGUUGAAAAAUCGAAUAACUCAGUUUCAUUAAAUAGAAAUUUAAUUUUUCUUUCUUUAUUCGAAUUAAAUUGAGUUUAAGUCGCCCUUAGUUUUACUCUAUAAAUAGGAUAUUUUUAAUAAUUUUUACCGUUCCUUCAACUUGCUUUUUGUUUGGUCCAAGGUUUUAUAGUUGGAAAUUCCCUUGGACCUUUAAAUAUGUUUAUUUUCUCAAAUUAGUGCGUUUAUGUCAUAAAUAAAAUCAACCUUUUUAUUUAAUGUGUAUUUCAUGUGGACUGGAUACCUGUUUUCUGUGGCUUUAGUUCUUGGAAAUUUCCUUGGACCUUGGAACAAAUUUGUUUCCUCAAACUAAAGUGUUCAAAUCAUGUAUAAAUUGUGGUCAGAUGCCUGUGCUUUUGCAGAAUACAGGUUCUAUUCCCUUUUCUGUAUUGUCUUCUGGUUCUUUCUUCUUUAUGUUUUGUUGCGAAUUUCAUCAGCUUUCAGUAAUCUGAAAAUUUACUGCCUAAUUUAUUACCCCAAAAAAAGCUAUGGAUGAGAGGAUGAUAGAGGCUGCCCAAACAGGAGAUAUAAUUAACCUCUUGUAUGAGUUGAUUCUGAAUGAUCCAUACGUUUUAGAGCGUAUUGAUGCUGUACCUUUUUCUCAUACUCCAUUGCAUAUAGCAGCCUCUGCUGGGCAUAUUGAGUUUAUGAUGGAGAUGAUCAAAUUAAAGCCAACGUUUGCAAGAAAGCUAAACCAAGCUGGGUUUAGCCCCAUGCACUUGGCUCUGCAAAAUGACAGAACUAAAGCAGUGCUUCGACUCCUCAGGUUUGAUGAAGGCCUUGUUCGUGUCAAAGGGAGGGAGGACCUCACUCCUCUGCACCAUGUGGUUCAAACUGGAAAUGUUGAUCUUUUGGUCAAGUUACUUAAGGUUUGUCCUGAGGCUAUUGCAGAUGUGACUGUUCGAGAUGAGACGGUAUUCCAUCUUGCUGUGAAAAACGACAUGUUUGAAGCUUUCCAAGUCUUGGUAGGGUGGCUUAUAAGAAGCCGCCAUGAGUCUGCCGAACGUUGGGAGAAAGAACUACUGAGUUGGGUAGACAUUGAUGGCAACACUGUGCUACACAUUGCAGCUAUCAGAAACAGACCUCAGGUUUGCUAAUUUUCCUAAUCAAGUCAAUUAUUGAUAUGUAUGUAUAUGAUAAAAGGGUAAUUUACAUUAAUUAAUUUCCAAUUAACAGGUGGUGGAAGUAUUGCUGGGACACUUGCGUCGAGACCAAAUCAAUGCCAAAAAUUUGGAGGGAUUGACAGCACUAGAUAUCCAAUCACAAUACCCAUGGAAUGAAAGGCAAGCGGAUAGGAUUAUAGAUAUGCUAAGCAAAGCAGGAGGUUUGAGUGCUUCCUCUUCCUCGCUUCCGAAUACCUCCAUCUCUUCAUUCCACAUCGAAUCAUUAAAGGAAAAGAUGCCAUGGUUUCAAAAAUUGGAAACAAAAACAGGUCGACUAAAGAACGGUAUUUCAUAUGAGAUGCGUAACACAUUUCUAAUAGUGAUAGUGCUACUUAUAACAACCACUUACGAACCCUCUUUAAACCCUCCAAACAUGCCUUAUGACAGUCCAUCCAUGAAAUACCAAGUCUCCUUAAGUCAAGAUCAGCCUCUCAAUUCCCACACAUUUUUGCAUAAAACCGACAUCAAUACUGCACCCAUACCCAGUCCCUCCGCAAUUGACGUUUCCAAAAAAGAUUGUUGGACAUCUAAUCACUCGUUUUUGGUUUUGAACAUGUUCAACUUUUCGGUUGCAGUUCUUUUAAUAGGACUUCUCCUACCAUAUCAUCCUUUCUCUUUGUUGAUUCACUUACCACUUUCCGGCUGUAUGGUAUCUUACACGGAGUUAUAUGCUUCCUUAUGUGAGUUUUCCAAUAAAAACGCACUUCUUUCUGGCGUUUAUAAUUUUUCCUUUACAAUGUUGCUGCCUUUUCUCGUAGUAUGCGGGUCAAUCUUUUAUGUUAUGGGCAAAGAGACAAAAUUUUCUAAGAAUCUGAAUUAAAUUGUAUAUUUGUUGAAGUUAGCUUCCAUGCAACACAAGCAGCAACAAACGUGUCCAUGCAAGCCACAUGCAGAAAAGAAGCAGCACAUGAAGGCAGCCGCUUGAGCUCGACAUUGCUGUCCAAAUUCAACUAGUUUUGUUGGAUUAAGUUUAUAUUUUGUAACUUAGUUCUUAUAGAACUUAGUUGGUAAACUUUUGAUGUAAUUUUUGAUGAUUGAUUGACUGAAAAUCCGGCCAAUGUAACUUAUGCAAGCUGNNNNNNNNNNNNNNNNNNNNNNNNNNNNNNNNNNNNNNNNNNNNNNNNNNNNNNNNNNNNNNNNNNNNNNNNNNNNNNNNNNNNNNNNNNNNNNNNNNNNGGUACGUGAUUAGGUAGUAUUUUGAUUUGUAAGUUUAACUCAAUGUUUGAUAUUUGUAAUGCCAACUUGCCAAUGUUUUGUUAAUGAAAAAUUAGAUUCUUUUUCAUUCAAAUUCUCUCCUUUCUUUGCUUUUGUUUUCUAUUUUCCACUUGCAAAGCUUUUCUUCUGUUUUGUUUCUUCCCCAAGCCACGAGGCUUGCUGUCCAAGCAAGGCUAGACCAGCUUGCUUACUGCCUUUAACACCAACAAUAUUUCUGUAAUAAUAAAAAUAAAAAUUUAUCAAUUUAAUAGUCUAUAUUUUUAUAUUUUUUAGAAGAUUAAAUCAAAAUUUUGUCAUUUAUAGGAGCCAAAAUAUAAUUUUAUCAUUACUAAUUUAAAAUUUUAUAAAUUAUAAAAGACUUAAAUAGAAAAAAAAAAUCAUUUUAAGGAGGCUCCAGCUCCCUGACUCCGCCUCUGCAGGUGGGUAACCAGUACCAAUCCAAAAUUCUCCAACCUCAUAAUAUAAUCUUUUACAUUGGCUUCCUCCUUUCUACACUGUGUCCAGUUUCGUGGAUCCUUCUAAUGUAAAUGCCGAAAGCGUAAUGAAGUUUUGGGGUUUGUAUUAGAGAUGGUGAUGGAGUAGUUAUUGGGUUGAGCUGGUUCAUUAGUUCCCUUCAUCUCUUCUACCGGACUCUUAUUCCUUUUUUAUUAUCAAGGGUGAAGGUCUGCACAUACUUUUGUUUAGGCCUAAUCGUCUCUUGAGGAAGAGCUAUGUUGUAAUGAUAAAAGAAGUGCGAAUUUGUUUGUCAAGUAGUUGUUGAAUAAGGAUCUUAACUAGGAUCUUAAAUAAAGGGAAAUGUAUUUGUUAUGUGCUCAUGAUACAUACCAUCGUGAUUCAUCAAAACAGCAUUCUAAAAUAUUUACUUUAAUUGUAAUUACUUGGUAUGCUUUACAAACGAGGUUGAGAUUUUGUUACAUAUUUUGUUUAUUUUUUUUAAAAACGAGGUUGAGAUUUUGUUACAUAUUUUGUUUUUUUUUUUAAAUGAGAUUGAAAUUUUGUUACAUAUCUUAUUUAUUUUUCAAAAAAUUCAAUAUAAUUUAAAGGCACGUGAUGAUAUAAAUUCUACUUGCACAAUUAAAAAAUUUCCAUUGGCAAUAUUUUAAAUAAUUAUCCUUAAUUCAAAACAAAUAAGUGUUGAGUGUAAUAGUAAAAUAUAUUGCAUUUCCAAGAAAAGAUGUAAGUUCAAACCUUGGAAAUAAUAUUAUUAGAGCGGCAGCCAUGAACUCCGAAUAUGGACCAUAAAAUAGAUAUAAAAAAUAUGUAAAAUAUUUAGAAAAAUAAUAAAAUAUAAAACAUCACGUUAGAGUACUAUUACAUAUUACUAUAGAUUUAAUUUUAUGUGUUAUAAAUAAUAUAAUAUAUAAAAAUAACAAAAUAUUUAACAUUACAAACUUAUAAAAACGGGUUUAACCUGGGCUGACCUGGUCUUUAAAUGUUCAAGCCCAUUUUUCAAAUCUAAUCUUUUUACCUAAAUCCUCCUCAUUUUUUAAACAAGCGAAUAUUCGGAGGAUUCUUCUAACCAAAAUAGAAAAUAUAUCAAAAAACUAAAAAGUAUAACAAAAAUAAUAAAUAAAAAAUUUACAUAUAAUUUGGAAUUUCUAAUUGUACUUAGAAUUGUAUAACGUAUAAUUGUAAUUUGUCAGCAAAGUUGUUUCUUUUUUUUCCCCUUAAAAUUCAAAGAAUUCUUCUCCCUUUAUACAUAGGUCAUCGAUUCAGCAUUAGAAAAAGGGGCUCAAAUCGUUUUAUCGACAUGAGUGUUUUAUGUCGAAAAAAUAUUUUUGUUUUGAAAAUAUUUCUGUAUUUAGUAACAUAGUAGUAAAAAGAGUACCCAAUUGCAUCUGAACUUCAAACGGGUUUGGCCUUAACCAUGUUAAUGGUCCCAGAUUAUUGGUUAAUAAAGAAUCAAAGUCGAUGUGCCAAUGAAUCACGAAAUGCUAUAGUUCUAUAGUAUGAUUUUAAAAAUAUAUUCAGAAGUAAUUCGCGAGAUCAUGCACUCUUUUAUUUCCUAGUUAUAAUGAAAAAAAGUACAACUGGGUGAAUCCAGCUUAUUCUUGAAAUAAACAACUCACACACACUCACUUUCCAAAAAAGAUUAAUACACCAAGGACUACACUUAGAUUUAUUAGAUUUGUUGCUAAAAUAUCGGUAUUAACCCCGAAACUCUCGGCAGAUGGCCAGUGACCCAAGGAAACGAAAGAAUCGAUUACAUUUUUCAUAUGAUCUCCUAUUUUAUUUUAGAUAGACUAACAAAAAGAAUUCAGUUUUUUUUUGUAUUAUAUCGCUUUGACUCCUUUUCCAUUUAUUCUAUUCUAUCAUAUUUAUAUUAUUCUAAUUAUUCUAGUUCUAUGUAUUUCUUUAUUUGUUUUAAUAAAUUAUUAAAUUUAUUAUAAAAUUAUUCAUUAUUAUGAUUAUGAAUUUUCAUUUACCUAUGUCUAAACGGAGUUAAAAAAAUAUAUUCUAUUUAUCUAGUUAGCUAGAAAUGUAUUUUUUAAUUGAAAAUUCCCAAUAAUAAUAAUUCUUAUUAGAAUUAGGGAGCAGGUUUCAUAUCAAUGGCAAAAUACCUCAUUUGUUGCUACACUCCUUUAAACAAUAAAUAAUAAAUAAGGGGUUCUUUUGAACUAAGAAGGAGAAGGAAGAAAGCGAGUUGGCGUGAUAAUUCUUCAGCCUCAAAUUAAUCCUUUCCACGGAUUAUUGUCCUAACGAAUAUUAAUUGUAGGGGUGAAAUCUUGAUAGAAUUCGAAAAAGCGAGGAGUAAGUCCCAAGCCAUAAAAUAAGAAAAACAAAUACAAAAUUCUCAUGUUUAUAGGAUUAAAUAAAGGGAUUCACAAAUAAGAGUGCCAGUGGUACAACCAGCGCAUAAAUUGUUAAAGCUUCCAUAAAAGCCAAACUAAGCAAUAAAGUACCUUGUAUUUUUUCCUCCGCCUCAGGUUGUCUCGCGAUACCUUCUACAGAUUGGCCCGCAGCAGUACCUUGACCGCCUCCAGGUCCAAUAGAAGCAAGCUCGACAGCCGACCCUGCAGUAAUAACGGAAGCGGCAGAAAUUAGUGGAUUCAUGAUAAGUUCCUCGCACCAAAAUAAAGAAAUAGUUAAUGAUACAAUCAUCCAAUGAAUUUUGACUUAAUUAUAUUAUAUCAUCCAUAUGUUUUACAGCGUAUUGAUGAUGUGCCUUUUUUUAAUACUCAAUUGCAAGUAGCAACCUCUGUUGGGCAUAUUGAAUUUAUGAUGGAGAUGAUCAAAUUAAAGCCAACGUUUGCAAGAAAGCUAAACCAAGCAGGGUUUAGCCCCAUGCACUUGGCUCUGCAAAAUGACAGAACUAAAGCAGUGCUUCGACUCCUCAGGUUUGAUGAAGGCCUUGUUCGUGUCAAAGGGAGGGAGGACCUCACUCCUCUGCACCAUGUGGUUCAAACUGGAAAUGUUGAUCUUUUGGUCAAGUUACUUAAGGUUUGUCCUGAGGCUAUUGCAGAUGUGACUGUUCGAGAUGAGACGGUAUUCCAUCUUGCUGUGAAAAACGACAUGUUUGAAGCUUUCCAAGUCUUGGUAGGGUGGCUUAUAAGAAGCCGCCAUGAGUCUGCCGAACGUUGGGAGAAAGAACUAUUGAGUUGGGUAGACAUUGAUGGCAACACUGUGCUACACAUUGCAGCUAUCAGAAACAGACCUCAGGUAUGCUAAUUUUCCUAAUCAAGUCAAUUAUUGAUAUGUAUGUAUAUGAUAAAAGGGUAAUUUACAUUAAUUAAUUUCUAAUUAACAGGUGGUGGAAGUAUUGCUGGGACACUUGCGUCGAGACCAAAUCAAUGCCAAAAAUUUGGAGGGAUUGACAGCACUAGAUAUCCAAUCACAAUACCUAUGGAAUGAAAGGCAAGCGGAUAGGAUUAUAGAUAUGCUAAGCAAAGCAGGAGGUUUGAGUGCUUCCUCUUCCUCGCUGUUGGAACAUUUGGCAGCAGCAAAAGAANNNNNNNNNNNNNNNNNNNNNNNNNNNNNNNNNNNNNNNNNNNNNNNNNNNNNNNNNNNNNNNNNNNNNNNNNNNNNNNNNNNNNNNNNNNNNNNNNNNNNNNNNNNNNNNNNNNNNNNNNNNNNAUUUAUAGUCAAAUACAUCACCAAAUACUACCUACUACCACUAGUUUUACUUUGAAACAAGUAAAACUUAACUUGCACACAAGCUGAUUAUGUCAAUCAGCACCUAAAAACAUCAAAACAAUACCAACUUAGUUCAUUUUCAACUAAGUAGCUUAACAAAGAAACUAAAGAGAAAACCUUGCUGCUACAGCAAGUAUACGUGCUGCAGCAUGUCAUCAAGCUGCAUGCACUUCAAACAGCAGCAUGGUUGGCCAAUUUCAACACUCCUCCUUUGGACUCCAUGCUGCAAAUACAUAUCAUUCAUCAAGUUUUUGAACUUGGCAGCCCUUAGAUGCUUUGUUUCAAGCUGACCAAUUCAUUUUCAACCUUGGCCUCAUUCACAAACAAAUCUGACUUACACACUUGACUAUCCCAGUCUUUUGUGCCAAAGAUUUGUUCACCAAAUGGAGUCUUCUCCUCCUUCACAGCCUUGGUUGACAACUUGUUUCUUCUUGCACAAACAGUUCCUGAGUAUAGUUGCUUGCCUUCAUUCUGCCAUUUUGGCUUGCAACUAUACAACACACAUUAAGCUUCCACAUGUUGCUGAGCUCACACCUUUGACAGACUCACAUCUUUGCAUAUUGUCUUCAACAGGUGUCUUCAACAGGCUCGUACUUUGCUAAGCUUGCAGCUUUGACAUCUUGCUAAGCUUGCACAUUUGGAAAGCUCACACCUUUCCUUGAAACUCCUCCUUCAGCUUAUUCAAGCUUGUUUGGGGGUCUUAUAAAUUUGAGCCGGUGUUGAGCAGGGGAAGCAAAAUCAAUGGUCCCUUAAGACUUAGGCUCUUGAUACCAUUUGUUGGAACAUUUGGCAGCAGCAAAAGAAGAGAACAGAGAGCAUAACAAUGAAGCAAGGUGCAAGAAGGAUUUUUACUUGCUCACAAAUGUGUAGCAAGGGAGCUUAUGGCUGAUAGCCUAUUUAGCUCAUUCAUUCAACUAGAAAAACAACAUAUUUAUAGUCAAAUACAUCACCAAAUACUACCUACUACCACUAGUUUUACUUUGAAACAAGUAAAACUUAACUUGCACACAAGCUGAUUAUGUCAAUCAACACCUAAAAACAUCAAAACAAUACCAACUUAGUUCAUUUUCAACUAAGUAGCUUAACAAAGAAACUAAAGAGAAAACCUUGCUGCUACAGCAAGUAUACGUGCUGCAGCAUGUCAUCAAGCUGCAUGCACUUCAAACAGCAGCAUGGUUGGCCAAUUUCAACACUCGCUUUCGAAUACCUCCAUCUCUUCAUUCCACAUCGAACCAUUAAAGGAAAAGAUGCCAUGGUCUCAAAAAUUGGAAACAAAAACAGGUCGACUAAAGAACGGUAUUUCAUAUGAGAUGCGUAACACACUUCUAAUAGUGAUAGUGCUACCUACAAAAACCACUUACGAACCCUCUUUAAACCCUCCAAAGAUGUCUUAUGACAGUCCACCCAUGAAAUACCAAGUCUCCUUAAGUCAAGAUCAGUCUCUCAAUUCCCACACAUUUUUGCAUAAAACCGACAUCAAUACUGCACCCAUACCCAGUCCCUCCGCAUUUGACGUUUCCAAAAUAGAUUAUUGGACAUCUAAUCACUAGUUUUUGGUUUUGAACAUGUUCAACUUUUCGGUUGCAGUUCUUUUAAUAGGACUUCUCCUACCAUAUCAUCCAUUCUCUUUGUUGAUUUACUUACCACUUUCCUGCUGUAUGGCAUCUUACACGGAGUUAUAUGCUUCCUUAUGUGAGUUUUCCAAUAAAAACGCACUUCUUUCUGGCGUUUAUAAUUUUUCCUUUACAAUGUUGCUCCCUUUUCUCGUAGUAUGCGGGUCAAUCUUUUAUGUUAUGGGCAAAGAGACAAAAUUUUCUAAGAAUCUGAAUUAAAUUGUAUAUUUGUUGAAGUUAGCUUCCAUGCAACACAAGCAGCAACAAACGUGUCCAUGCAAGCCACAUGCAGAAAAGAAGCAGCACAUGAAGGCAGCAGCUUGAGCUCGACAUUGCUGUCUAAAUUCAACUAGUUUUGUUGGAUUAAGUUUAUAUUCUGUAACUUAGUUCUUAUAGAACUUAGUUGGUAAACUUUUGAUGUAUUUUUUGAUGAUUGAUUGACUGAAAAUCCAGCCAAUGUAACUUAUGCAAGCUGAUUAACAAUUUCCAAUGUAUUAAGUGGAGUUAGGUACGUGAUUAGGUAGUAUUUUGAUUUGUAAGUUUAACUCAAUGUUUGAUAUUUGUAAUGGCAACUUGCCAAUGUUUUGUUAAUGAAAAAUUAGAUUCUUUUUCAUUCAAAUUCUCUCCUUUCUUUGUGUUGCGCGGAAGCGUGUAAAAGAGUAAAAUUAUUGUACUAAAAAAUCACACUAAGUUCAAUUCCUAGGAAAGAGAGGUGGAUCACGAGGAUCGCUUAAGUACCAGGUCUUUCCUAGCCAGAAUAUCCCUCUAUCGUAAUUUAAUAGCACAAUAAAUCACUACAAUCACACUCGCAAAAUAUGCAAAAUAAACAAUAAAGAACACUAGAAUUUUAAUGAGGUUCAGAAAAUUUUGCCUACGUCCUCGGGCACUACCAAAUAUAUUUCACUCCAAAAUACAAGUGAAAGUUUACAAAUAAGGAGAGAGAACAAUUGCCUUAAGUAGAGAAUGGCAAAUGUGGGAUGUAGAAAAUGAGAAAUAGUUAGGCCUAUUUAUAGUUGAAGCUCAAGGAUCAACUUGCAAAGUCCCUAUACAAUUAGGGACCAAAAUUGCAAUUAUCCCAAGCCAAAUUUCAACCCUAAAAUCUAUGCCUUAAAUGUUUUGAGUUUCGGUGCCAAAUUUCUGACACCAUCCAUCGUUGAAAAGUCAAAGAUGGUUGCCAAUAAUCUCUACCUUGAAGAUUUGAUUAGGAUAAUCUUAUCUUCACACAAUUCUUUCUACCUUUGACAACAAUACUUGAUAGUGCCUUCUUCAACUGUUAAACUUACAGGAUAUUGAUCAAGUUCAAACAAUGUUCGAACUUGAUUGUUGUUACCACUUUGGUCAUCAUAUCUGCAGGAUUAUCUGCAGUCUUGAUCUUCUGAAAUUUUCCCCCCAUCAAUAAUUUCUCGCACAAAAUGGAAUCGUACGUCGAUAUGCUUUGUACAUGCAUGAUAGACUUGAUUCUUUGCUAAAUGAAUAGCACUUUGACUAUCACAAUACACGUUAAUAUGCUUCUGAACAAAUCCCAAGGUUUUAACCAUACCUUGUAACCAAAUAGCUUCAUUUACAGCCUCUGUUACAGCCAUGUAUUCGGUUUCUGUGGUUGACAACGCAACUGUAGACUGCAGUGUAGACUUCCAACUUAUAAACACAUAACCGGUGGUUGAUCUUUGUUUGUCCAAAUCACCGGCAUAGUUAGAAUCAACGUACCCAAUAACACCUUUACCAAGUGUAGUAUCCUGCUUGAACAGUAAUCUAACAUCCACGGUCUUCAGAAUAUAUCGUAGAAUCCAUUUCACAGCUUGCCAAUGUCCUUUUCCAAGAUUAUGCAUAUACCUGCUCACUAUACUAACUGCCUGUGAAAUGUCGGGUCUUGUACACACCAUUGCAUACAUCAAGCUACCCACUGCAUUAGAAUACGGAACUUGUAACAUGUAUUCUUGUUCCGUAUUCGUCGAAGGAGAUAGUUGUGCAGAAAGCUUGAAAUGAGAAGCCAACGGGGUACUUACAGGUUUUGUUUGCUCGUUCAUGCCAAAUUGCUGUAGUACUUUCUUCAAAUACUGCUUCUGAGAUAAACUAACUCUGCCAUGAGCUCUAUCUCUACAUAUUUCCAUGCCAAGAAUCUUCUUAGCUUCACCUAGAUCUUUCAUCUCAAACUCGAGAUUGAGCUGAGUCUUCAAUCUCUCAAUCUCAACUUUGCUCUUAGAUGCUAUCAGCAUAUCAUCAACAUAUAAGAGCAGGUAUAUGGAAGUUCCUACUUGUAGCUUCUGAAAAUACACGCAAUGAUCAAAUUUACUUCUUGUGUACCUUUGUCCUUUUAUGAACUGAUCAAAUCGCUUGUACCACUGCCUCGGAGAUUGUUUCAAUCCAUAAAGCGACUUCGUCAGUUUGCAAACCCAAUUUUCUUUAUCAGCAACCUUGAAUCCAUCAGGCUGAGUCAUAUAGAUCUCCUCUUCCAAAUCACUGUGUAAAAAAGCCGUCUUCACAUCAAGCUGAACUAGUUCAAGGUCAUAUUGCACAACCAGGGCUAGCAAAAUCCGAAUAGACGAAUGCUUCACAACUGGAGAAAACACUUCAUUGUAGUCUAUUCCUUCUUUCUGAGCGUAACCUUUUGCUACCAAUCUAGCCUUGUAUCGAAUUUCAUUUUUACCAGAAAAUCCUUCCUUCUUUGCAUAUACCCAUUUGCAUCCAAUUGCCUUAUUUCCCUUGGGCAGUGUCACCAACUCCCAAGUCCUAUUUUUAUGAAGAGACUGCAUUUCUUCAUUCAUAGCCUGCUUCCACUUUACACCAUCAGGGUUACUUAUUGCUUCUGUGUAAGUAGAAGGAACAUCAUCAUCUGCAAUUGGAAGUGCAUAGGCCACUAUAUCAUUAAAGAGAGCAGGCUUACGAAUCUCUCUUCUUGGCCUCCUAUAUGCAAUUGAAUCUUGUUGCUAUAGAAGUUCUUGAGUCGAAACUUCUUCAUCAUUUGCUCCUUUAGUAUUAGCUGGAUCAUCAUUAACCUUUUCAAGCUCCACCUGCUGCAAAGUGCCACUAGUUUUGUCAUCCUUUUGUGAAUCAUUGUUCUUCAUCAUGGUUGAUUCAUCAANNNNNNNNNNNNNNNNNNNNNNNNNNNNNNNNNNNNNNNNNNNNNNNNNNNNNNNNNNNNNNNNNNNNNNNNNNNNNNNNNNNNNNNNNNNNNNNNNNNNAUCAGGACACCAGAGACGGUAUCCUUUUACUCCACUAGUUAUACCCAUGAAUAAUGCUUUCUUUGCUCUUGGGUCUAACUUAGAUUCUUUUACAUGAUAAUAUGCAGUGGAACCAAAAACAUGUAAAGAAUCAUAAUCAGUAGCAGGUUUACCAGUCCACAUCUCCAUAGGAGUUUUUCCAUUUAUUGCAGCUGAUGGCAACCGGUUAAUUAGAUGGCACGCAUAUGUAACUGCCUCAGCCCAAAAUUCCUUGCCCAAUACAGCAUUGGACAACAUACAUCGAACUUUCUCCAGUAUAGUCCGAUUCAUACGUUCUGCCACCCCAUUCUACUGUGGUGUAUCUCGAACAGUGAAGUGUCGCACAAUGCCCUCAUCUUGACAUACUUGUAGAAAUGGAUCAUUUUUGUACUCAGUACCAUUUUCUGAUCGAAGUCGUUUGACCUUUCGACCAGUCUGAGUCUCCACCAUCUUCUUCCACUUCAGAAAUGCAUCCAAAACUUCACUUUUUCUUUUCAUUAGAUACACCCAUACUUUUCUUGAAUAAUCAUCAACAAAAGUAACAAAAUAGUGCAUACCUCUCAAAGAAGCCACUUUGGUAGGUCCCCACACGUCACUGUGAACAUAGUCCAGAAUUCUUUCCGUAUUGUGAAUUACUGAACCAAAUUUUACCCUCGCCUGCUUGCCCAGAACACAAUGUUCACAGAAUUCAAAUUUGCAAGAAUUUACACCUUUCAACAAGCCUUGCUUCGCCGAAGUCUACAAAGCUUUUUCACCAGCAUGUCCUAAUCGCAUAUGCCAUAACCUGGUAGCCUCUGAAUCUGCAUCUUUCGCAAAAGCUGUUGAUGUUGAUCCAAUAAUUGUACUUCCAUUUAAAUAGUACAAGUUAUUUCUUCUAGUGCCUUUUAUCACCGUCAAUACCCCAGCUACUACCUUUAGUAAUCUAUCUCUCAAAGUGACUGUGAGCCCUUUAGGUUCUAGGGCCCCUAAUGAGAUGAGAUUUUUCUUCAAGCUAGGUACACAGCGAACAUCUGUCAAGACUUGGAUUGAGCCGUCGUGAUUCUUCAAUUUGAUUGUACCUACUCCUAUUGUCUUACAAGCACUGUCAUUGCCUAUAAAAACAACUCCACCUUCUAGUUUUUCAAGACUAGAAAAUCAAUCCUUAUUAGGACACAUAUGUUAAGUACAUCCCGAAUCCAAGAUCCACUCAUCCGUAUGACAUUUCAUUGCCAUGCCAACCAAGCUAAAGUCUGACUCCUCAUCAUGCUCCGCUACACAUGCAUCAGAAAUAGCCUUGCCCUUUUGUAACUUAAGACAAUUCUUUUUCCAGUGCCCUUUCUCACGACAAAAAGCACAUUCAUCUUUGGCGGGUCUCCCUUUGGACUUGCCCCUUCUACGAGGUUUGUUGCUGUGUGAACGACCUCUUACUAUUAAGACUACUGCAGUUGUAUCUCUGUGAUCUCUUUUAUCUUUCUUUCGAGUCUCAGAUCUGUACAACGCACUACAAACUGCAUCAAAUAUGAUCGUAUCCUUCCCAUGAAGCAAUGUGGUGGUAAGAUGAUCAUAUUCAUCGGGAAGAGAAUUCUACAACAAUAAUGCCUUGUCUUCAUCUUCAAACUUCUCAUCCAAAUUUAGCAAGUCUGCUAAAAUUUUAUUGAAUGAGUUCACAUGGUCAUUCAUCGACAUUCCGGGUGCAUACGUGAACCGAAAAAGUUUCUUUUUCAUAUAAAGCCUAUUUUCAUGACUUUUCGUUAGAAACUUUUCUUCCAGUGUAUCCCACAACUUCUUCGCUGAUGUCUCCCUCAUGACAGAGUACUUCUGCUCUUUGGCCAAACAUAGGCGGAUUGUACCACACGUCUGUCUAUUGAUCUUGGCCCACUCCUUGCCAUCCAUCUUGUCAGGUUUUUCUUCAAGGGCUAUAUCCAACUCUUGCUGACAUAAGACAUCCAGGAUCUCACACUAUCACAUACCAAAAUUAUUGGUACCAUCAAAUUUAUCUACAAAUUUUGCAUUGGUCACGGUAGUCUUUGUUGAUGACGAUGCCUCUGCCAUUUUUCUCCUCAAUCCCAACUACUGUAUAUGUGAACAGUACCGUCUACGUGAAUAGUGCAGUGGAUGAACAAUACCGUAUACGUAAAUAGUAUCGUAAACGGUCGUACUCCCCAAGUACGAAUCUAGCUUCGAUACCAAUUGUUGCGCGGAAGCGUGUAAAAGAGUAAAAUUAUUGUACUAAAAAAUCACACUAAGUUCAAUUCUCAGGAAAGAGAGGUGGAUCACGAGGAUCGCUUAAGUACCAAGUCUUUUCUAGCUAGAAUAUCCCUCUAUCGUAAUUUAAUAGCACAAUAAAUCACUACAAUCACACUCACAAAAUAUGCAAAAUAAACAAUAAAGAACACUAGAAUUUUAACAAGGUUCAGCAAAUUUUGCCUACGUCCUCGGGCACUACUAAAUAUAUUUCACUCCAAAAUACAAGUGAAAGUUUACAAAUAAGGAGAGAGAACAAUUUCCUUAAGUAGAGAAUGACAAAUGUGGGAUGUAGAAAAUGAGAAAUAGUUAGGCCUAUUUAUAGUUUAAGCUCAAGGAUCAACUUGCAAAGUCCCUAUACAAUUAGGGACCAAAAUUGCAAUUAUCCCAAGCCAAAUUUCAACCCUAAAAUCUAUGCCUUAAAUGCUUAGAUUUUCGGUGCCAAAUUUCUGACACCAUCCAUCUUUGAAAAGUCAAAGAUGGUUGCCAAUACUUUGCUUUUGUUUUUUGUUUUCCACUUGCAAAGCUUUUCUUCUGUUUUGUUUCUUCCCCAAGCCACGAGGCUUGCUGUCCAAGAAAGGCUAGACCAGCUUGCUUACUGCCUUUAACACCAACAAUAUUUCUGUAAUAAUAAAAAUGAAAAUUUAUCAGUUUAAUAGUCUAUAUUUUUAUAUUUUUUAGAAGAUUAAAUCAAAAUUUUGUCAUUUAUAGGAGCCAAAAUAUAAUUUUAUCAUUACUAAUUUAAAAUUUUAUAAAUUAUAAAAGACUUAAAUAGAAAAAAUCAUUUUAAGGAGGCUCUAGCUCCCUGACUCCGCCUCUGCAGGUGGGUAACCGGUACCAAUCCAAAAUUCUCCAUCCUCAUAGUAUAAUCUUUUACAUUGGCUUCCUCCUUUCUACAUUGUGUCCAGUUUCGUGGAUCCUUCUAAUGUAAAUGCCGAAAGCGUAAUGAAGUUUUGGGGUUUGUAUUAGAGAUGGUGAUGGAGUAGUUAUUGGGUUGAGCUGGUUCAUUAGUUCCUUUCAUCUCUUCUACCGGACUCUUAUUCUUUUUUUGUUAUCAAGGGUGAAGGUCUGCACAUACUUUUGUUUAGGCCUAAUCAUCUAUUGAGGAAGAGCUAUGUUGUAAUGAUAAAAGAAGUGUGAAUUUGUUUGUCAAGUAGUAGUUGUAUCAGGAUCUUAACCAGAAUCUUAAAUAAAGGGAAAUGUAUUUGUUAUGUGCUCAUGAUACAUAUCAUCGACUCCAACACCCUUAAAAGUGAUUCAUCAAAACAGCAUUCUAAAAUAUUUACUUUAAUUGUAAUUAUUUGGUAGGCUUUACAAACGAGGUUGAGAUUUUGUUACAUAUUUUGUUUAUUUUUUUAAAUGAGAUUGAAAUUUUGUUACAUAUCUUAUUUAUUUUUUAAAAAAUUCAAUAUAAUUUAAAGGCACGUGACGGUAUAAAUUCUACUUGUACAAUUUAAAAUUUUCCAUUGGCAAUAUUUUAAAUAAUUAUCCUUAAUUUAAAACAAAUAAGUGUUGAGUGUAAUAGUAAAAUAUAUUGCAUUUCCAAGAAAAGAUGUAAGUUCAAACCUUGAAAAUAAUAUUGUUAGAGCGGCAGCCAUGAACUCCAGAUAUGGACCAUAAAAUGGAUAUAAAAAAUACGUAAAAUAUUUAGAAAAAUAAUAAAAUAUAAAACAUCACGUUAGAGUACUAUUACAUAUUACUAUAGAUUUAAUUUUAUGUGUUAUAAAUAAUAUAAUAUAUAAAAAUAACAAAAUAUAUAACAUUACAAACUUAGAAAAACGGGUUUAACCUGGGCUGACCUGGUCUUUAAAUGUUCAAGCCCAUUUUUCAAAUCUAAUCUUUUUACCUAAAUCCUCCUAAUUUUUUAAACAAGCGAAUAUUCGGAGGAUUCUUCUGACCAAAAUAGAAAAUAUAUCAAAAAACUAAAAAGUAUAAUAAAAAUAAUAAAUAAAAAAUUUACAUAUAAUUUGGAAUUUCUAAUUGUACUUAGAAGUAUAACGUAUAAUUGUAGUUUGUCAGCAAAGUUGUUUCUUUUUUUUUUCUUCAAAUUCAAAGAAUUCUUCUCCCUUUAUACAUAGGUCAUCAAUUCAGCAUUGGAAAAAGGGGCUCAAAUCGUUUUAUCGACAUGAGUGUUUUAUGUCGAAAAAAUAUUUUUGUUUUGAAAAUAUUUCUGUAUUUAGUAACAUAGUNNNNNNNNNNNNNNNNNNNNNNNNNNNNNNNNNNNNNNNNNNNNNNNNNNNNNNNNNNNNNNNNNNNNNNNNNNNNNNNNNNNNNNNNNNNNNNNNNNNNNNNNNNNNNNNNNNNNNNNNNNNNNNNNNNNNNNNNNNNNNNNNNNNNNNNNNNNNNNNNNNNNNNNNNNNNNNNNNNNNNNNNNNNNNNNNNNNNNNNNNNNNNNNNNNNNNNNNNNNNNNNNNNNNNNNNNNNNNNNNNNNNNNNNNNNNNNNNNNNNNNNNNNNNNNNNNNNNNNNNNNNNNNNNNNNNNNNNNNNNNNNNNNNNNNNNNNNNNNNNNNNNNNNNNNNNNNNNNNNNNNNNNNNNNNNNNNNNNNNNNNNNNNNNNNNNNNNNNNNNNNNNNNNNNNNNNNNNNNNNNNNNNNNNNNNNNNNNNNNNNNNNNNNNNNNNNNNNNNNNNNNNNNNNNNNNNNNNNNNNNNNNNNNNNNNNNNNNNNNNNNNNNNNNNNNNNNNNNNNNNNNNNNNNNNNNNNNNNNNNNNNNNNNNNNNNNNNNNNNNNNNNNNNNNNNNNNNNNNNNNNNNNNNNNNNNNNNNNNNNNNNNGAACUAAGAAGGAGAAGGAAGAAAGCGAGUCGGUGUGUAUAAUUUUUCAUCAUCAAAUUAAUCCUUCCCACGGAUUAUUGUCCUAACGAAUAUUAAUUGUAGGGCUGAAAUCUUGAUAGAAUUCGAAAAAGCGAGGAGUAAGUCCCAAGCCAAUAAAAAUAAGAAAAACAAAUACAAAAUUCUCAUGUUUAUAGGAUUAAACAAAGAGAUUCACAAAUAAGAGUGCCAAUGCUACAACCAGCCCAUAAAUUGUUAAAGCUUCCAUAAAAGCCAAACUAAGCAAUAAAGUACCUUGUAUUUUUCCCUCCGCCUAGGGUUGUCUAGCGAUACCUUCUACAGAUUGGCCCGCAACAGUACCUUGACCAACUCCAGUCCAAUAGAAGCAAGCUCGACAGCCGACCCUGCAGCAAAAACGGAAGUGGCAGAAAUCAGUGGAUUCAUGAUAAGUUCUUCGCACCAAAAUAAAGAAAUGGUUAAUGAUACAAUCAUCCAAUGAAUUUUAACUUAAUUAUAUUAUUCCAUCGCUAAGAUUCAACCUGCCGAAGUAACUAAGAACUCCGAAUGGAAGUGAGAAGAUUAUUGAACUGUCAGAACUAUUUUGACAUCUUUUUUUUAGGUCCUAUCCACUAGAUUUUUUUUGAAUCCGCAUAUAUUUUGUUCUUCCCUUUCUUUUUUCCAACCCAUUCUUUACUUUGAAUUCUUCGUUUUUAUCUUUAUUUUAUCUCUUUAUUCGUUCAAUUCAGAGUCAAAGACAAAAUAGAGGAACUUCUAUUCUUCUAUUGGAAUACCUAUCUAAGUCCACAGUAGUAGGUUGGAUUAGAUAUAUUUUAAGUUCGUAUAUAACUAGUCAAUAUCUCAUAUCCCAUAUACAUGUGUUUCUUACAUAACGUAAACCAACUAUUCAUGUCUUAGAUUCAAUUGGAUUCUAGAAUUAUUCCUCAAAGGAUAGACAAGAGCUGUCUUAUAGCCAUUAGAUUCCAUAUACCUAAUUUUACCCCCUUUUUUUUCCUAAUAAUUUUUUAUAUCGUUUUUUUAUUGUAAAUUCGUCUCUUCCUUUUAUUUUUUAUUUAGUAGCAUUAUCUCACAUGGAUACAAUCUAAAUGGACGAAUUCAUUAGACCAAAUCAUUGCAUACAAAUAAAACAUCAAUAUCAGUAUUUGAUUGAGCUAAGUUCAUGCAAUUUAUUUCAUUAUUUAUGAAAAAAAAUUCUUUAGGUCAAUCAUUGAAUUGAAUGUAGAAAUUGACUAAAAUGGGAAUCAUUCUAUAUAAAGAACAACUUUUUUAAAAUCAUAGACCCUAAAUUGAUAAGAAUUCCUAUUCUAAUUAGGACUCAUAAUAUUGAAAUUGAAUAAACAAAAACAAUAUCAAGAUAAAGAUAAUNNNNNNNNNNNNNNNNNNNNNNNNNNNNNNNNNNNNNNNNNNNNNNNNNNNNNNNNNNNNNNNNNNNNNNNNNNNNNNNNNNNNNNNNNNNNNNNNNNNNUUUCAAAAACAAAAACUAAUCAAUGAUGGCCCUCUAUGGAUUCGCCUAUAUAAGCCGCAGCUAAAGUUGCAAAAAUAAGAGCUUGAAUCCCACUUGUAAAUAAUCUAAGGAACAUGACAGGUAUAGGGACUACUGAAGGUACUAAAGAAACAAGAACAACAACUACUAAUUCAACAGCUAAUAUCUUCCCAAAAAGUCGAAAAACUAAGUGAUAAGGGUUUUGUGAAAUCCUCUAAAAUGUUAAUAGGUAAAAGAAUUGGAGUGGGUUGAAUGUAUUUACUAAAAUACCCCAAUUCUUUUUUUGAAAGACCUGCAUAGAAAUAUGCUACUGACGUGAGUAAAGCUAAAGCAACAGUAGUAUUUAUAUCAUUUUUGGGUGCGGCUAACUCUUCAUGAUGUAAUUGUAUGAUUUUCCAAGUUAACAGAGCGUCCGACCAGUUAGAAACAAAAAUAAAUAGAAACAUAGUUCCAAUAAAGGGAACCCAUGGACCAUAUUCUUCUCCAAUCUAAGUUUUGCUUACUUCUUGAGUGAAUUAAAGAACAUAUUCGAAGAAAUUUUGACCGACAGUUUGAAUUGUUUGUGGAUUCCGAACUGCGAUAACGACGGAACCUAAUAAGAUAGCAAUUAUAACCCAAGAAGUAAUAAGUACUUGGGAAUGGACUUGGAAACCUACUAUUUACCAAUAGAAAUGUUGGCUUACUUCCACACCAGAGAUAUCGUAUAACCCGUUUAGUGCGUUUGAUAUACCAUUCAUAUUGCCCUCUGACAGAAAUAGAAGUUUACUUAAAAAAAAGGAAUUAUUUUUAUUCAAUCUUCUCUUGCCUACUCAAAUUCUAUAUUUUUGACACCGACGAAACUAAUCACACAAUAUUCACAAUUUUUUUUAUCUCUUUUGUGCGAUUCAGGAUAUAGUAACUGAUUCCAUAGAUCUAUGUAGUUCCAAAAAAUAAUUUAUUUAUCUUAUUAUUAAUAAAGGAUUUCGUAUAUAACUAGAAUGACCCUCACAAAUUGCGACUACUAAUUUGUUAAGAAUUAAUCGAAUUAAAGCUAUAGAGUCAUCAUUUGCUGGAAUCGAAAUAUCUGCGAGAUUAGAUUGCUAUUUGUAUCGAUUAAACAAAUUGCUAGAAUUCCGAAAUUGAUACAUUCUCGCAGAGCCGUAUAUUCUUCUUGCUGAUCAAUGAUGAUUACAAUAUCAGACAAUCUUGUCAUAUAUUUAAUCCCGCCUAGAUAUGUUUGUAAGCGAGUUAAUUGUCUUUUUAACAUAGCUGUAUCUCUUUUCGGAAGAUAGUUGAGUCCCCCGGUCUUUUGUUCUGUUCUCAAGUCCCUGAACUUAUGAAGCCUCGUUUUUGUAGUGGGCUAAGUUGUUAACAUACCACCGAGCCAUUAGAAAAAGACAAUUGAAGAAGAAUUGUCCAUAAAUUUGCAGUCAAUAGUUAAUGGUUCCAAUUUAUUGUCCUGAAUUUGACUUUUGGAACUGAGAAUCCNNNNNNNNNNNNNNNNNNNNNNNNNNNNNNNNNNNNNNNNNNNNNNNNNNNNNNNNNNNNNNNNNNNNNNNNNNNNNNNNNNNNNNNNNNNNNNNNNNNNNNNNNNNNNNNNNNNNNNNNNNNNNNNNNNNNNNNNNNNNNNNNNNNNNNNNNNNNNNNNNNNNNNNNNNNNNNNNNNNNNNNNNNNNNNNNNNNNNNNNNNNNNNNNNNNNNNNNNNNNNNNNNNNNNNNNNNNNNNNNNNNNNNNNNNNNNNNNNNNNNNNNNNNNNNNNNNNNNNNNNNNNNNNNNNNNNNNNNNNNUAUUAGAUUGGAUAGAUAAUUGACUUUUACUCUAUGAGAGACACCAAAAAAAAGAAUAAGUCUUAUUAUUGAUACAUGUGAGUAACAUUCUUUUGAUACUUCCAAAAGUGUUACUGCGCAUUUUGUUUGUGCUUAAUGGUUCUCGAUUUUACUCGAAAUCAUAUAUAUGUCUAAUUACAAUCUUAAUCCCCAUCAAAGUAGCAACAAAAUCAACAUUUAGUAUCUUAAUAAAGUCUAGGAUCUCUGAGAUAAGUUUUAAAGAGAUUUGAUCCUGUCUCCUUAAAAUAGGGGAUUCGAUUGUUUGAUCUAAUCCAAUAUUCAAGAUACAUUUUUUCUUCUAGAUCGAUUUCCAAUAUAAAAUAACACACGUCCAAAAUAACAAUAAAGAUCAUGAGCUAAAUGUUUUGUUUUAAAAACUUACCAACUCUAAAUAAAACAAGUUAUGUAAUUUACACAGCACAGAAUGCAGUUGUAACUUCCAUCCUCAUCAUUCCUUCAACAAUUUUCUCUUAAAUUUAACAUCUUUGAACAAAACACUAACAAAGGGGAAUCCCACAUUGUGCGGUUUCAUCAACGUUGGUUUCUCCUUGUUUUGGUUUAAAAUUAGGUCAUUUCAAGGGUUUUCCAUUAUAUGAAUGAGGUUUAACAUAAAAAAAAAGUACACAUUCCAAUAAAUAAUCAGAAAAUUAGCGUAAUUUUAAUAACUAGAAUAAAAUUUAUCAAUAUUAUAAAGAAGUGAUAAAUAGCGAUUCCGAAUUUGCUAUUAGCUGAUUUGGUCAAGAUUUAAUACUUCAAUUUAACCAUUUCCAAUUUCCUGGAAGGGAAGGGACCCCUUUUCCCAUACACAUUCAGCAUUGCUCACACUUUUUAGUGCAUGUUCUUUAAUGAAGUUUACUUAUAUUACAACAUCUAGACUUAAUUAUAAACAAAUUAUUUAUAUUUAUCUACUUAAAUAGAUUAUCCUUUACAAUUAAAGACAAAAACAUUCCACUAACCUUUCCUGUCGGAGCAGCUGCCAGGAAGGUACCAAUUGACAUAGGAGGAAAAUUAGAAGUUUAACCACCGAAAGCGAUUAAUUCAAAAAUUAAAGACUAGUAUGGUCCGUCAACAAGGAAACAAUAUAAAGUCAAAAAGGGCAGACAAACAAAGUAGAGAUUUAUGCCUAAAUGGCACCAUAUCAAAGCCAACUUGAUAUCAAGAAAAGAAAUCAUAAAUAAUAUAAUUGUUUUUUGAAAGUAAAAACAAAAUUGUGAUGAAAAAAAUAAAUUUACUUUUUUUUUCUAAUUCAUUAUAAAUAAAAGGUGAAUUUAAUCUCUUUUACUAUAGAUUAUUAGUAAAAAUAAAAGUUAAAUUUAAAAGUUUUUUCAUUAUUAUAAAUAUAUUAUCAUUGUUUAUAUUUAAUCACAUUUCUAUUUUUUUAAUAAAAAUGUUUAAAAUUAUCCAUAAUUCCUUCUCAAUAUUUUAAUAGGAGGAUAAAUACAUUCUAUCGUACUCGAACCCACAUCCUCCUAUACCAACAAUAAUGCCGAUACUAACUGAGCUAACACUCAAUUAGACUAUUGAGUAGAGAAGUUCAUUAACCCAACUAGAUUAUUACUUAAAGUUCUUAGGCACAUCAUAUGUGAAUAAAUUUGAAAUAGAAAGAAAAAAGAACUUUCAAGGAAAAGUGAAAAAGCAAAGGGAAUGAUUAUUAUUUGAUAUAUAGUAGAAUCUUUUAAUUCUAUAAAUGAGAUCUUUUUAUAAUUUUUAUUUACUUUUUUGGAUUUAUCUAUUUUUUUUGAAUUUUUAGAAUUUAAUUUAAAUUGAUAGAAUAGGUAAACAAUAGAAUUAAUUUUGUUAUAUUUUUUAAAAUUAUCAAAUUUAUAGAAUAGGUAAAUAUUAAGAGCUAAAAACAUCAAUAUUACAUUAAAAAUUUAACUUAUGAGUAACCUCUUGAAACCGUUUUUUGAACAAAAUUGGCUUAUGAUAUUAUAGAAAACAUAAAAUUUUAAUUUUUAAACCGUUGGGUUUUUACUAAGAAAAUAGAAAUCGCAACCAAUCAUUUUGAUAAGGUGCGAUCGAUCACCUAAUAAAUUAACUUUUUAAAAUGAAAAUUUUUUGAAAUUCUCUUAAAAGGAUAAUUUUUUGAAACUACGUUUAGGGUUUGGGAUAUGUACAAGAAAAAUUAUAACACCUUCGUAAUGCCCAAAAAUUGAUAACUUGUUCAUUACGUGUUGUAUCAUAUCUUAGAAAUAUGAGUUCAAACUUGCAGUACUUAAUUGUCAUCCUUUAAAAUUAAAAUGAAUACAAAUUUAUUUAAUGAGCGAAUUUAAAAUUGAAAUUUGAAAAAUUGUCAAAUUUUGCAUUUUUGUUUAUUUAAAAGACAUUUUUUUUUAUUCAUCCGAGUUUGAAAACAGCAUUCCAUCAUUAAACACAAUCAACAAUAUCAUAUUCCAAAAAUUUUGGUAUCGACCUCAUCAAUUUUUUAAUAUUGAAAUGUCAGCAAAAUAUAUUUAACGAAUAUACAUAAUAUCACAAUUAAAUGUCAAUCUCAAUCACGAAAUUCAACUAUAUUUCAAAAAAAAAAAUAUCUUCACAUGGAUUUUAUUUUAUGGUAUAUGUCAUGACAGUUAUUAUAUAACAAGAAAUUGGCAAUCUAGCAAUGGCAUGGCGAUAUAAUUAGAACAAAAAAUUUGGGAUAUUCAAGUUUGAAGAGACAUGGAAUCACACUAUAAUAUUAAGGCAUUACAAUAUCUUCAAAAACAUCAGUCACAUAUCUCAACAACAUGAAGAGAAAAAAAUAAAGCUGCAUAAGGGAACUAUACCGAAGUGCCAAGAAUUGUAAUGUUGUGAGUGCUUACAUAUAUGGACGCAUAGAAAUUAAAUUUGAGAACAAAGACUCCUGGGGGAAACCAAAACUUCGAAUAUAGAUCUGGGUGAAACCAGAAUUUUGAAAUGACUAACUGGACGAAACUAAAAUUUGGAAAGUAGACUGAGCAAAACCAGAAUUUGAUUAUUUAGGUGAUUAUUUGAUGCUAAUGGUGAAUUUUAUACUCUUAAUCCUUUAAAUUCAUGUUUUAAUGCAUAAUAGAGCAUUUGGGUGCAAAAUGAGUGAAAACCGAAAAAUCGGAGCAAGUUAUAGGAGCCACAUGGGUUGACCUAUUCCACACGACCUAGACACAUGACCGUGUGAGCCACACAGCCAUGUAGUAGGCCAUGUUGAUUUCGUGAAUUUGCACCCUAAACUGUGGGAAAUCGCAUUUUUUAGAUUUUUCAGGAAUUCUAAGACGUAUAUAUGAUAAAAGUAAAAAGAUAGGAAUGAGUCGUCAUAGAAUACUCAAGAAAACAUCUCGAAAAACACCAUUGAAACUAAUUCUAAAGUAGAUUUCCGUCAAGAUUGAAGAUUCUCAUUUGAUUUCUUUGGAGAUUGUCAUGAGUUUCUUUAUUUCUUUUCAAUUAUACUGUGUUUUGGAUUUUUUUAUUUUCUUUUCAAGCAUGAACUAAUUUUCUAAAUACCUAGGGGAGAUGAACCCUAUGAUAAAUUCUGUCUUUUGAUUUUUAUUUUUCGCAAUAAAUAUUUAGAUCUUGUUUUCAAUUAAGUGUGCCUAAUUCUUGCUUUAAUAUUUCUAAAUUAUUGAUUUAUAUUUGAUGUACUUAAAUCAGAGGAGGAAAAGACCCUGUUUGAGAGUAGAUCUUGUGUAAUUGAGUGGAGUUACAUGCAAUUCUAGACAUAGAAUGACAUAAAUAUACUGGAUUAGAUUCAAAUCUAAUGGGCGAAUCCAUAGCACGAGUUAAUGCGAUAAUAGGGGUCUUAAUUAGAAAGAAAAUUCAAUUAAUCAACCUAGAGUCAGUUACUCUUACUCUCGAAAGUGAUAUUAACAUAAUUUGGAGAUUUUUACAGAUCAAUAUACUAAGUAAAGAAAUAGCGUAAUUUAGAUUGAUAGUUACAAAUGAAAUUUAGGCGAAUUCUUUCCUGAGUAUUGUUUCACUUCUUGGUUAUUACUCUCUUUUUUUAUUUGUUCUUUGAUCGUGUUCGUUAGUUAAUUAAUUUAGUUAAUUUUAGUUUUAAUCAUUCACUCGAAUUUAUCGGUUAAAUAAUAGAAAGACAAUAAUAACUAGUACUUUUAGUCUUCGUUGGAAUGAUAUAUUUGCUCAUUGUAACUAUAUUAUUAAUUGAUAAGUCCACUUGCCUUAGCCAAAUUUUUAAUUAAUUUCGUGAGACAUUAAUACUUUCUUGUUAUACUACUCUUACAUUGUUCUAUAAAAAAUUACUACAAAAAUACUUUAUAGAAAUUUAUUUUCUUGCUAUACUCUACUCAGUACUUAAUGAACUAUUUUCUUCAGUAUAAAACACAAACAAUCACCAGACUUCAUUGUAUUCUCAAAGUUUAUUUUUUCUUAAAACUCAUUUGCACACUAAGUAUAGGUGCGGUGGAUAGGACUUUAAAAGUAAUGACUUGAUACAUGUCUUGAAGCCUUAUCUUAUUGCUUUGAUUUUCUAUUCGAGUUGUUGUUCAUGCUUCGUUCAUAUGUUUGAGAUUUUCCUCACCAAAAUUCGGCAUUACCAUUUAAUUCUUCUUUUAAGUCAUCCCAUAACUAUUUGUUCCAUUAAAUUUUGGUCAUAUCUACUUUCAUUUUUCAAGGGUUUGAUUAAGACUUCAUUAAUUUGUUAACCAUUACAGAAUUUGGGCCGAAGCCCAUAGAUUGUCAUGAAUAUUGGUUUAAUAAGCUCUCCUUUUGAAAACAUCACAACCACUUAUGCUCCUCAAUGAAUCACUACUUUCCCACUACACAAACAAAUUGUCACUCACACAUCAAACAAAUCACAUUCAAGAGACUACAAGGCCUUGUUAACAAAAGCAAACAAGACCUCAUACAAGAGAUGAAAGGGGACCAAUUAACCAGCUGAAACGAAUAAGAAUUCAACGAAGAUCACUCAAAGAAAUUGGAGUCCUUCAAUAUGGUUUCGGUAUUAAGGAUAGCUGGAACAAGAAUAAAAGCAAAGAGGAUAAAGGAAACGAUUUGUACGAGGACGAACAUCUUUGUUUUAGGCACAAACCUGCAGAAAACAUAACGGGCUAUCCGGUAUGAAACCAGCAGUGCUAGCGAUGUUGACAAGCAGUAAUUUAGAAUGCAGAGAGCACGAUAGGUCAAGGGUAUAGUAGUUUGAAGAGAAACCACAUACUGAAGUUUCCACGACCAUGUGGACACAGCAACUAAAAGCAUGUAACAGGUCCCAAACAAGGAAAGGGUUAUGAGAAGAAACAAGCUGAUUGAACGACUUGGUAGGAGAUAUGCUGUUAACCCGAUUGCUGCCCAAAAGGUUAAUGUGUUGUAUAACCAAAACAUGGAUGAUACGUCUAUUAAAUCUGACCAAUUAAUCUGAUCAUCGGCCAGUGGUGGCAGAGGACCUGGUAGGGGUGCAGUGCUGUCGGUUGAUUCUAAAGAUGCGUAAUACUUGAUAUGGUAUUUCAUGGAUGAACUGUUAUCAGCUUUCUUUGGAGGGCUUAAAGAGGCAGCGUAAGUGACUGUUAUAAUUAGCACUGUCACUACUAGAAAUGUAUUACGCAUCUCAAGCGGGAUAUCCUUUCUUCCUCGACCUGCCAUUGUUGCAAAUUUUUGAAAACAUGACAUCUUCGGCCUUAAUGAUUUGAUGUGGAUUGAAGAGAUGGACUUAUUGGGAAGCUUGGAACCACACAAACCUCCUGCUUUUGUUAUCAUAUCUUUAACCGAGCCCUUAUAAUUAUUCACUUGCCUUUCAUCCAAUGGACAGUCUGGUUGGAUAUCUAAAGCAGUGGAUCCCUUCAAAUUUUUGGCAUUGAUAUGGUCUCGACGCAAGUGCCCCAGCAAUACUUGCACCACCUGUUAAUUAGAAAAUUCAUGUAAAUAACCCUUUUAUCAUAUACGUAUAUACAUCAAUAAUUGAGUUAACUAGCAAAUUAGCAUACCUGAGGUGAGUUUUUGAUAGCUGAAAUGUGUAGGACAUUGUUGCCAUCAAUGUCUGCCCAACUAAGCAGUUCUUUCUCCCAACGUUGGGCAGCUUCAUGGCGGCUCCUUAUAAGCCACCCCACCAAGACUUGAAAUGCUUCAAACUUGUCCUUUUUUACUGCAAGAUGGAAAACCGUCUCGUCUCGAACAGUCACAUCUUCAACAGCCUCAGGGCAAACCUCAAGGAACUUGAUCAAAAGAUCAACAUCUCCAGUUUGAGCCACAUGAUGCAGAGGGGUCAAGCCUUCCCUUCCUUUAACACGAACAAGGCCUUCAUCAAACUUGAGGAGUCGAAGCACAGCUUGAGUUAUGUUAUUUUGCAGAGCCAAGUGCAUGGGGCUAAACCCAGCUAGAUUUAACUUUCUUGCAAACGAUGGCUUUAAGUUGAUCAUCUCCAUCAUAAAAUCAACAUGCCCAGAACUGACUGCUACAUGCAAUGGAGUGUCAAGAAAAGGAACAUGAUCAAUACGCUCCAAAACAUAUGGAUCUUUCUGAAUUAGCAAACACAAGACAUUAAUGUUUCCUGUUUGUGCAGCCUCUAUCAUUCUCCAAUCCAUAGCUAUGGAGAAGUGGAGGUAAUAAAUUACGCAGCAAAUUUUCAGGCUACUGAGAAAUGAUGAAAUUUGCAGGAAAACACAGAGAAUAGAGACACAUAAGACAAUAUAAAGGGAAUAGAAGCUAUAUUUAGCAAAACACACAGCAAUCCAACCACAAUUUUAUACAUGACUUUAAACGCGCUAGUCUGAAGAGAAACUUCUUAAAAAGUCGAAGGUAACUUUCACACUCCAAUUACGACUUGUUUAAAAGAAUAGAAAAUAUAGAACCCAUUUUGGUUGAAUGGAAAUCUUACUUCCGAAAAAAAAAAAUCUAACCAAAAGGUUAGAGGUACAUAAAAUCGAAAUGAAACCCAACUCCUAGAACAGGAGGACAACAAACAGCUAUCAUCCUGGAUUAAAUAUAAAUGUUAAUUUCAUUCUAGAUACACAAUGCUUAAUAUAAUAUACUUCAACACACUCGAAUCCACAUCCUUCUGACAGCAAUGUCAAUUGAACUAAUACGCAAUAAAUAACACCACUAUAUUUAAUUUUUUUUAAAAAUAAUAACAUAUAUUUUAAAAAAUUCAAUUUAUAUGAGCCGGCCACCUUGCUAAGAUGAGAUUUUUUUGUUGUUUUCGGUCAUUUGCUUGUUAAAUUAACAAUUUUAUAUGAAUCUAUGUCAAAGCUGAACAUUUGGCAUACAUUCAUAUUAUAGAUGAGAUAGGUGAUUCACAUCAAAAUCAAAAUGUCGAGAGUCAAUAAGAAAUUUGAAAAAUACGAAAAGAGCUUCCAAUGAUAUCUUUGACGUUAAAGUAGGAAGAAGAAACUUGAUCUCUUUUUGUGAAGAAAAGGAAGAGAUCUUAUAUUGGUGGUGGAUUUAAUAAUGAGCCGGCCGUGGACCUCGAUGAAUGGUUGCUUUAUUUAUAUAGGAUUUGGUGGUAUGUAACAGGAUAUGGCUAGACCUCACUAAGAUAUGAUCAACCAUGCUGUAGAUAGUUGGUGGCAAGAUUUCUAUGAUGUGUAUUGGUAGGAUGAAGCUAGAAAAUUUUGUAGGGAUCAAAAUUAAAUUGUAUUUUUACGAUAAUAAAAAUAUAAUUUCAUCAUUUUAAUAGUCUACGUUUUAUAAUUUUUAAAAGAUUAAAUCAAAUUUUUAUCAUUUUUAGGGGGCAAAGUGCAAUUUUACCUUUACUAAUUUAAAAUUUUAAAGAGCUUAAAUGAAAAAUUUUCUAUUUUAGGGGAGACGGGCCCUGCCAGCCCCCUUAACUAGGCCCUUGUGUACUAGGAAGCAACAAAUGUAAUUGGAGGGUUCCGAUUGGAUUUGAUGGUGAUUCCAUAAGCAAACAAGACCCUAGUAAGGGGCGAACGUUUGAUUGAAUCGAGUAAAAAAAUUGAGUUAGUCGAGUUUACAAGCCUUGUUUUUAUCAUCUUAUCUCGACUUGAAUUUUUUUGCAUUCGAGUUCAUUGAAAUAAAAUUUCAUUUAAGUCGAAUCGAAUCAAGUGAAAUUGUUUGAGUUAAAUUUAAAAAAAUUAAACAUGUCAAGAUAAAAUCUUGUUACAAUAUAACUAAUUCUAUGUAAGAGCACAUAAAUUUGAAACAAUAUAUAUAUAUAUAUAUAUAUAUAUAUAGAAACUAUAAGAGAAAAUAUAAUAUAUUUAAUACGAUAAACUUGAAUUGGUAAAUUUACUUGUUUAGAUCCUCAAAAUUAAUGUAUUGAAAAUUUUAACAUUUUUUAUAUAUUCUUUAUUUUUUUUAAUUUAAAAAUUAUGAAUUUUUUGGAAUUUUUGAAAAAUAAUUUGAAUAUUUGAAAUUUAUUUUGAAUUGUUUUGUAAAUUUUUGUUGAGAGAGAUCGAUUUGAUCAUUUUUUAAAAUCGAUAGGGGUCAAAGGAAUAUUUACACUAAUCAAUUACACGAAUUGUAAAAUUCAACUCGACUCGAAUUCGAAAAAUUGAACUACUUGUUUAAGUUGACUUGAAAAAAUUGAAUAACUCGAUUAUUUCAAUUCGAUUAACUCAAAUUUUGAAAAAAAUAUUUUUUAAAUUAAAUCGAGUUUUGAUAAACCGCAUCUAUCUAGAUGAAAUGCCUUGAAAUUAGUUCAUCAUCAAUUAGAAAUUAGUUAUUUGACUCCUACUUUAUUUAAUAACAGAAGUCCAAUAAAUUUUAACUUAAUUAGAUCACUUUAAAUUUGGGCUAACCUUUUAAGAUAGUAAAUAAUAACAUGUAGUUGACAUUAUUAUAUAUGUUAUGUCCAUAUUUUUCCAACACAAUUUUAUACAUGACAUUUGGUUUUGUGCAGUUUUACGCAUGAAUUUUUUAUUUGAUUCACUAAAUCAAAGUAUCCACUGGAGCGAGCUCAAUACUAGCCUUUCGCGUUCCGUAGGCCCAUUAAAUAAGUAGACGUUUGCCACGAGUUUUAAAGUUACUCCAUACUUGGACACAGUUAUAUAUAUUACUUUAUUUUGUGUGAUGCACAAAUUUAAUUGUGUGGAUCAAUUAAAAUGUAUUCUCAAUGUUUCUAGUUGUUCGUGCAUUAUGCUACUUAAUCUUUGAUUUUGUCAGGUCGGUAAACAGUACGAAUAAAAAAUUCUUCGUCCUCGUACUAAUCGUUUACAUUGGCAUGGUUUCUAGCCCAAUCUAAAUACCGAAACUGUAAUGAAGUUUUGGGUUUUGUAUUAGUGAUAGUGAUGGGGUAGUUCCCUUCAUCUCUUGUACCGGAGUCUUUUUCUUUUUCUUUUUUUUGGUAUCAAGGGCGAAGGUCAGGUCACAAACUUUUGUUUAAGCCUAAUCGUCUAUUGAAAGGGUGAAUUUGUUUGUGAAGUCGUGGUUGAAUAAGGAUCAUAACCAGCUGUGCUUUUAUUGUAUUUUGUUCUUUUUGUAAUACAUCUUGAAGACAAUUCGAAGUCACAUAUCUUAUUUAUUUAAAAUCAAUAAGACUCAUGCCAAAAUUCCAUUUUCACUUGUAGGUUAAAAUUUUCAUGUUCAGUGUCUUAAAUAAUUAUUUUUAAUAUAAAAUUAAUAACGGUUAAAUACAAUGAUAAAACACAGUGCAUUUUUAAAAAAAGAUAUAAGUUUAAAUAUUGAAGAUAAUAUUGUUGAAUAGACAACUAUAAAAUUUAAAUAUAAAUUGUAAAACAGACAUAAAAAAGAUAUAAAAAAUUACCUUUAUUUAUUUAAUUAAAUAAAUUACCCUUUACAGUUUAAUCUAUACAAUUUCACUAGCCUUUCCCGUAGGAGCAGCCGGGAGGAAGCGACGAAAUGACAAUAGAAGGAGAAAAAUUGGAAGGGUUUAACAAGGAAACAAUAUAAAGUCAAAAAGGGCAGACAAAAAAAUUGCCUUUUCCAUUGAUUUUAGUUCUUGUCUUAUACUAAUAAAAUUAUGCCAUUGAUAUGUUCAUAAACAAAAGUUUCAAGGAAAUGGCACCCCCUGGUCUGAACCACAAAGCCAACUUGAUAUCAAGAAAAGAAAAGAAACCAUAAAUUCUUAUUUAUUGAAAAGGCUAAUAUUUAAAGUAUAAACACAAUUGUGAUGAAAAAAAUAAAUUUACCAUAAUUCCUCUUCAACCACAAUCUUUAAAUAAAAGGAUAAAUGUGUACCAACUAUUAAUCGUGCAUCUAUUUUGUUGAUUAGAGAAGUUCAUUGAACCAAUCAGGCUAUUAGGUAAAGUUGUUAGAGAUGUCUGAAAGAAUUGGGUAAAUAGAGAGAAAUAUCCAGCCAAACAGAGAAAUAUAAAAUGGAAAACUUCUUUUUGUUUGUUUAUUCCAAAAUCUUAACUCUCUGAAUACACAUGUUCAGUAUUUAUAGGCAUGAGUAACCGCUCCAUAUUGAGCAACAACCUUCACCGGAUACAUAACUAACUAACAACCUAUAAUACUCUAAUAUUCAUCCAUCUUCCCCACAGGCAAAACCCGUAGACAAUUCCGAAACCGAGCAAAAAUCGAUAGUGAAAGUGGCUUAGUGAGAACAUCAGCAACUUGAUCACACGCCGGAACCUCACCAACGGCAACAGUACCAUCAGCAACCUUUUCACGAACAAAAAACAAAUCUAAUUCAACAUGCUUAAACUUUGAAUGAAGAACAGGAUUAGCAGCAACUGCAACCGCACCAGAACUAUCACACCAAAUAUUUGGAAUACUAGAAGACCGAACAUGUAACUCUUGAAGUAACGACAAAAGCCAUGUAACCUCACUAGUAACCGCAACAAGACUCCGAUAUUCUGCCUCAGCAGUAGACCGAGCAACAACCUGUUGUUUCUUCGUACACCACGACACAGGAUUACAUCCGAAAUAAACACAGUACCCGAUAGUAGACCUUCGGUCAUCAAAAUCUAACCCCCAGUUUGCAUCAGCAUACCCAACUAAGGACAGAUUAGGUGACGGACGAAACACAAUCCCAAAUUCAAUCGUUCCACCUAGAUACCUCAAAAUACGCUUUAGAGCCAUCAUAUAGACAGAAGUGGGACAAUGCAUAAACUGACAUAUUCGAUUCACAGCAUAUUCAACAUCUGGUCGCAUAAGAGUGACAUACUGUAGUACCCCAGCAAAGCUCCUGUAUUCAGUUGGAUCCUCUAAACACUCACCACCAUCUUUAGUUAAGAAAGAAGAACUAACCAUCGGUGUAUUAACACUCUUCGCAUUUUCCAUCGAACACCGAAUAAGAAUAUCACGUAUAUACUUCUUCUGACAUAGAUAAAGACAACCUGAUGAAGAACGAGUAACUUCUAUCCCAAGAAAAUAAUGAAGAUCGCCCAUGUCCUUAAGUGAGAACUCACUAUUCAGCAAUUUAACAAACCAUUCUAUAACAGAUGGCACAUCACCUGUCACAAUAAUAUCAUCAACAUACACAAGAACAUACAACGUUGAACCGGAAACGACCCGAACAAACAAGGAAGCAUCAGACUUCGAUACUACAAAGCCCACAGAUACUAGAAAUCCUUUUAGCUUCUCAAACCAGGCACGAGGGGCCUGACGAAGACCAUACAACGCUUUCUUCAGACGACAUACCAGAGGUCUGCCAUCGGAACCAUACUGUACAUAGCCAGGAGGUUGAUGCAUGAAGACUUCAGUAUCAAGAUCUCCAUUUAGAAACGCAUUAUUCACAUCCACCUGUCGAAGGGACCACCCCCUAGACAUAGCAAUAGACAGAAUAACUCUGAUAGUAGCCGGUUUUACCACCGGACUAAACGUUUCCUUAAAAUCACAACCUGAAACCUGAGAGCAGCCUUUCGCAACCAAGCGAGCCUUAUGGCGAGUAAUAGUACCAUCAGAAUUCCUCUUAAUCCUGAACAACCAUUUGCAUCCUAUAAUCUUACGAUUAGACGGAGAUGAAACUAGCUCCCAUGUGGAAUUGCGCAUAAGAGCAUCAUACUCAUCUUGCGCAGCAGCACGCCACUCAGCAGUAGCAAGAGCUUCUUCAAUUGUAGAAGGUUCUUUAACCUCAACAUGUAAAACCUUAGGCUUGUAAACUCCCGCUUUAGCUUGAGUGACCAUUGGGUGAGUAUUACCCACAGGUGGUCUACUAACUUGACUGUCAGAUGACGACGAAACGCCUUCAGACAGUCUUGAGAUAGACUGAGGAUGAUCAGUAAAAUCACCUAGUGAAGCCGACUCAUGCAAAAUUGAAAGAGCAUCCGACCCAGACCCAACAUCAUCCGAAGGAGCAUGAGAUUGCACCAAAUCUGUAUUUGAAGUAGAAACAUUAGGCUGAGACUGGAACCCUUGAAGAGAUGGUGGCACAACACAAGGCACAGGAGAGGACGAAGAAGAAACAGUGGGCCACACAACGGGAACAACAUUCGAACUAGUCUGACUGGUCUUCGUCAUAGACUUAUCAGGGCUAGACUCAGCAAACAAAAAUCUCUGCUCAUCAAACACGACAUGUCUCAAAAUAAUAACCUUACCAUCCGGUAAAAGACACUGAUACCCCUUAUGACGAGGACUGUAACCCAACAAUGUAGACGGAUGAGACCGAAAAUCCAAUUUAUGACCAACAAACGGACGUAAAUAAGGAUAGCAGCAGCAGCCAAAAACUCGAAGAUGAUCAUAGGUCGGAUCAUUACCAUAAAGUGCCUUAAACGGAGAAUUGCCCUGAAGCACAACAGUAGGAAGUCGAUUGAUCAGAUGAACCGCGCAACAGAACGCAUACCCCCAGUACUGCAUAGGCAAACUCGCAUGAGCCAAUAACGUAAUACCCAUUUCAACAAUGUGACGAUGUUUACGCUCAGCCACUCCAUUUUUUUCAGAAGUGUACGGACAUGUCAAUCGAUGAAUAAUUCCCUGGGAUUCCAAAACAGAUGUAAAACCACGGUAUUCUCCUCCCCAAUCACUCUGAAACUGCUUAAUAGACUUGCCAAACUGUGUCUCAAUUAACUUUUGAAACUGAGUGAAACACUCUAUUGCUUGAGCUUUUUGACGUAUAAGAUAAACCCAGGUAAACCUAGUGCACAUGUCAAUAAACGAAACAUAAUAUCUCUUUUCAUCACAUGCAACAGAUGCGGGACCCCAAAGAUCAGAUACAACUAACUCAAAAGGUUGAUAACUAGUAGUAGAAGGUGAAAAAGGCAACUCAAAUUGACCUCCUGUAACACCUGAACUUGACGAUUCUCACAAUCAACCAACGCAUCAACCACACGCUUUAACGGCAGUACACCAGUCGACAAUCGAACAGACGAGAUGACCGCCUCAUAUUCCGACGGCAAUCCCGCAAGCACCACUUCAACCUUCUCUUCAUCAGAAAUACGCGAACCGGACGCAUCUAACAUAGCACAGAGAUCUUUAAUCUUAGCAACAUAAGUUUUAAUAGAGAGGUUACAUUUCUUCAAGGAAUGAAGCUCAUGCCGAAGUCUCGAUUGCUUGGCGCCAGUAUCGGUCGCAAACAGAUUAACGGCCAUACUCCAUACAUCACAAGCCGUGCAAGCAUCAUCAAAGGAAGAUUGAUGAGAAGAGCUUACUGUAGAUAAAAGCCAGGACGUCAGAAGUCGAUCUUGCUGCAUAAACACCUGAGCCGCCGGAUUUGGAGCACGCGAGCCAUCGGGUAGAAGAUUGAAACGUGAUGGUAGAGCAAUGGUGCCAUCUAAGAAGCCUGUAAGUCCAUAACCAUCAACUAUCAGUUUUACCUGUUUGCGCCAUUGAAGAUAAGUACCUUCAUCAAGUUUAACGACUUCAUGCCGAGGAAAGACAUUCGUGACACGAUCGGCAUCAAACACACCGGAGCUAGGUUCACCAAACUCAGAAUCAACGGAAGCCAUACUAAGCAAAAUCCAGAAUCAACCUGCGAAUGAUACCAUGAAAGAAUUGGGUAAAUAGAGAGAAAUAUCCAGCCAAACAGAGAAAUAUAAAAUGGAAAACUUCUUUUUGUUUGUUUAUUCCAAAAUCUUAACUCUCUGAAUACACAUGUUCAGUAUUUAUAGGCAUGAGUAACCGCUCCAUAAUGUCAUACGUGAAUAGAUUUAAAAAAGAAAGAAAAAAUAACUUUCAUCAUUAUAAAGGAAAAGUGAAAAAGCAAAAGGAAUUAUUAUUUGAUUUAUAGGAGAAAUUUUUAACUCUAUAAAUGAUAAUUUUUUAUAAUUUUUAUUUACUUUUUAUAAUUUUUAUAUUUAACAAAAUUAUUUUUUAAAAAUUUUUACAAUCUAAAUUAAAUUGAUAAAAUAUAUAAAUAAUAAGGUUAAAUUUUUUUUAAUUAUGAUAAAAUUGAUAAAAUAUAUAAAUAUUAUUAAAAAUUAAAUCAUCAACAUUAUUCUAUACUAACGAUUUAACUUAUAACCUGUUAGAAACAAUUUUUGAACAAAAUUGGUUUGAUGAUGGCUCCAAAUAAAUUUCAAGUCUAACGAACUUGUAUCAACAUCACGAAAUUCAACUAUAUUUCAAAUAUAUAUAUAUAUAAAAUAUAUAUAUUUAGGACUUUUUUAUGGUGCAUGUCAUGACAGUUAUUAUAUAACAAGAAAUUAGCAAUGUAAAAAAGGCAUGGAGAUAUAAUUAGAACAAAAAAUUUACAAAAUAGGGACACUUGGGCUAUGAAGAUACUUAAAGUUUGAAGAGACAUGGAAUAUUAAGGCAUUAGAAUAUCUUCAAAAACAUCAGUCACAUAUCUCAACAACAUCAAGGGAAAGAAAGAAAGAGUUGCAAAAGGGAACUAUACCAAAGAGCCAAGAAUUGUGAGGUUGUGAGUGCUUACAGAUAUGGAAGCAUAGACAUUAAAUUUGAGAACUUGAACACUGCCACACAGAUCAAAUACUUGAUGGUUUAGUUUUAAGGAAGAAGGUAGUGAAGAUGUUGAUGGGAAAAUGGAGGUUCUAAUCCCGCUCCUUGUUGGAGACAAUUGUCUCUAAGCUUUUUCCUUGUUUAAAGGUUCUCACCCCAAAACCCUUGCAUUCUUUUUUUAAAACUCAAAAAGGAACACCUUUUAACUUCCUUUCUCCCCACCGCACCCAUGUAACUGCAUAUAAUAUUAUAUGUACGUAAUAUGUAUAUAUUAUAUGUAUGUAAUAUGUAUUAUAUAUUAUAUAACCCCACAUAUAUGUGUAUAUAUAUACACACAUAUAGCAUUUUGUCUCUCAUUGCACAUCGGGGUUCGACAAGUGUUGCGGCUGAAGUAGUGAGAACAUACAUUUUUGUCUUGAUAGUUUUAAAAAGAUUGUUUUUAAAGAUAUUUUCGAUAUUUCUAAUUUAAAAAGAAAUUUAAUUUUAAUUACUUGUUAAUUUAAAGACAGCUUUACUAUGACUUUUAAUAAUAAUAUUGUAAUUUUUAGAAAUUGUUCACUUAUCUAUAAAGGAUUGAUACAAAACAAUCUCUAUUUUAUCGGACCAAAGAUGUACACAAUGAUAGAAAUCGAAAUUGCAAAUAAGGAACUUAAAACUUUGUACUUUUGACAUUUGAGAUUUGACCGUAUUAAGUAAGAAAAAACCACCUUGUGGAAGAUGACAAUUUAAAUACACUUAGGGAAGUUUAUCUCCAACAAUGUGAAUCUUACUUGAAAAGUAAGAUUAAGAGAGUAAUUCAACCUUCAGAAUUUGUGCACACUAAUGCAUGUGGCCCCAAAAAUUUAUUGCAUGAAGUGAUUAUGAUUAUUAUAUUAAUUCAAAAUAUAUACAAUUGAUUUACCAUGCAUUGUAUUUUUUUUAUGAUUCGUUUUACUUUUAGAUUAGGAAGGCCUACAAUAAGUAUGAAAAUGCAAAGAAAAACUGAGUCCAAUAUAUCAGGUAGGAAAAGUUUGUACAUUUAUUCAAGGUUCUUUAGUUGUAAACUAUGUAAUUUGGUUGGUGUUGAUUAAUAAUGAUCUAAAGUUUGUACAUUUAUAGAAGUAGAUGAUCUAAACCGGUGUUGAUUAUGGAUGGCAGAUAUGUGCAGUGCAGUGUUGCUGUCUUCGUCAUUUUUGGUUCAUCACUUGCCAAUGAAAGUCUUUCUUUUUAAGCAUUUGAAUAAAGAGUUGAGAGAACAUCCAAUCUAUUGAUUUUAGUUUCUUAGCCGAAUGACGGCUUUUAGUUCAUAAUUUCCAUUGGCGAACCCAAUGCAGCACCUAAGUGUAAUGAAGUGUCAUCAAUGCGGCCUGAAAACAUUUCCAUCUCAGUAGAUUAAUCUAUACAAUUCACUCGCCUUUCCUGUACGAGCAGCUGUGAGGAAGGGGCCAAUUGACAAUAGCAGGAGAAAAAUUGGAAGGGUUUAACCAUCGAAAGCGAUUCAUUCAAAAAUUAAAGACUGGUAUGGUCCGUCAAUUACGGUCGACAAGGAAACAAUAUAAAGUAAGAAAAGGCAGGCAAUUAUUUUGGUAGUGGUGAAGGUUAAAAGAACUGCUUCUUCCAUGGAUUUUAGAUUUUAAUCAUUCUGUACUAAUUGGAUGAUGCCUUUGAUAUGUUCAUACUUCAUAUUCAAAAGUUUAAACAAACUGGCACCCCGUGGUGUGAACGAGGAAGCCACCUUGAUAUCAAGAACAGAAAAUAAAUAUCAAAAUUAUGUUUUGUUAAUAAAUGAACUUCAUUUAAUUUUAAUUAAAAAUAUACUUUGUUAAUAUUAAUAAGAUUUUGAAAUAUAUUGUCUAAUAUUUUUAAUAAAGAAUAAAUCUUAAAAUCACAUAAAAUUUUAGUUCCAUGUGUAUUGUGUUCUAACCGGAAAUAUGAUAUAAAUAUUAAUAAACAAGGAUAUGUCAUGUCAAAUAAUACAGAAUAAAUUAAGAACAAAACUAAAUGUGAAAGCGUACUUGAAUUCAUUGAAAUCUUGUGGUUUUGAUCUUCAAAAUUAUCACAUAAGUGUUUUAGAGAAGGCGACACUCUCUUUUUUGAAUAAAUCGAUGUUUUUAUUUCUUUAAACUUGAAUAAUUGAAUCAAAAUUAAAAUUUCAAGUAUACAUUUAAACCACAAUCAAAGUUUCAUGUGUAUAAUGGCACCAAAUUAAAGUUCGUGUAUUGAUUUGCAUAUCCAAUCAAUGUUUAUGUACAGUUCUGAGAUUUAUCUCUUUUAAUAAUUUUGAAAUGCAUUUUUAAUAAUUUUAAUUUUUUUAAUUCGAAAAAUAUAGUUUAAGAAAAUCUCAAAUUUUAGGUUUUCUUAAGGAAAGUUCAGAAUUUUACAAAAAAAAAAUUAGAAUUUUUCGAUUUUUUAGUAAUUUUAGAGAUCAUAAUGUGUUUUAUUUUUAUUUUGAAUUUUUUAAAAAUAUUAGUUAAAUACAUUUGUCAACCUCUUAAUCCCAAUUGUGGAGUUAAGAAGUUAUAUUAUAUGUGUAUCAAAUAAUUAUCCUUAGCAAAGGGAAGUAAGGAUUAUUAUUUGAUAUAUAGGGGUUCUUUCAACAAAGGAUGAGUGUUCAAUCAAAUCAAGUGAAAAAAAAUUAGAGUUAAUUGAGUUGAUGAGUCAUAUUUUAUCAUCUUAAAUUGAUUUGAUUUUUUUCAAAUCAAGUCGAGUGAAAUAAAUUCAAUUUAAAUCAAGUGAAAUUGUUUGAGUUAUUUUAAAAAAAAUUAAACAUGCCAAAUUGAAAUCUUAUUACAGUACAACUAAUUUUACAUUAAAACACAUAAAAUUGAAACAAUAUAUAUAUUUGAAAAAAAAAUUUAAAGCAAAAUAAGAAAAAAAUAAAUAUUCUUUAGUAUGAUAAACUUAUUCAAUCAUCAAUUAUUUUAAUUUUGUAUAUAAAAUAUAUAAAUGUAAAAUGAUGUUAUGUGAAUAGUUUUGUUAAUAAUUUGUAUAUGUAAAAGUGAACACAUAUAUUAUACAUUUCCCUAAUUCACCAGCAAAUCUGCCUUAAUUUUGAUAUGGAUAUACUUAAUACUCGGAUAAUGUUGUGAAUCACAUAUAUUGUUUAAUUUUCUUUUUUGAAGUUUUAAUAUAUUUUAAUGGGUAAGAUAUGUCAUUUUUACUCUUUGAAAUUUUGGAAUUUAGUUCCUAGACUUUUAUUUUUAGGAAUUUAGUCAAUUUAUUUUUUAGAUUUUAAAAUCAAAUCCAAUUAUUGACCCUCUUAAAUUUUUUUUGUUAAAUUCAAGUUUAUUAUAACGUUAUUUUUUUAGUUAUAUCGCUACCAAAUGAGUUUCUUUUCAAAAUGUCACACCAAAAAAAUUUAACAAAAAAAGACAUUUAACAAUAUUAACAAUUGGACCUGAAUUUUGAAAUUUGAAAAGUAAAGAGACUAAAUUCUUAGAAAUAAAAGUACAUGGAUUAAAUUUCAAAAUUUUGAAGAGUAUAGAGACUUAUGGCAUAUUUUAACCUAUUUUUAAAUUGUUUUGAAUAUUUAUCUGCUUGUUUAAUUUUUAUAUUUUUUUGGAUUUUUAAUAAUUUUUGUGAAGUUUUUUAGAAUCAAGAUUAAAUUGAUAUAAUAUGCAAACAUUGAGGGUUAAAUUUAUUAAUUUUUAGAAUUAUGAUUAAUUUGACAGAAUGUGUAAACAUUAAAGGAUGAAUUUGUUAUUAUGUCAAUAAAAAAGUUACGUCAACAUUCUAUUAACAUUUAAUAGAUAAUUAACCAAAAAAAUUACUAUUGAUAACAUUGGUGACAAAACCAAAAAACGUGCUAAUACUUAGUGACUAACAACUCUUGGAUGCAAUGAUACGACUCAUUAUACUCUCAAGAAGAGAACACGAGUUUAAAAAUGAGACACAACAUUAUUAAGAGGGGGAUAAUAACAAACCUUAAACACUUACAGCAAAUAUAUAUCCAGAAUCAUAUGGUGCAUUAAACCAUUCAUUCAUCACUCCUUCAGCUAGCUUUUUGUUUGGUCCAAGAAUUCAUAGUUGGAAAUGUCAUGUAUAAAAUCAACCAUUUUAUUUCAUGUGGACUGGAUACCUUCUUUCUGUGACUUUGCUGCUUGGAAAUUUCCUUGGACCUUCGAAGAAAAUUAACUCCUUAAACUAGAGUUCUGUUCAAAUCAUGUAUAACUUGUGGUCAGAUCGGAAACAUGUGUUUCCGGAAAAUAUAGGUUCUAUUUCUAUUUCUAUGUUGUCUUCUACUUCUUUCUUCUUUGUGUUUUGUUGCAAAUUUCCUUAGUUUUCAGUAAUCUGAAAAUUUACUGCUUAAUUUAUUAAACCUCAAGAGAAAAGCUAUGGAUGAGAGGAUGAUACAGGCUGCCCAAACAGGAGAUAUUAACCUCUUGUAUGAGUUGAUUCUGAAUGAUCCAUAUGUUUUACAGCGUAUUGAUGAUGUGCCUUUUUUUCAUACUCCAGUGCAUGUAGCUGCCUCUGCUGGGCAUAUUGAGUUUAUGAUGGAGAUGAUCAAAUUAAAGCCGACGUUUGCGAGAAAGCUAAACCAAGCUGGGUUUAGCCCCAUGCACUUGGCUCUGCAAAAUGACAGAACUCAUGCAGUGCUUCGACUCCUCAGGUUUGAUGAAGGCCUUGUUCGUGUCAAAGGGAGGGAGGACCUCACUCCUCUGCACCAUGUAGUUCAAACUGGAAAUGUUGAUCUUUUGAUCAAAUUACUUGCGGUUUGUCCUGAGGCUAUUGAAGAUGUGACUGUUCGAGAUCUUGCAGUAAAAAACGACAUGUUUGAAGCAUUUCAAGUCUUGGUGGGGUGGCUUAUAAGGAGCCGCCAUGGAGCUGCACAACGUUGGGAGAAAGAACUGCUUAGUUGGGCGGACAUUGAUGGCAACACUGUGCUGCACAUUGCAGCUAUCAGACACAGACCUCGGGUAUAUGCUAAUUUUCCUAAUCAAGUCAAUUAUUGAUAUGUAUGUAAGUAUGAUAAAACGGUUAUUUAUAUAUGAAUAUUCUAAUUAACAGGUGAUGGAAGUAUUGCUGGAACACUUGCAUCCAUACCAAAUCAAUGCCAAAAAUUUGGAGGGACUGACAGCACUAGAUAUCCAAUCACAAUACCCAUGGAAUGAAAGGCAAGCGGAUAGGACUAUAGAUAUGCUAAGCAAAGCAGGAGGCUUGAGUGGUUCCUCUUCCUCGCUUCCCAAUACCUCCACCUCUUCAUUCCACAUCGAUUCUUUAAAAGAAAAGAUGACAUGGUAUGAAAAAUGGAUAAAAGCAGGUCGAAGAAUGAAGGGUAUGCCACAUGAGAUGCGUAACAUAUUACUCUGCUAAUUAUAACCACCACUUACGAUGCCUCUUUAAACCCUCCAAAUACGCCUGAUGACAGCCCAUUCAAGAACUACCAAUUCUCUUUAAGUCAAGAUCAGCCUCUCAAUUCCCACACAUUUUUGCAUAAAACCGACAUCAAUACUGCGCCCAUGCCCAGUCCCUCCGCAAUUGACUUUUUCAUAAAAGAUGAAUGGUCAUCUGAAUACUCCUCGUUUUGGGCUUACAACUCGUUAACCUUUUGGGCAGCAGUUUUUUUAACAGCAAUUCUCCUACCACCUCAUUCAUUCUGUACGUUGGUUGAUACUCCUAGCACUUACCGUGUUUGGGAGAUCUUACAUGCAUUUAGCUGCUGUUUCGACGUGGUCACGGGUACCAUUACCAUAUGCCAGUGAAAAGGCAUACUCAUAUUUUUCUUCAGGCUCCGUUUAUAAUCAAGCAUUCUUAACGUUUCUGCCUGUCCUUAUGGUAUUCCGGGCAAUCUUUUAUGACCCGCAAACAUUACCAAACCAAAUUUCUCCAUGCUACUAUUAUUUGGUAAAGUUCUCUGGCAUUGUAUCUUGGGAAAGUACUUAAGUAGUUAAAUUAGUUACUUAAGUUCUUUGCUACAUUGUAAUUGAUGAUCUGAUUCAAUACACAAAAUGAGCUCUUUUCUCUAUUUUCUAGUUACUAGUUCGUUUCUCUGAUUCUUUUCUGUUUUGCUUGCUAUCUCUGGUUGCCUUCCUUGCAACUGUCGCCGGAGCACUGCCAUUUUCACAUGGUAUCAAAGCAAAGGUUUUUCGACCAGUAGAUCGACGAUUACUCAUUUUUAUGGAUCCACCAUCAAUUCCCAUUGUUGCUUAGGUCAAUCUGUCUUUUACAAAUAACAAAAUCAGUGUUUAUCUUAAUGAUCAAUGUUUAUCAAAUAAGAAAAUGGUGGAAAUCCACUUUCAAAAUGAAAAUCACCUAAAAAUUGAAUUUAUAUUUUUUUGAAGUUUGAAAAUAGAAAUAAAUCAUUUGGUUAUAUUGAAUCGUUGAAUAUGAGAAUAUUAAAUAUAUUUUAUUCUAGAUUCUUCUACGUAAAGUCGUCAUGAUUUUAAUGGAAUUAGAAUUGGAUUGAGAAAAUUAUUUAAAUAAAAAAUAUCGGGUUGAAUCGAAUUAUAAAAUAUUGGAUUAAAAGCUCAAAAAGUACUUGGACUUGGACCCAAUAUGGAAUAGUCCCAAAAGCCCUUUAUGUGAAAAGAGGUGGAAGUCUAACCCUAGUAAAAAUAGCUAGGGUUGUCGCCACCUAUAUUCUUAGUUGGACCAGGAGUUCGUUUUACUAGUUGAAAUAAACUUCUAUAAUUCAACAAGAAUUCUACCUUAUUUCCCUAUAAAUAGAUUACAUCAGUAGGGUUAUUUACAUAACUUUCAGAUAUUAUUAUUUUGCCUGAAAAUAGAGAGAUUUUUAUUCUCUAAGAAUUAAAUAUAUUUUUUGGAAUAAUGAUUAUAUCGGUUUCUAUUUGAGAAGAGAUUUUCGUUUCCACAAAAAAAAAUAUUUCUAGUUCUGUGUUUGAUUCGAUUUAUUCGAGCCCACACUCAAAGUAGCUCGUGGUACGAGAAUAGCAUAAAAUAUCGUUUGGUUGAAAGUCGGGAACGACAAUAAUCCGUCUAUCCAAAAAUGCAGGUGCGAAUUCAGCCUAAAGUUUAUUACUAUAAAACCAUUUUUGAACCUAAUUUUUUUCAACAAGAAAAUCAUUUUCGAACCUAAUUUUUUUCAACAGUUAGUAUUAGAGCGUCAAGUUGUGCUAUGUUUAUAGUGUAAACCGAUAUCAAAAUUCUCUCUCUUCUUCAUGAUUAAUUAUAUUUGAUAAAAUGUGACAUUCUUGUGAUAAUAUGCAUGCAUGUUUAUGGGAAUGUAUGCGGAUGAAUAUAUGAUAUUAUUUUAUUGCUAUGGAUGAUAAAGUAAAUUUGCCAAAGUUGUGAUUCCUAGAAAAUAAUAAUAAUUUAUUAUUAAUUUAGAUUGUGAACUAUCAUCUUCAUGCAAGAUUUAUUUUAUUUUAGAAUAAAAUAUGUGAGUAGGAAACGGAAAUAGGAAUUUCGUAACCUAAAUUUUCCCACCGAAACCCGAGAACUGAGAUAACGCAAAUUCAACCUAGCCAAAACAGUAAUGGCCGGAGGUGGUUCGAUGAAAGUGGUCGGUGGUGAUCCGACGGUGAUCGGCAAUGGUGACAACACAAAAACGAUGGCGGAAAGACGAUGACAAAAACAUGAACCGCUAAAGCAGCAGAAGCCUGUGGCGACAAAAUUGAAGACUCAAAGUAUGCUUUGGGGUGAAUUUUGUAAUCUUAUUUUUAUUUAUUUUUGGCUUGUUAGAGUUGCGACCCAAAUUCUUUUUAAAAUAAAAUACCAGUGGCAAGAUGAGGGGAUCCACGAGGGCGACUUCUAUUAAAGUCAUGACGACUUUAUCAUACUAGAAUCUAUGAGUAAAUAAAUUUAAAUUGUCUUAUUUCGUAAAAUUGCAAUGACUAAUUGAUUUAAUUCCCACUUGAAACUUCAACUAUUUAAUUAUAACAAAUUAAUUAAUAAUUUAAAUAAAUUAAAUUAAUCAUUAAGUUAUCUUUUGUACCUCAUGAGAAAAUGCAUUCACUUCGAAUAGUGAUACAUGCAAUAUGUUUCUCUAUUUGUUGUUUUCAUUCACUCAACAUAUCAAUUCAAAUGCAAUUUAUAAAUGGUUGUGUUAAGCUAGCAAAGGGACAAUUGAAUAUAUAUAAUUAGGGCUCAAAUAAUUUAAAAUUAAGUUCUAACUCUUCCCUAUUAAUUACAACAUUAUUUAGUCAUAGAGUUAAUCCACUAAAAAUACCAUAACUAAAUUCUCUCUUAUUAUAUACCAUUACGAAAGCAACUGAAUUUAUAUUUGUCUAAUGACCUUAUCAUAUGUGUGUUGCCCUCAUAGGAUAUCAUUUAUCUCAUUGGGUUAAAUCUGUUCACACAAUAUGAUCAUAUUUUAUCUCAUGAUGACCACCGCAUCUUCCACCAUGAAAAAGCCAAUUACUAAUACAUAGUAAUUAAAUCAUUUUUCCUAGACAAAUGACCCAUGACAACGUUACUUCUCCAUCAACCACGCAAUGUCAAAGAGAAGAUAUCAUUAACCAUUUAUUAGGCUAUGAAUUUCAUUGUUGUAAGUAAACCAAUGUCAUGCAUAAGUGUAAUACCCAAUAUACUGACUUUUGGCUCUAUUACAAAUUGAACUCUGGCUUUCAAUAUAUCAAAGUAUACAAGUUACAUACACAUAGUCAGUUACUUAUUUAGGAUUGAGGUAAGUCAUACUAUGAAUGUCACAAGCAAAUAAAUCCAUAAACAAAUGUAGGAUAAAUUCAACUUGGGUCUUGUCUGAUGUAUUAUCAAUCUAGACAAUCACACCUAUGUCUCUAUGUUUUGGGGAGUCAUACGUUCCAGUGAGCCAAUAUUUACUUAUACAUUUUGGUUUUUAAUAAAAAAUCAUUGAGGAUAGAAAAAGGAUAAUAAUGUAAAUGAUGGAAUUUUACUAAAUAAUUUUAUUCAAAAAAUUACAAGCAUAUAUGACAAAAUAACUACACUAAAGACACUAGAUCAUAACAAAAGAAGCACUCUCUAUUUUUACAUUUCAUUUUAGAGUGACUAGCAUAAGCUUAUGGUGGAAAGUGAUAGCCAAAUCAUUUUGAAUCCAAUGUAAACAUGUUAUUUGUUAUGAUAUAUGGAAAAAUCUGACAAAAAUUAUAUAAAAAAAGGAAUGGUAAUAUUAUUAAAAGUGUAACAUUUGAAGUAUAAUGUAAUAGAAAAAUAUUUUACAAAUAGACAAAAUAUUAAUUUUAGUUGAGAUGUACUUUAAAAAUAUAUAAUAAAAAAUGGAAGAAUUUAAUUCAAUAGUUAUUAUUAUUUUGUUUAUGUUCAAGUAAAAUGAAUUAAAAUCAUUAAAAAUAAGAGUAAAAAAAAAAAAAGGUGAUAUACCUUCUAAUUCUUUGGUAUUAUUGGGAAUAUAAGGUUACCUACUUGUUAGUUGGAUUUUAUUUUUGGAUUGUAUUUUGUCCAUUUUAUUAAAAAAUGAUAAAUUAAUCUUGUUAGAUUAAAGAGCAAAUUAGUACUAUUAAAAGUUGGUUCAUUUACAUCAGCAUGAGAUACACAUGGCACGACGCGUGUAACUGUUUGAUUAUGUCAUCAGUCAUACCAAUUUUUAACGGUAAAAAGAGAAAAAAAUUUACAAAAAGAAAUUAUUUCCUUUUUGAUCCAACCUAAAAGAAUUAAACAAUUACAUUGUUUUUAAAUAAUAGUUUAAGAACAGAUAACAAUUACAUUGUUCUAAGCAUUGUAUCAAUAAAAAAAGAAAUCAAAUAAUUAAUUGCCAGCUCAUCAAUAUAUAUAUUUCAGAAUGCCUAAAUGGACAAAUAUAAAGUUUUGAAGGGUGAAAUUUUUAUAAUUUGAAAAAUAAAAAACAAAGUUAAAAUAUACUAGCGGUUUGAGAAUUAGGUUAUUGCAUGGGAACCAUCUAUUGUAAGAAUGUUAUAUGGUCUAAGAGGGCAAAUGAUUCUGCUCAUUUUAUAAAAUAUACAUCAUGUUUUUUCUUCCUUAUGGAGUCUUCAUUUUUCUUUUAUUGGGAAUUAUCCAUAUUUAUGGAAAAUCAAAGAUAUGGGUAUCAAAUAAUAGAAAGUCAAAGAUAUGGAUAUCAAAUAUUGGAAAGUCAAAGAUAUGGGUAUCGAGAUAUUGGCAUAAUAAAAUCUGAGAUAUUUGCAAUAUAUGGUCCCUAAUUGUAAAGUGACUUUGCAAGUUGAUCCCUGAACCUCAACUAUAAAUAAGCAUGACCAUCUCUCAUUCUGUAUCUCAAACUUGCCAUUCUCUACUUAAGGCAUUGUUUUCUCUCUCUCUCUUUGUAAAUUCUCACUUGUAUUUUGGAGUGAAAUAUAUUUGGUAGUGGCCGAGGACGUAGGCAAAAUUUGCUGAACCUCGUUAAAUUAUUGUGUUCUUUAUUGUAUUAUUCUGCAUGAAUUGUGUGUGUGAUUGUAGUGAUUUAUUGUGCUAUUAAAUUACGAUUGAGGGAUAUUCUGGCUAGGAAAGACCUGGUACUUAAGAGAUCCUUGUGAUCCACCUCUCUUUCCUGGGAAUUGAACUUAGUGUGAUUUUUUAGUACAAUAAUUUUACUCUUUUACACGCUUCCGCACAACAAUUGGUAUCAGAGCUAGAUUCAUACUUGGGGAAUACGAUCGUUCACGGCACUGUUCACGUACUGUAGUUGGGAUUGAGGAGAAAAAAUGGAAAAGGCAUCGUCAUCAACAAAGACUACUGUGACCAAUGCGAAAUUUGAAGUAGAGAAAUUUGAUGGUACCAAUAAUUUUGGUAUGUGGCAAUGUGAGAUUCUGGAUGUCUUAUGUCAGCAAGAGCUGGAUAUAGCCCUUGAAGAAAAACCUGACAAGAUCGAUGACAAGGAGUGGGCCAAGAUCAAUAGACAGGCAUGUGGAACAAUUCGCCUAUGUUUGGCCAAAGAGCAGAAGUACUCUGUCAUGGAGACAUCAGGGAAGAAGUUGUGGGAUACACUGGAAGAAAGUUUCUAACAAAAAGUCUUGAAAAUAGGCUUUAUAUGAAAAAGAAACUUUAUCGGUUCACGUAUGCACCCGAUAUGUCGAUGAAUGACCAUGUGAACUCAUUCAAUAAAAUUUUAGCAGACUUGCUAAAUUUGGAUGAGAAAUUUGAAGAUGAAGACAAGGCAUUACUGUUGUUGAAUUCUCUUCCUGAUGAAUAUGAUCAUCUUACCACCACAUUGCUUCAUGGGAAGGAUAUAAUCACAUUUGAUGCAGUCUGUAGUGCGUUGUAUAGAUCUGAAACUCGAAAGAAAGAUAAAAAAGAUCACAAAGAUACAACUACAGAAGUCUUAACAGUAAGAGGUCAUUCACGCAGCAACAAAUCUGGUAGAAUGAGUAAGUCCAAAGGGAGACCUGCCAAAGAUAAAUAUGCUUUUUGUCGUGAGAAAGGGCAUUGGAAAAAGAAUUGUCCUAAGUUACAAAAGGGUAAAGCUAUUUCUGAUACAUGUGUAGCGGAGCAUGAUGAGGAAUCAGACUUUAGCUUGGUUGGCAUGGCAAUGGCAUGUCAUACAGAUGAGUGGAUUUUGGAUUCAGGAUGUACUUACCAUAUGUGUCCUAAUAAGGACUGGUUUUCUAGUCUUGAAGAACUAGAAGGUGGAGUUGUUUUUAUGGGCAAUGAUAGCACUUGUAAGACAAUGGGAGUAGGUACAAUCCAAUUGAGGAAUCACAACGGCUCAAUUCAAGUCUUGACAGAUGUUCGCUACAUACCUAGCUUGAAGAAAAAUCUUAUCUCAUUAGGGGUCCUAGAUCUAAAGGGCUCACAAUCACUUUGAGAGAUGGAUUACUAAAGGUAGUAGCUGGGGUAUUGACGGUGAUGAAAGGCACAAGAAGGAAUAAUAUGUACUAUUUAAAUGGAAGUACAGUUAUUGGAUCAACAUCAACAGCUUCUACGAAAGAUGCAGAUUUAGAGGCUACCAGGUUAUGGCAUAUGCGAUUGGGACAUGCUGGUGAAAAAGCUUUGCAGAGUUUGGCGAAGCAAGGCUUGUUGAAAGGUGCAAAUUCUUGCAAAUUGGAAUUCUGUGAACAUUGUCUUCUGGGCAAGCAGACGAGGAUAAAAUUUGGUUCAGCAAUUCACAAUACAAAAGGAAUUCUGGAGUACGUUCACAGUGAUGUGUGGGGACCUACUAAAGUGGCUUCUUUGGGAGGUAUGCACUAUUUUGUUACUUUUGUUGAUGAUUAUUCAAGAAAAGUAUGGGUGUAUCUAAUUAAAAGGAAAAAUGAAGUUUUGGAUGUAUUUCUGAAAUGGAAGAAUAUGGUGGAGACCCAGACUGGUCAAAAAGUCAAACGACUUCGAUCAGACAAUGGUACUGAGUACAAGAAUGAUCCAUUUCUACAAGUAUGUCACGAUGAAGGCAUUGUAUGACACUUCACUAUUCGAGAUACACCAAAACAGAAUGGGGUGGCAGAACGUAUGAAUCGAACUAUACUGGAGAAAGUUCGAUGCAUGUUGUCCAAUGCUGGAUUGGGCAAAGAAUUUUGGGCUGAGGCAGUUACAUAUGCGUGCCAUCUAAUUAAUCAGUUGCCAUCAGCUGUAAUAAAUGGAAAAACUCCUAUGGAGAGGUGGGCUGGUAAACCUGCUACUGAUUAUGAUUCUUUACAUGUUUUUGGUUCCACUGCAUAUUAUCAUGUAAAAGAAUCUAAGUUAGACCCAAGAGCAAAGAAAGCAUUAUUCAUGGGUAUAACUGGUGGAGUAAAAGGAUACCGUCUCUGGUGUCCUGAUACAAGGAAAAUUAUUUUCAGUAGAGAUGUGACUUUUGAUGAAUCAACCAUGAUGAAGAACAAUGAUUCACAAAAGGAUAACACAACCAGUGGCACUUUGCAGCAGGUGGAGCUUGAAAAGGUUAAUGAUGAUCCAGCUAAUAUUGAAGGAACAAAUGAUGAAGAAGUUUCGACCCAAGAACUUCUACAGCAACAUGAUUCAAUUGCAUAUAGAAGGCCAAUAAGAGAGAUUUGUAUGCCUGCUCGCUUUAAUGAUAUGGUGGCCUAUGCACUUUCCAAUUACAGAUGAUGAUGUUCCUUCUACUUACACAGAAGCAAGAAGUAACCCUGAUGGUGUAAAGUGGAAGCAAGCUAUGAAUGAAGAAAUGCAGUCACUUCAUAAAAAUAGGACUUGGGAGUUGGUGACACUACCCAAAGGAAAGAAGGCAAUUGGAUGCAAAUGGGUAUAUUCAAAGAAGGAAAGAUUUCCUGAUAAAAAUGAAGUUCGAUACAAGGCUAGAUUGGUAGUAAAGGGUUACGCUCAGAAAAAAGGAAUAGACUACAAUGAAGUAUUUUCUCCAGUUGUGAAGCAUUCGUCUAUUCAGAUUUUGCUAGCCUUGGUUGCGUAAUAUGAUCUUGAACUAGUUCAGCUCGAUGUGAAGACCACAUUUUUACACGGUGAUUUGGAAGAGGAAAUCUAUAUGACUCAGCCAGAUGGAUUCAAGGUUACUGAUAAAAAAAUUGGGUUUGCAAACUGACAAAGUCACUUUAUGGAUUGAAACAAUCUCCGAGGCAGUGGUACAAGAGAUUUGAUCAGUUCAUGAAAGGGCAAAGGUAUACAAGAAGUAAAUUUGAUCAUUGCGUGUAUUUUUAGAAGCUACAAGAAGGAUUUUUCGUAUACUUGCUCUUAUAUGUUGAUGAUAUGUUGAUAGCAUCUAAGAGUAAAGUUGAAAUUGAGAGAUUGAAGACUCAACUCAACCUUGAGUUUGAGAUGAAAGAUCUAGGUGAAGCUAAGAAGAUCCUUGGCAUGGAAAUAUGUAGGGAUAGAGCUCAUGACAGAGUUAGUUUGUCUUAGAAGCAAUAUUUAAAGAAGAUACUACAGAAGUUUGGCAUGAACGAGCAGACUAAAGUUGUAAGUACCCCGUUGGCUUCUCAUUUCAAGCUUUCUACACAACUAUCUCCUUCGACAAAUAUGGAACAAGAAUACAUGUUACAAGUUCCGUAUUCUAAUAUGCAAUUGUGUGUACAAGACCCGACAUUUCACAGGCAGUUAGUAUAGUGAGCAGGUAUAUGCAUAAUCCUGGAAAAGGACAUUGGCAAGCUGUGAAAUGGAUUCUACGGUAUAUUCAUAAGACCAUGGAUAUUGGAUUACUGUUCAAGCAGGAUACUACACUUGGUAAAGGUGUUGUUGGGUACGUUGAUUCUGAUUAUGCCGGUGAUUUGGACAAACGGAGAUCAACCAUUGGUUAUGUGUUUACUCUUGCUGGAGGACCAAUAAGUUGGAAGUCUACACUGCAGUCUACAGUUGCAUUGUCAACCACAUAAGCUGAAUACAUGGCUGUAACAGAGGUUGUAAAGGAAGCUAUUUAGUUACAAGGUAUGGUUAAAACCUUGGGUUGGUUCAGGAGCAUAUUAAUGUGUAUUGUGAUAGUCAAAGUGCUAUUCAUUUAGCAAAGAAUCAAGUCUAUCAGGCACGUACAAAGCAUAUCGACGUACGUUUCCAUUUUGUGCGGGAAAUUAUUGAUAAGGGGAAAAUUCACCUUCAGAAGAUUAAGACUGCAGAUAAUCCUGCAGAUAUGAUGACCAAGGUGGUAACAACAAUCAAGUUCGAACAUUGUUUGAACUUGAUCAAUAUUCUGCAUGUUUAACAGUUGAAGAAUCCACUAUCAAGUGUUGUUGACAAAGGCAGAGAGAAUUGUGUGAAGAUAAGAUUACUCGAAUCAAAUCUUCAAGGUGGAGAUUAUUGGGAAUUAUCCAUAUUUAUGGAAAAUCAAAGAUAUGGGUAUCAAAUAAUAGAAAUUCAAAGAUAUGGGUAUCAAAUAUUGGAAAGUCAAAGAUAUGGGUAUCGAGAUAUUGGCAUAAUAAAAUUUGAGAUAUUUGCAAUAUAUGGUCUCUAAUUGUAAAGUGACUUUGCAAGUUGAUCCCUGAACCUCAACUAUAAAUAAGCAUGACCAUCUCUCAUUCUGUAUCUCAAACUUGCCAUUCUUUACUUAAGGCAUUGUUUUCUCUCUCUCUCUUUGUAAAUUAUCACUUGUAUUUUGGAGUGAAAUAUAUUUGGUAGUGGCCGAGGACGUAGGCAAAAUUUGCUGAACCUCGUUAAAUUAUUGUGUUCUUUAUUGUAUUAUUCUGCAUGAAUUGUGUGUGUGAUUGUAGUGAUUUAUUGUGCUAUUAAAUUACGAUUGAGGGAUAUUCUGGCUAAGGAAGACCUGGUACUUAAGCGAUCCUUGUGAUCCACCUCUCUUUCCUGGGAAUUGAACUUAGUGUGAUUUUUUAGUACAAAAAUUUUACUCUUUUACACGCUUCCGCACAACAUCUUUAAUGAUAAAAGCUUAAAGAAUAAUCUUUAAAAUUUGGUUGUUGGUAGCUUUAUUUGGGUAGAAUUUGAGAUUUAGUUCAUAUAUUUUAAAUGUUAAAAUUUUAAUUUUUUUUACUUUUUCAAUUUAAUAUUGUAAAAUAAAACCAUAAAAAAAUUGUGUACAAAUAGUAUUGAAUUUACAUAAAAAUAUAUAAAAAAUGCAGCAUAAAUUUGAAUAAUAAUACAUGAACACUUAAAAUGAUAAUAUAUGAAAAAAAACUUAAGAUAAUAAUAUACGAUAAAUUUAAACAAUAUUAAUAAUGAAUUUAAAAUAAUAUUAAGCAUAAAUAUUAAAAUAAGGUUAGAUUUAAAAAUAUAUAAAAAUAAUGGAAUAAUAAAUACUUAAAUAAAUUAGAAAAAUAAGCAAAUUAAAUCAAGCUAAUAAGGAUUAAAUUGGAUUUAAAACAAAAUUAGAAGGCAAAAACGUAAAUAAAAUAAAAUNNNNNNNNNNNNNNNNNNNNNNNNNNNNNNNNNNNNNNNNNNNNNNNNNNNNNNNNNNNNNNNNNNNNNNNNNNNNNNNNNNNNNNNNNNNNNNNNNNNNGAAAUAUCCCCGCCUUUUGAAAUGCAUCGUUUCACCAGGACCAAAUCAAAAACCAAAUAAAAUUUAAAGUAUCAAUUGAAGAAAAUAAAAAAAUUUUGAAUUAAAAUAAUAAAAAAUACGGAGGGGGCAAAUGCAUAAAUAUCCUUACCAAGACCAGAACAGGCAGAUCUAGCUGCCUCUGGGUCGAGUCAUCGGGUAUAGUCAAUACGGCACCGUUUUGGAGCCAUUGAAACAGACUUUAAAUGGUGCCGUUGCAUGGCCUUUAUAAAACAAAAAAAAAAAGAAAAAUAAACAAGUUUUUAGCCAUUUCGAAUCAGAUAAAAACCUUAGCCACACGCCGUUUAGAAGCCUGGCCAUUCAAAGGCCAAUCGAUCCCUGUCUGAACUUCGAUUGCGACAGAGUGAGCAAGGAUUCGACACCACCAAGUAAUUUUCUCACCUUAAAUCGUUUUUUUCUUUUUUUACACAUGAUGAGUAAACAAAUAGAUGAGUCUAGAACAGAAAAGAAAAACAACGAAAAGAAAAAAAAGGUUUCAAAUCACCUUUAGAAAAUUCUGAUUCUUUGAUUUUUCGUCCCCUUUUAUAGAUUUGUAAUUGGCUUUUUAUAGCCGAAACGAAAAAAAGAAAAUAUGUAAAAAAGAAAUCUAUUAUGUUAUCUAGCUAUUUUCAUUUGCUGGCAUAUUGUUGCUCGCUUUUUACUGUUAUUCGUUUCUGUUUCAGGUGUACGAAGGAGCGAUGACGUGGAGGUGCAACACGCGUGGAGGCCUGGUUCCCAGCUGCGGCGUGGACUGUUCCAAAAACCCUAGGGGUUUCUGGAGAUUUCAAAUUGGGCCACUUCAAAUCGGGCUAGGGUUUAAUUAAGUCUAGGAUUGUAUUGGGUCUAGGAUUGGGUUAGAUUUUGGGUUUAGGCCUCAAUCCGAAUUUGGCCUAUUGUAACUGAACUUUUGGACUUAUUAAUGGUUAUUUUGGGUAUUGGGCUAUUAGGGUUUGUUGGGUUUGGGUUUUAGAUAUUUGGGCUGAUUUGUGUUUGUUUAUUUUGGGUUGUUUGUGUAAUUCUGGACUUUUUAUUUUAUUGGACUUUUAUUUUUUGAUUUGGUUUUUUUUUUGUGUGGGCUCGAGCAGAUUGGGCCUGCUACAAUAUUGAUGCAAAACUUUGUCACUAAAGUGCAAAUUGUAACAAUAGUUAAGUAGUCUUUUGUUCGAAUAACAUUAGAAGCACAUCAAAGUCAAAGCACAUAGACUUUAAGUUCAUUGUUGUUAAAAUAAAAGUUUAGGGUGGUUAGAUGUCUAUAAAGUAUAUUGAGACAAACUCCAUGGUUGUGGAUUCGCUUAUUAAGGGACUACCACCCAAAGCUUUUUUCCUGAGCACACUGUUGAUAUGUGUGUAAUGUCAUUCAAGGAUAUUUGAUUUUAGUAGGAGUUUGUACUUUUAAACGUUUUUAUGUUAUAAAUACAUUUUCAAUUAUUUUAGUUUACAAAUAUUAAGUUUUUUUUUUUUUGUAGAAAGAAAGUUUAUUUGGUAAAGUUUGAUCUCACUAAGAUUAAUGUGGACCGGUUAGAAUAUGCAUGUUUGAAUCAUAUUACAUGUAAUUUUCAUGUUACACAUCCAUACUUAAUCUAUGUCAUUUGGUUGUGCUAAUAUAUGUGAUUAAGGCUGGAUUUAGUUAUGAUAUAUGUAACAAAGUUGCAUUCUUUCUAUGUUAACAUAAUUAAUGGACAGAUUGUUCGAAAUACCUUUUAGAUACGAUAGUAAAAUUUUGAGCUCAUAAGGUUAUAUAAUGACAUGUAAUUAUAAGGUAAUCGGUAUAUAUAUAUAUGUCAUCCAAGUGGUAUAUAUGGACAUCACAUAUAUAAUAAGCAUGUUACAUGUUAUUAUUUACUAUCAUAAAAGAUUAACUCAAAUUAAAAGUGACCUAAUUUGGUUAAGAUUUAUUGGAUUUUAGUUAUUAAAUAAAAUAAUAGGUCAAUAAUAUGUGUAGAUACUCUAGUAACUAAUUUCUAAUUUAUGAUGGGCGGAUUAGAAAUUAGGUUAAUGUGAAAAUGUUAUAUAUUAGNNNNNNNNNNNNNNNNNNNNNNNNNNNNNNNNNNNNNNNNNNNNNNNNNNNNNNNNNNNNNNNNNNNNNNNNNNNNNNNNNNNNNNNNNNNNNNNNNNNNNNNNNNNNNNNNNNNNNNNNNNNNNNNNNNNNNNNNNNNNNNNNNNNNNNNNNNNNNNNNNNNNNNNNNNNNNNNNNNNNNNNNNNNNNNNNNNNNNNNNNNNNNNNNNNNNNNNNNNNNNNNNNNNNNNNNNNNNNNNNNNNNNNNNNNNNNNNNNNNNNNNNNNNNNNNNNNNNNNNNNNNNNNNNNNNNNNNNNNNNNNNNNNNNNNNNNNNNNNNNNNNNNNNNNNNNNNNNNNNNNNNNNNNNNNNNNNNNNNNNNNNNNNNNNNNNNNNNNNNNNNNNNNNNNNNNNNNNNNNNNNNNNNNNNNNNNNNNNNNNNNNNNNNNNNNNNNNNNNNNNNNNNNNNNNNNNNNNNNNNNNNNNNNNNNNNNNNNNNNNNNNNNNNNNNNNNNNNNNNNNNNNNNNNNNNNNNNNNNNNNNNNNNNNNNNNNNNNNNNNNNNNNNNNNNNNNNNNNNNNNNNNNNNNNNNNNNNNNNNNNNNNNNNNNNNNNNNNNNNNNNNNNNNNNNNNNNNNNNNNNNNNNNNNNNNNNNNNNNNNNNNNNNNNNNNNNNNNNNNNNNNNNNNNNNNNNNNNNNNNNNNNNNNNNNNNNNNNNNNNNNNNNNNNNNNNNNNNNNNNNNNNNNNNNNNNNNNNNNNNNNNNNNNNNNNNNNNNNNNNNNNNNNNNNNNNNNNNNNNNNNNNNNNNNNNNNNNNNNNNNNNNNNNNNNNNNNNNNNNNNNNNNNNNNNNNNNNNNNNNNNNNNNNNNNNNNNNNNNNNNNNNNNNNNNNNNNNNNNNNNNNNNNNNNNNNNNNNNNNNNNNNNNNNNNNNNNNNNNNNNNNNNNNNNNNNNNNNNNNNNNNNNNNNNNNNNNNNNNUUUUAAGUAAUUUAAUGAAAGUAAUUAAGUUAAGAAGAAAAGAGAAAUGGAUAAGUAUAUAAUAAUACAUAAUUUGUUAAAUAUAUAAAGAAAUUUAUUUAAUUUAGUACCUAAAUAUUAAUAUUCGAAACUCUCGAUUUUUCACAAUUUAUUCAAUCAAAUUUAGAUCCAACUUUAAUUAUAUUACAAAGACAUUCUAUUUUAUUAUUUAUUAACGGGUGAAAAAACAUAGUUCAACCCAUAAACAUUGACCACAAAGGGAAAUUUGAAACACUUACCACCAUUCCCCUAUCAGAAAGUCUUUCCCACAUUCAACUAGAAAUCAGAGCUCACCAAAAUGUUUAUUCUUUUCAAUCUGAACCGACUCUACAAUCACUUAUUGCUCAUGGUCUUCAGCCUAUAAACCCAGAAGCAUUAUUAACUUCUAAAUCCAAAACACUAAUAUCAGCAUCCAACCCUAUAAUGAUAGUCUUAUUGACUCAUUUAAACAAGUUUCCUUUGUCAGUCUAUCAUAUUCCGUAUUUGGUAAUCGCCAAUAUGAAUUCAGAAUUUAGGAUAGCUGGAAUAAGAAUAACAGCAAAGAUGCAAAGGGAAACGACUUGUAGGAGGAGGAAGAACCUUCUUUUGGGUACAAACCUGUAUAGCAUAUAAUAGGAUGUCCUGUAUAAUGUCACGAGAGCUAGAACCGUUGCAAAGCAGUAAUUAGUAAUGCUGAGUUUAGAAUAGGAAACGGAUCCAGGAGGCGAAAGAUAGAGAGGAUACUGAAGUUCGAGUGUCCGUAUGGAAACAGCAACUAAAAGCAUGUAACAGGUCCCAAACAAGGAAAGUGUUAUGAGAAUAAACAAGCAGAUUGAACGGCUGGGUAGGAGACAGGCAGUUAAAACAGUUGCUGCCCAAAAGGUUAAAGUGUUGUAUAACCAAAACAUUGUGGACACGUCUAGUAUAUGUUUUAUUUUUUUUUCUUCAGUGGGUGAAGGACUUGGUACGGGUCCAUUGCUGGUUGAACCUAAAGAUAUGUCAUACGUGAGAUGGAAAUCCUGGGAAUUUGAAAUGGUAUCAAGCUGCUUUGGAGGGUUCAAAGUGGCAGUGUAUGUGGCUGUUAUAAUUAGCACUGUGACUACUAAAAAUGUGUUACGCGUCUCAUGUGGGAUUCCCUUCUUUCCACGACUUGCUACUGUUGCAAAUUUUUGAAGAACUGACACCUUUCCUUUUAAAGAUUCGAUGGGGAUUGAAGAGAUGGAGGCUUUGGGAAGCGAGGAAGAGGAACCACGCAAACCUCCUGCUUUGCUUAUCAUAUCUUUAAUGGACUCCUUAUAGUCCACUCUCCCUUCAUCCAAUGUGUAUUGUGAUGGGAUAUCAAGUGCAGUCAAUCCCUCCGCAUUUUUGGCAUUGAUAUGGUCUCCACACAAGCGUUUCAGCAGUACUUUUACCACCUGUUAAUUAGAAUAUUCAUACAAGUAACCUUUGAGUAUAUAUAUACAUAAAUAAUUUUACUAGCAAAAUUAUCAUACCUGAGGUCUGUUUCUGAUAGCAGCAACAUGUAAAACAGUGUUGCCAUCAAUGUCUGCCCAACUCAGUAGUUCUUUCUCCCAACGGUUGGCAGCUUUAUGGCGGCUCCUUAUAAGCCACCCCACCAAGACUUGGAAAGCUUCAAACCUGUCAUUUUUUACGGCAAGAUGGAAAACCGUCUCAUCUCGAACAGUCACAUCUUCAAUAGCCUCGGGGCAAACCUCAAGGAACUUGAUCAAAAAAUCAACAUUUCCAUUUUGAACCACAUGAUGCAAAGGAGUGAAGCCCUCCCGCCCUUUGACACGAACAAGGCCUUCAUCAAACCUGAGGAGUCGAAGCACUGCUAGAGUUUUUUGAUUUUGCAGAGCCAAGUGCAUGGGGCUAAACCCAGCUUGGUUUAGCUUUCUUGCAAACGAUGGCUUUAAGUUGAUCAUCUCCAUCAUAAAAUCAAUAUGCCCUGCAGAGGCUGCUACAUGCAAAGGAGUAUGGAAAAAAGGUACAUCAUCGAUACGCUGUAAAACAUAUGGAUCAUUCAGAAUUAACUCGUACAAGAUGUUUAUGUCUCCUGUUUGUGCAGCACCUAUCAUCCUCUCAUCCAUAGCAAGGUGCGGAAAUUUGCAGAAUAUAGAAAUGGAGUGAAGAAAAAACGCUUUAGCAGAGGAUAUGAUUAUGUUAAGGAUAUAAUGAAGUGUUUGAUUAUUUUUUCCAGAUGAAGUGUUAGACAUUUUAUAGCACUUAAUUAUUUUGGAUUUAUAUGUGAUGUCAGCCUCUACACGUAUACACGUGAAUGUCACCUAUUAGAAAGAAAUAGUAAUUAAAUUCAUAUUUAAUAUACAUUUUUAAUCUAAUUUUUUUUAAUUCAAUUUAAUUUUAGUUAAAACGUUUAAAAACAUUUAUUUAAUCUAAUUUCUUUAAUAUAUUAAAUAAAAAAGAAAUAUUAAAUAAAUUGGAUUAGAGAAUAUAUUGAAUAUGGAUGAAUACUGUAUCAUACUAAUUUUAUGUCUCUAAAAAUUUUAUAUAUUAUUUAGUGGUUUAUUUUUUUAAGAACAUUUGAUAUAAUUCAUAAAGAAAACAAAUAAUAAUUAAUAAUAAUUUUUUUAAUAAAAAAGGUGUGAAAAAUGGUAAGUAGAUAAUAGCUAUUAUCACUUACAACAUGUUUGGAUUAAAAAGAAGAAAAAAGAAGGGAAAAUUAAGUAAAUUGAGGGAAAGAAAAUUCGGUUUCUUUGUUUAAGUAAAGAAAAUUAAGUAAAUUUUUUAUCGUAUCAUUAGAUUUUAUAUUUUAGAUUAUUAUCUCUUCUUCUUCUUUUUAACUUGUAACAAUCUUAUUUUUAUUUUCUAUUUGUUUAGGUUACUAGAAAUAUUUAAUUUUAAAUUUGUUUGAUAUAUAUUUUUAAAAAUUUUAACAAUAUUUUUUUAUUAACUAUUUUGUUAAAUUAUUAGGAAUCCUUCAUUUAUAAUUUGGUUAAGAUUUUUUUUUUAGUUUGAUCAAAUAAGCUUAUUAAAAAAAGAAUAUACCAAUAUAUUAUUGGUUAACAUUUUAAUUAUUAUUUUAUAUAGAAUAUUGAUAUUUUUCUAUAAAUUUAAUUUGCUGUGAUUUAAUUUUGUUAUUAUAUAUUAUUUAUGAACUGUUAAAAUUAAAAAAUAAAAGUAAAAUAAUUCAUUUUCUUUCCUUUUCACAGUUUAGCAAAACAAGUCCACAGGCUCGUCUCAUUCAAAAAAAGUAAAUUAUAUAUAUAUAUAUAUAUAUAUAUAUAUAUAUAUAUAUAUAGUAUAACGUNNNNNNNNNNNNNNNNNNNNNNNNNNNNNNNNNNNNNNNNNNNNNNNNNNNNNNNNNNNNNNNNNNNNNNNNNNNNNNNNNNNNNNNNNNNNNNNNNNNNNNNNNNNNNNNNNNNNNNNNNNNNNNNNNNNNNNNNNNNNNNNNNNNNNNNNNNNNNNNNNNNNNNNNNNNNNNNNNNNNNNNNNNNNNNNNNNNNNNNNNNNNNNNNNNNNNNNNNNNNNNNNNNNNNNNNNNNNNNNNNNNNNNNNNNNNNNNNNNNNNNNNNNNNNNNNNNNNNNNNNNNNNNNNNNNNNNNNNNNNNNNNNNNNNNNNNCGUUUACUCCUAAGUAAAUAAAUAAAUAAAGGCCUUGUGUAAUUAAGAAAGUUGAGAAAGAGUUAGUCCUCACAUUGGCUAAAAUAACGGAGGAAAGAGAAAAAUUGGCCAAUAAUGGGGAGGCAAUGUCAAUGAGCAUACCCCACACAUACUAUUUACAGUCAAUGGUGAUGGCUGAAUUGGCUACUAUACAUGGAUUUUGUUUUCCUUUUCUUUUUUGUUCUUGUCCUGUAUUAUUUGCAUUUGUGAUCCCAAACUAUGUAAAAUUCCAGUCACUAUGUGAUCACAUUUUAAAAAAGAAAUUAUUUAUUAUCGAUUGAGUAUCAGCUUGAUUGGUAUAAAUAUUAUUGUUAAUGUAUAAGAACAUAAGUUUGAGUGUGUUAAAGCGCAUUAUCCUCUUAGUUAUAGAUUGAGAAGUGGUUAUUGGUAGUUUUAGACAUUGUGUAGAAAAGAAUACAUAUAAUCAGAAUCUAUAUUAAAAUUUUUCAAAAAAAUAUAUUUAUUACACAUGAAUUAAAAAAAAUCUAUUUAUGGGUAGUUCAAGAUUGUUGAAGCUAUAAAAUAAAAAUUCAAUUCGAAAAUAUAAAUCUCUUUUGUUUAACAAAAUAUUAAUAAUUAGUUGAGUUAAUAUUAUGAGUCAAUCGAACACCAAUUUAAUUAAGAAAUUACGAAAAUAUCGUUCCAUAAUUAAAAUAAAUUAUAUUAUUUGAGGAUAUUUUAAUAUUUUUAUGUAAAAAAAAUCAAUAAAAAUAUGAAUAUGAUGGGAUUUGAAAUAAAAUCUAGAAUUUACCACUCAACCAAAAUUUUAUUUUAUUAUAUUUUAUACAUUUUUAUUUUAAUAAGCACACUUUAUUAUCUCCGUAAGUUGUAUAUAUAUUAAUAAAUUUAUUGAUUGAGUUGAUAUCACAAGUCAACUCAAUACUAACCGACAAUUGAAGACAACACUUUGAUAGACAGUUGUAGUGCAUUUAAUUAAUAUUUUUAUUUUGAUGUAUUUAUGUGUUUAAAUUUUAUUUUUGCUCCCAAAUUAAUUUAAUUUUUUAUUUUAAUGUCAUACAUAUUUUAUAUAUUCUUAUGAUUAAUUAGCUUCAAACCAUAUGUUUUAUUAUUUAUUUUAUUUUUUUAAGCAUAUAUCUGUAUUCCAAAUCUAAACGCAAUUGCUUAUGUUAGUCAAUGUUACAAAUUGAGAAAUUUAUUAAAACUAUUGAAAUCUUCACAUCUAACCUGGUUUUAUCAUGUUUGGAAGACGCUAUUGAUCUUCUUCAAGUGGUUUUUUCACAAAUAUACUAUUCAUAUAUAUAAAAUAUGAUGAGUAAUAAUGUAUAGUGACUGUCCAAACACUAAUUGAUGAAAAAAGUGAGUAAUAUUUUAUUACGACAUGAUGCCUUUUCAUAGUAUAAAAUGACUAUGCGAAUGAGGGCUUCCUACCAUUACCAGAAAGCUGAGGCUGUAGGAAUGAUGGCUUUUGCAAGUAUUGUUUAAUUAUGCUAAAAUGUCAUAUAUUUGUGAGCCCUACACUCACAUCAAAUUUAGAUAUGACAAACACGAUUUAAAACAAAACCAUAUUAUAUUACUAGCUGUGAGCAAUUUAAAGAAAUUGAAUUUCUUUUUUACAAUUUUAAGUUAAUCAAUUAUUUGAUUUUUUAAAAUUAACUUGAAUGAGUGAUUUUGUUUUUCAAGUUUAAGUCAAGUUGAAUUUUACAACUCAAAUAUAAAUAUCUCUUGGGUCACUGAUAGUUUUAAAAAUGUACAAACUGAUCCGUCUCAAAAAUUUUAAAAAUUCAAAAUGAUCUUCUAAAACUCAAAAUAUUUAUAAAAUAUUUUCCCAAAAUUUUAUAAAUACAUAUAAAUUCAAAGAAUUUACCACUUAAAAAUAUAUAAAAAAUAUUAAAUUAUAUUUUUUGAAAAAAUUAAUAAAAUAAAUUUGAGGUCUUAAAUAAGUAACUUAUUAAUUCAAUUUUAUCAUACUAAUUAUCUUGUAUUCCAAGAGUUUUCAUAUAUAUCAGGGGCGAAGCCAGAAAAUUUUUUUUUAGGGGGGCAAAAUGAAUUUUUUAUUUUUAAUAGUCUAUAUCUUUAUAUUAAUAUUUGAACUGGUAUAAAUUAAGAUUGUUACGUCUAACAUUUAUAUCGAAUAAUUUUUACUAUAGAGAAAAGAAGUAAAAAUAAUAAUAUAUGAUGUAAAAUUAUUAAUUUGAGUCUUAACACAGUCGGUAUUUGUAUGUUGUUUAUGUAAUAUGGAGUGAGUUCAAGUAUGUUCAUGUGUAAUUUUUCUUUCUAUUUAAAGGUUGGAGAGGAGUUAGGGUGAAGCUAGAAUUUAUUUUUUUUGGGAGACGAAAUUAAGUUGUAUAUUUUUAUGAGAGUUAAAAUACAAUUUCACAAUUUCAAUAGAUUAUAUGUUUACAAUUUUUAAAGAACUAAAUCAAUAUUUUAUCAUUUUUGGGGGCUAAAGUACAAAUUUACCAUUUAUUAACUUAAAAUUUUAUAAACUUAAUUUAAAGGGUUAAAAUUUGAAUUUCACAUUUUAAAGGGAGGGAUAGAAACCCUUCUAGGCUCCCCUCUUGCCGCCCCCCUAAGAUGAUAUAAAGUAAAGCAAUAAGUGUCUAAAAUAUAUGAAUUAUGAGUACUGAUUACACUUGACCAAUUGCUUUUCUUCAAACAAAGCAAACACUAAUGCACAUGAAAAUGCAAAUUCACAUGCAACCUAGAUAUGCAUUCUAUAUACAAUGCAAUGCAAUGAAUAAAUAAAUAAAUAAAUAAAUAUAUAUUAUUUAAUCAUGAGAGUUUUGAUCCCCUUUUGAUUCUUUAACCAACCAUUCUCACACCUAAUUAUAAUUCUAGUAUAGUAAAAGUACGUGAGUGAGUUGAAUGGAUGGUGGUUGUUUGACAUAACAUGUAGAAAGUGAAAAAAUAGUUGAAAAUAAAUCAAGUAUUAAAACAAAAAAUUUAUGAAAGAAAUUCUAGUAUUAUCAAUUUUUCGUGAGGCUCAAAGCUAUUUGGAACAAAAAUAAAAUCAAUGUGUAUAGGCUUAACAAAAUAGCUAUCAUCUUGCAUUGUUAUUUCAUCCUAACCUCUUCCCUCAUAACUUCAUCUUCUAUUUUCUGUUUGACAUUAUCAAAAGUAAAACAUAGUUUUUUUAGGUUUUUCGACUAUUUAUGCAUCAAACUUUUAGGCCAUUUUGGACAUCUUCAUAAUGUUUUUGGGCUUUAAUCUAAGAACUAAAUUUAGAUAGAUCUUUCAAGUCACAUCAACAUUUCAUAAAUGAUUUAAUAAAUGAGUAAUAAAAGGAUUUAGGGUUAAUGUGCAAAUUUGUCACUAUACUUCAAUUUGAUUGGUAUUUGAUAUUUGAUAUUGAAUUUUAUUGCUUUAAUUUAAUUGAAUUUUGCCACUAAAAUUAGAAUUUUUAUUGAAUUUUCUAUUCAAUUUAAAUUUAAAAUAACUUGAAGGCUAAGUUGAUUAAAAAAUAGUUUUAUAUUUCGCUUUAAUAUUUAAAAAAUAAUAAGUUAAUUAAUAUAAUAUUAAAUUUAAAUAAAAUAGUUAUUUUAUAAAAUAAAUUUUUUUUCUCUUUUAUGAGAUAUGGACUCAUUAACAAUAGAAAUUCUAAUUUAAUUUAUUAAUUUUUAAUAUUUAUAAGUUAAAUUAUUGUUAAAUAUUAAAAUAAAAUAUUUGAAAGAAUUUUUCUUAUUAUAUAUAUUAUGUUUUAAAAUCAUCAAAUUAAUAUUGAGUGGUAAAAAUUAAUUAAAAAAUUGAUUUGGAGAAAUUUUUUAAUAAAAUUGAAAAUUUAUAGUAAAAUUCAAUCACAUAAUAGUUGAUUGAUAAAUUUACACAAAAAACUUAAAAUAUAGCUAUGAAUAUCAAUGAAAAUAAAGUAUAGUAGCAAAAUUCAAAGUAUAGUGACAAACCAUAUAAGUUCAAUGAAUAAAAGAAAUAAAAAAUUAAAUAUAUGAUUAAAAAGAUUUAUUUUUUUUUACGAAAUUGAAAGAUCAAAUAAAUCAUUAUACGUAAUAUAAACAAAAUCACAAGUAUCCUUAAACUUGGCUUAAUUGCCAAUUAGACAAUUUAGGAUGUCAGAUGCAUAAUCAACAAUUUGGAGAUAAAAGGAUGAAUAACCAAGUAUUUUUAUAAAUAAAUUUGUUUUAGAAGAAUGGGAUGAGUUUUAGAGUAUAUAGAGAAGUAGGGUAGUUCUUCCUUCUCCGCAUAGUGGUUUUGCCUACAAUCAUGAAGCAAAGGGAAAAACACGAGGAUGAGAUGCAAUGAAUUCCCCUUGCAUACCCAAUACGUACUAUUUACUAUUUCUUUUCCCACUGAGAAGUUGGUAUUUUGGAAUUAUCGUUUUCAGCUCUACAAAUGUUCUUGGUGCUGUGUCUGUCUUUCUUUGGUGGGUUCUUGCUUUCUGAAUCUGGUUCUACUGUCGAUUUGGAUGGUUAGGAUACAGCGCUUCAGGCAACUGAUGUUCAAAAGGUUCGAUGGCAUUGGGGAUAUGAUGAUUUUAAGUUUAUUGUCGCCCCAUCAGUUGGUUGUUUGGGUGCACAACUAAAUUUUAGUAUUAUUUUAUUUUCCAUAAUUAUAUUUAUUUAAAUUUUAUAAAUAUUUUCUAAGUCUUAAGAUUUUAUUUUUUGCAUUUUAUGAUUUCUUUUUUUGGAUUUUUAAUGGUUUUUAAAUUUUUAUAAUUUUUCUAAAAUGUUUUAAGUAUUUUGAUUGUGUGAGGUUUUGUGAAUGAAGCGAAGGGUAUCUUUAUUGUGGUGAACUUUUAAUUAGCUCAAAAUGAAGUGAUUUAUUACGUCGUGUGAUUUACGGAUAAGUGUUAAAAAUGAAAUGAAUUGUUGAAUUUGAAAACAAUGGUGUAAUAUUGCAGGGAUUUCCAACAUUAUCAUAAAUUUUAGUGAAUUUAGAGACGAAAUCACAGGUCCACUGAGUUUUGUUCAAAUUUAGGGAUUUCAUCGUCAUAUACGGUCGAUUUGGAUAGUUAGCAUACAAAGCUUCAGAUCAUUGAUGUUCAAAAGGUUUGGUGGCCAUGGGUAUAUGUUGAUUUUGAGUUUAUUGUUGCCCCAUAAGUUAGUUGCACUAAAAAAAUGGGUAUUACCGAUGCUAAAAAUUGUUACUAAAAUUUUAUUGUAGCAAUAAAAGUUGUUGCGGGAUUGUUGUGUAUAUCUUUGUUGUCUAAAAUAUAUGCAACUCUACUCAAUUACACAAUAUUUACUCUUAAAUAUGACCUAUUCAACCACCGAUUUCAGCACAUUAAACACAAAUUAAUAAUCUAGAAAUAUCAAACCAAGAAUUAAAUACACAUAAUUGAGAACAAUAAAUUAAGUGUUUAUUGCAUAAAAUAAAAAAUAAAUGAUAGAAUCCAUCAUAGAGUUCACCUCCCUAGGUAUUUAGAAAAUUAGUUCAAGCUUGAAAAUAAAAACAUCCAAGAAAUAGUACAACCAAAAGAAAUAAAGAAAUUCAUGAUAAUCUCCUAAGAAAUCAACUGAGAAUCUUCAAUCUUGACAGAAAUUUGCUUCCAACUUGGCUUCAAUGGUAUUUUUCGAGUUGUUUUCUUGAAUAUUUUAUGACGGCACUCUCAUAUCUUCUUAAUUUUGUCAUAUAUACGUCUUAGAAUGCCCAAAAAACUUCAAAAUUGUGAUUUUAUGCUGUUUGUGUGGCAAUUCCACGAAAUCGACACAGCCUACUACACACCAGUGUGGGUCAUACGACUGUGUGCUUUCCUCGUGUGAAAUUUAGAAAAUGCAAAAGAUUCCCUAUGCACUAGCUGCUGGAAUCUAAUGUAUGCUCAAGUAUGUAUGCGUCCAGAUAUUGCAUACAUUGUUGGGAUGUUAGGCAAACAUUUAAGCAACCCUGGUAUAGACCAUUGGAUAACAAAUGAAAGGGUUAUGAGGUAUCUUUAGAGAACAAAAUAUUACAUGCUCACAUAUUGGAUGUUUGAUAAGUUAGAGAACAUCAAGUUUACAGACUCCAAUUUUGAUGGAAUAUUGAUGCAACAUUUUGCCACUAGAGUGCAAACUGUGACAAUAAUUAGUAGUCUCUUAUUCCAAUAACAAUAAAAGCACAUCAAAGUCAAAGCACAUAGACUUUAAGUUCAUAGUUGUUAAAAUAAAAGUUCAGGGUGGUUAGAUGUCUAUAAAGUAUAUUGAGACAAACUUCAUGAUUGCGGAUUCGCUUACUAAGGGACCACCACCCAAAGUUUUUUUCAUGAGCACACUAUUGAUAUGAGUGUAAUGUCAUUCACUACAGAAUAAGUUUUUAGUGGCGUUAUUUUGGGGCUAUAACUGCCUUAUAAGCGUCGCUAAAACAACUUGCAGCGUUUUGAAAAGCACCGCUAAAAACGCCGCUAUAGAACAUGACCUUUAGGGGCGCUUUUCCCACAAAUGCCGCUAAAAGUAUGACCUUUAACAGUGUUUGUGGGGCAAACGCCACUAAAGAACAUGACCUUUAGCGGCGCUUUCUCCACAAACGUAACUAAAUGUCAUGUUCUUUAGUGUCGUUUUUAGUAAAAGCGCCGCUAAAAUUCAUGUUCUUUGGCGACAUUUGUGGAAAAACGCUACUAACUUUAGCAGAUUUUUACCAACCCAUUUUCAUUCAUAUAGAAUCCUAAUUGUUAACAUAAUUUCCUGUAACAUCAAAUCCAACCAAAAACUAAAAAUUUAAAUGAUACUUCAAUUCCAACGAAAGAAAUAUGUAUGUGAUCUAAAUCAGUAAAUGAAAUAACAAAAUAUAUUAUAUUCAAAAGUUAUGUUGUUAAAAUAUUCUCACAAUAAGAAAACAAACAUCUAAGAUGAUGGAUUCUACGACUGUUGAAACAUCUUCAUCAUAUUCUGAAGCUGUAGCUGGAGUUUGUCAUAUUUUUUGCUUGCCCCUGCUUCCCUUGCUGCCGCCUCUGCUUUAAGUUAUAGUUGGAGUUCUUCAUAUUUUCUUUAAGUCUUUGCUUUUCUCGAUGCUGCCUCCACUUUAAAUUGAGCAAUUUGCUCAACUGUGCUCGCUUGCAUUUGAACCAUCUGGUCUCUUAACCUCUGAACUUUAGCUUGAGCCUGAUUCCCUGAAGGCAUGUAUUGUUGCGAACUGGAUCCAAAAUAUUGGGUUGGGUUAACAAAAUAUCCUUGAAAUCAAACCCGACCAUACUUUUCGAGACCCAAAACUUCGGUAAUAAUUCAGUUAUCAAUGUCAUCAAUAUUAACAGAACUAUCACUUGAAGCGAUCGCUUCAUACUCUGCCCUUUUAUCCUUUAGUUUCUCCUAAUAAAUCAACCAAAGAGUUAGAAACGAAAUAUAUAAUCAAAACAAAUGCAAUAUAACUUUGGGAGUCUAAUGUAUGCUCAAGUAUGUAUGUGUCCGGAUAUUGUGUACAUUGUUUGGCUGUUAGGCAAACAUUUAAGCAACUCUAGUAUAGGCCAUUGGAUAACAAUCGAAAGGGUUAUGAGGUAUCUUUAGAGAACAAAAUAUUACAUGCUCACAUAUUGGAUGUUUGAUAAGUUAAAGAACAUCAAGUAUACAGACUCCAAUUUUGAUGGAAUAUUGAUGCAAAAUUUUGCCACUAUAGUGCAAAUUGUGACAAUAAUUAGUAGUCUUUUAUUCCAAUAACAAUAUAAGCACAUCAAAGUCAAAACACAUAGACUUUAAGUUCAUGGUUGUUAAAAUAAAAGUUCAGGGUGGUUAGAUGUCUAUAAAGUAUAUUGAGACAAACUUCAUGAUUACAGAUUCGCUUACUAAGGGAUUACCACCCAAAGUUUUUUUCAUGAGCACACUGUUGAUACAGGUGUAAUGUCAUUUAAGGAUAUUUGACUUUAGUGGGAGUUUGUAUUUUUAAAUUUUUUUAUGUUACAGACACAUCGGUUAUCUCAGUUUACGAAUAUUAAGUUUAUUUUCUUUAGAAAUAAAGUUUAUUUGGUAAAGUUUGACCUCACUAAGGUUAAGGAGGACCAUUUAGAAUAGGCAUGUUUGAAUCAUAUUGCAUGUAAUUUUCAUGUUACACAUCCAUACUUGAUCUAUGUCAUUUGGUUGUGCUAAUAUAUGUUAUUAGGGAUGGAUUUAGUUAUGAUAUAUGUAACAAAGGUCACAUUCGUUCUAUGUUAACUUAAUUAAUGAAUGAGAUUAUUUGGAAUACCUUUUGGAUAUGAUAGUAAAGUUUUGAGCUCAUAAAUUUAUAUAAUGACAUGUAAUUAUAAGGUAAUUGGUAUAUAUAUGUGGCCAAGUGGUAUGGACAUCACAUAUAUAAUAAGCCUAAUUACUCCAAAAUCCUUGCAGCCCUUUAAUGACUUUUAAGCAAUCAUAUCCAUUUUAUUUACAGGUCAUUUGUAUGAAGGAACUUUGUGGUCAUGAUCGAGAGAUUCGAAUUUAGCAUAUUUACAGAGAAGGAAAUCUUGUUUCAGAUUUCUUGGCCCAUAUGGGAUUCCGGCUUUGAUCUAAGUUUACUACGAGAGCCACCUGGAAAUGCUCUCUCAAUUUCAACUAUACUAUGUGAUGAUAUUGCUCGUUCUUUGCCCUAUCGCCUGUGCUCAUUUGUGGUUAAUUAGUUUGUAAUAACCCAAAUUUGCCCAGGCUUACAACCCAAAAAUAAACAUAAAUAAAACCCAAAAAUAAAUAACAAGGCCCAAAUAAUAAUAGCCCACAAAACUUAAAAAAAAUCCAGCCAACUGAAACCCUAAUGCCCUCAUAUACGCCGCACCUCCUCCUCGGACACACUGCUCGUACCUCGUCCCAAGGUCUGACUCUUCCCAUAACAGCCCAAUUUUCAAUGAUAUCAGAAACAAUGAUUUUGGAUCACUAAAUCUGAUAAGUAAGCUUGAAAAUUUAAUAAUUAAUAAUUACGGGUCAAGUGUGAAUUUAGAAGAAUUUUUGAAUUAGUGAAUUUUGUGAUUUAAAAAGAAUUUAAUAGGUAAAUCGGGUCUAAAAUGAGGUAUCGAGACCUCGAAUCCAUAAGCCAACACAUAAAUAUUUUUAUAAAUAUUUAUGGAGUGCCAUUGAGUUAGUAUUAAAGUUUCAUCAGAAAAUUUUAACGUUUUGACAGUCAAUUAAUUAAAAAGGACUAAAUAGAAAAGAUGCAAAACUUGCUAAAGUGAUUAAAUAGCCUAAAAAUUAAAUAAGGAAGGCCUAAAAGAUAAAAUGGACCAAUUUAAGUGGCUGAGGUGGCAUACGGUUAAAAAAAUUAAAGAUUUUUAUGUAUUUAAGGGCAAAAUUGGAAUUACAAUAAAGUUUAUGUGGCCAAAAUUUAUUUUAAGGAUUUCAAGACCAUUUCUUCUUGAAAUUUCGGUGUAAAACAGCCAUGGAAGAGGAUUGAGAGCUGAUAUUUUAUAUUUUAGCUUCAAGUUCAAUUCUUGUUUUUCCCUUGAAAUUUUUAUAUUUUUGGACUUUUACAAUUAGGUCCAACUUAGUAUUCUAUUAGUUUUUUAUUUUGUUGAAAGUUUUGGAAGAUACCAUUGAUAAGUUCAUAUGAUUUUUAUUAUUUGGUGAUGAAAUUGAGAUGUUAAUGGAUGUUUAAAGGUGUUUUAUUAAAUAAUUUUGGAUGAAAAUAUGUUUUAGGGAUUAAAUUGAAAAGUAUUGAAUUUGUGGAAAAAUUCUAAAAUUUUAAGAAAUCCAUGGGCUUUCAUUGACAUGUAUGCGAAUGAUUAGGCUUGUAUCAAUGAUUAAAUUGAAAUAAUUUCAUUUUCCGAGCCUAGGGAUGAAAUCGUCAUGUAUUAAAAGUUUAGGGUCAAAAUGGUAAUCAAUAUAUUGCACUAAAAUAGUUUUGGGUAGUAGUAGUGUGCCAGCUUUGAAAAAUCACCAAAAACUGUGGGAAUCGAAUUAGAAGAUGAGUAAAAGAUGAAAUUAAAGCUUAUUGAGUCUAGUUUCUCAUAGAAGAAACAGUGUAAGCAAUGGAAUUAUAAAUCAUGAGAUAUAAUAAAUUUUGUGAGACAGAGUCAGAAUAAUUUUGGAAUCCCCUGUUCUAAUUUUGGAAAAUCAUUAAAAAUUGUAUAAAAAUAAUUAUGAGUUAUAGUUUAUAUGUUUAAAAUCCUGAAAGAGUUUAUUUUCAAGAGAAACAAACAAGAACAUCACCCAAACUCUGUACAAUGAGAUAAUUACUUUUUGGUGAAGAGAGGUCAGAACUGUCAAACAGUGAAACAGGGGAGAAUUUAAAGAAUAAACUGUAUUUAUUGGCUAAGCCAAAAAUUCUAAAAAUUUUAUGGUAAAAUGAUAUAUGAGACUAGUUUCUGGAAAAAUUAACAAAUCUUAAUUUAGAGCUUCGUAGCUCGAGAUAUAAAUAAUUUAGUGACUCUGACUCGGAUAGACAACUUUGAAUUUAUGUAUAAGUAAAUCGUGAAAAUAUAGUUAAUGUUAUUUAAGCAUGUUAUAUACAUUAAGGAUGUGGAAUGGAGAGGAGGAGGAGGAAAAUUGGAAAAUAUAUGAAUGACUUGUGUAUGAAUUGGUCAUAUGCCUGAUUAUAAUCGAUAAACGUUGAAUUUGAAAUGAUAUAAUGUUUUAUUUCAAAUAGUUAUUAUGAAAUUAUGAUUAUCAUUAUGUUACAAAAUUUAAUUGUAAGUUCAUAUGGCUGAAAUUUAAUGAUUAAUUGUUAAUUUCAUAAUUAUAUAAUAUAUGAUGGGAUAUAAUUGUUGAUGAAUUGAGAAUAAAAUAACAAUGCGAAAAUCGAAUAAAUGAUCAAAUUUAGUGGAACGUCAGAUUUGAGUACUUCUGAUCAGUGACAAGUGAUAUAUGAUUUCCGUGUAAGACCAUAGCUCGGCUAUGGCUUCGGUGUGUGAUAUGUAACGAUGUGCAAUACCAUAGCUAUACUAUGGCAAAGUGGAAACAAAGUACUCAAUUCCAUAAGACGUUCUCUAAUUUAUCAAAUUGUGGUAAGUGUUAAGCAAAUUUUAUGUGAUAAAACAUAUUGAACAGUGAAAUUGAGCUGAAUUAUGUGAUCUCAUCAUUCAGAGAUUGUGUUUGAUAGGUUAUGUUAAUAAAUUAUGUGUAUGUGAAUUUAAGUGACAGAAAUUAAACAGCUAAUGAUAUUGAGCUCAUUUACAUGAAUCUGUCAUUUGAAAUUGUGAUUGACAGAAAGAAAUAGUGAAUUGAAUAUGAAAAUGUGAAUAGAAAGCACAAACUAAAUGUUCUUGCGAUAAAUAAUGGCUCAAUGUGAUAGUAAAUGAUGUUAAUCUAAUGAAAGUUAAAUUGAAUUGUAAAUGACUUGAAUUAUCCGAAAAUGUUCUAUAAUCUCUGGUAAUGUCUCGGAACCCUAUUUCGGUGACAGAUACGGGUAAGGGGUGUUACACUUCCCCUGGCCACCUUGCCUAGCCUUGUAAAACAAAAUAGAAGAAGAAGAUAGAGGCGAAAAUAGCAGGGGAUAGCAGAAAAUAGUAGCAUAAUCGGCUGUAAAAGCCCCAAUGAAAUGUAAUUUAUUUUUUUUCUACGGAUAAUCAAAUAUUAAGAGAACAAAAUAUCAAUCAAAAAUCCUGAAGGUUUACUUCUACUGUUGUUUUAAGUUUCGGUUCAUUUUUAUUCUGCCUUUUAUUUUUCAUUUUUUUACGUACAAAGAAAGGAAAAAGAAACAGAAAUAAAAUACCAUAGUUUUAAAACAACAAAGGAAUUUCUUUGCAUAUUUAUCGAAAAUAGAGCAUAUAUACAUAGAUAUAUUCAAAAAAACACAAGUUUUUUUAACCUCUGUUGUGACUGAAGAAGGUGGAACCAAAUGGUUUUUUUUCGCCUUUUCUGAAUUUCAAAGGGGUUUCUUAGGAUUUUAACCUCGGAUUGAGAUUUGGGAGGCCGAAUAGGUCGAAAAGGGACCUUUUUUUGAACUCCGGUCGACGUAUACGGCGGCAUACGGUGGUGGAUGACGGUGGACGGACGGUUGCCCAGUGACUAGGGUACAGCUAGACCACGACCGGAGGAAAAGGGAUUGAGAGAGAAUCCCCUGAUUUUUUUUGGAAAAAGAAGAAAAUGAAAUUUUUUAAAAAAAAUUGUUUUAACUAGGGCCCCUAAACGGCGCCAUUUAGGGCUGGUCAUAAUAGCCCUAAAACGACGUCGUUUUGCCCAAGACCCGCGCAUGUGACCCGACCCGCCAGAGGAUCCGCGUGUUUUUAACUUUUGGGCUAUUUGCGCUUUAGGCCCUUCAUCAUUUUUGGUCUAUUUCAAUUUAGUCCUUUUGCAUUUUUUCUUUAUUUUUUAAUUUAGACCGCAGAUUUGUCUCGGUUUUCAAUUUGGUCCUCAAUUCGUUGGACCCCUGGGGAGGAGAUGCGUGGCCUGGAAAACGGGUUUAUUACCCAUUUGGCCCUCCUCCCUCUCGCGCUCUUUCAUUUUGGUCUUUCUUUAUUCAUUUUAUUAUAGCUUUGACCUUUAAAUUUCAUUUUUAUCCCGAGUUAGUCCAUCUUUGUUAUUUUUGUUAUAUUAUUAAUUAAUCUAAUUAUUAUCAUACUUAUAUUUUCUUUUUAUAUUUACUUAUUAUAUUAUUAUAUUAUACUAUUAGUUUUGUAUUAUUAUUAUUAUUAUUAUUAUUAUAUUAUUAUAUUUAUAUUUAUAUUUACUUAUCUAAAUUUUAAAUAUAUUUUGUCUUAGUAUAUAUUAUUAUGUAAUUACUUAUAUCUUUUGUAUUUUUUUAACUCUAGAUUAUUCGCUAUUCUAUUAUUAAUAUUAUUAUUGUUAUUAUUUACUUAUUUAUAUCCUUUUUAUUUCAAACUUUGUUAUAUAUAUACAUACAUACAUAUAUUAUUUUUUAUAUUUUUAUAAUCUUAUUUAUUUUCAUUAUUGUUAUUAUUGUUUUACUUGAUAUUUAUUUAUUUAUGUGUCCAUUAUUAUUUUAAGAAACAUUUUAGUUCUGUUUGUUUAUUUACUUGUUAUUUUAUGUAUAAUUGAUUUGUCCCCUUUUUUUAUUUAUUUAUCUUAUUUUCAUUGUUGUUGCUCAUAUUAUUUAUGCUUACAUCAUUGUAUUUAUUAUUGUUUUGUUACGCAUAUUAACCCCGUGUUUUAUUUCUACCAUUUCGUGUUAGAUUAAUCUCAUUUGAUGCAUAAAUCAUGACUUUAAAACAAGUAAAACUAGAUAUUUUGAGAUCCGAAAAGGUCGUGCCCUAACUUACGGGGCUUUGAUUUUCUCGAUAAAUUCAAAUACACGAAUCUUUUCAAACAUAAGUUUUUUAAGUGAUCUCGGGAAUUAAUAAAAGAUCGGGUUCUAACUUACGGGACUUGAUUUCUUUUCCAAACCCGAGAUAAUCAAAUCGAAUAUCCUUCAAAUAAAUAAAGCUUUCGGCAUUUAUUCUCGAAUCAAGUAUUUAAAUAUAUUGUGUCCUAACUUACGGGAUAUAAUUCUCUUUCUCGAUUAACGCGAAAUAUGCCCUUUUCUUGAAAACUUUCAGCAUUUUAACAAAGGAUUGUAUUUUGAAUCUUUUCAAAGUUUUCAAUUCUCGACACUAAGACACUAAUUAAUCAACCAGGUACCAAUUUCUAGGCGUUAUGAGGGUGCUAACCCUUCCUCGUAUGUAACCGACUCCCGAACCCAUCUUUCUGAAUUUCGUAGACCAAAAGCGUUGUUUUAAUAAAUCGAACCGUUUUGUUAAAAAUAACCAUUUUCUGAGUUGACCUGAUCACACCUCCUCAAAAAAGGAUUGGUGGCGACUCCCAUAUUCAUUUUCGUUUUAAAAAUCCAAGUCGACCUCUUUUAUCAAAAAAUGGUUUCGACAUAGUUGUUAAGGCUUUUGCCUCUUUCUUUUAUUAAAAAAAAAAGCUGGGCACGAUGAAUCGACCUUAGCUAGUAAAAAACUUCAAUCACCGAAUUGCAUAAAAUUCUAACUUAAAUUCAAAUGCAGAAGCAGGAUCGUUUAUCAAUCCACAAUAUCAACAAAUCUCAAUUCAAACACAAAAUUAACCGGUGAAAAAAAAUAGUUCAACCCAUAAACAUUUACCACAAAGGGAAAUUUGAAACACUUACCACCAUUCCCCUAUCAGAAAGUCUUACCCACAUUCAACAACUAGAAAUCAGAGCUCACCAAAAUGUUUAUGACGAAGCCAUUUUUUUGAAAAGGGUCGACUUUUUAUUUAAAAACGAAAAAGGGAGUCACCACUAAUCAUUUUUAUGAGGUGUGAUCGGGUCACCUCGUAACGGUUUAAUUGAUUAAAAUAAAAAUUUUGGUCUACAAAAUUUAGAAAAAUGGGUUCAGGAGUUGGUUACGUACGAGGAAGGAUUAGCACCCUCGUAACGCCCAAAAUUGGUACCUAAUUGAUUAAUUAAUGUCUUAAUGUCGAAAAUUAAAAACUUGAAAAGAAUUUAAAAUACGAUCCCUCUUUAUUAAUGUUAUUUUUUAGUUAAAAUUUCUUGGAUAAAUCAAAAUGUGUGCUUAAGACUUUCUCGUCCCAAAGUAGCAAAAAUAUUAUGUCCCGUAAGUUAGGACACAACACUUUGAACUUUGGAGAAUGAACUUGCCUUUAUUUUUUAUUUUAAAUCUUAUUAUUUUGAUUUUAAAAGGAUAUUCGGUUAUUUGAGUUCAACGAGAGAAUCGAAACCCCGUAAGUUAGGUACGAUUUCCUGAAUCUCCAAAAUAUGAAUUAUUGCCUAUUCUUUUGAAAAUUUUCCAUUUUUAUGAAAUUGGAUGAAAAUUAAUGAUAUUUAAAAUGAUAUGCAAUAUAAAAUAAAAUAUUAUAAUAACCAUGACGUAAUUACAAAGAUGAAUGCAAUAUUGUUUGGUGGAAAAUGUUUUCCGAAAAAUAUUUUCUGAAUUUUCCAGCGUUUGUUUGGUGGAAAAUGAAUUCCUAAAGUAAAACAUUUUCCAAACACGGGUAAAAUUAGUCCCCAAUUUUUGGAAAACGUCUUACUAAUUUGGAAUCAGUAAGAAAUUUUCCCGUUCUCCCUUCUCUACACUCUCGUUCUCCCUGCCUCUCUAAACCAAUCUUAGGGCUCAUUGAGCUGGUUCCGGGCUAUUUUUCCCCCUUGAUUUCUUCUCCUUUUUAUAAAUUAAUUUGGGGCUUUUCAUCACUGUGUGUUGUUUUUGUCUGGGAUCUCUUGCAUGGGUUUUCUGCUAGUUUGGGUUCUCUGUGCUCAGGCUUUCUACAAAUUCUGCUCUUCCUCUCUUGCUUGGGUCGGGUUUUUGUUACCGUUUUGUAGCCUGUGGCGUUUGGCUUGUCUUGGGCAAACUUUCUUCGCAGACUUUCUUUAGAAAGGUAUAUUUUCUAUUUUCACUUCCAUUUUCUACUUAUUUUUUAGACGCGAAAUUUCUUAGCAAUUCUUUUAUCUUGAACAAACAAUGUUUUGAGGUUUUGGGUCGUUUCAUAAAGUAGAAAAGGAAUCGAACUGUUAAUAUUCUUAAGAUUGAGAAAUUGAGGGCACGUUUGGUUCGCUGUAAUGGAAUAGAGCUGUAAUGGAAUAGAGGCGUAAUAGUAAUUCAAUUGUUUGGUCGAAUGGAAUGGAAUAGAGCUAUAAUAGUAUUCUUGUGUUUGGUUGAAUGGAAUGAUGUUGUAAUAGCAUAAGGAAAAAAACUAAAAUGAGUAUACCCUUAGCAGAAUUUUUUUAGGUAGAUGAUUAUUAUUAUUCUUAUUAAAUUUUAAUAAGAUUAUUAAUAUAAAUAAUAAAUAAUAUAAUCAUAUUUAACAUAAUUAUUAUUAAAUAUAAUUUAAUAAAAAUAUAUAAUUUAAUAAAAUUCUUAAUAUAAUUAUUCUUAUAUUAAUUUCCUAAAAUCAUAAUAUAUAAUAAUCACUACACCAAAACAGGUUUUUAGCGGCGUUUGGAUAAAAAACGUCGCUAAAAAUUGAGCAUUAGCUGCGAUUUACGUCAAACGCAGCUAAAGAUCGAGCAUUAGUGGCGCUUCCAAGAAAGCGCCUCAAAAAAUGAGCAUUAGCGGCGUUUAUCCAAAAAACGCCGCAAAAAACGUAAACCCAACGGCAUCGUUUUUGACCUUUCGGGGCUUUAGCGGCGCUUUUUCAAAAGCGCCGCUAAUACUCGGGUCUUUAGCAGUGCUUUUCCCAAAACGCCGCUAAUGCUCUAGUCUUUAGCGGCGCUUUUUCAGAAGUGCCGCUAAUGCUCGGGUCUUUAGCGGCGCUUUGUCAAAAAUGCCGCCAAAGCUCGGGUCUUUAGCAGCGCUUUUUCAAAAAUGCCGCUAAUGCUCGUGUCUUUAGCGGCGCUUAAUCCCAAAUUGAUCCUCCAUACCAAAAUGAGUGGAAAUGAGUUUAAAAGAUGUCCAAAACAUUAACAUUUAAACAUUUGUUAAGAAAUUUUCUUUUGUUUUCAAUAUAAAUGGCUUAAAAAAUGAAAAAAAAAGUCUUAAACUUUGUUUGAUUAAAAAUUUUCGUAUAUAAAAAGGAACAUAUUUAAAUUUAUGUGGAUGGUUUUUAUUUAGUUUCAUUAAUAUAGGGAGAUUAAAGAUUGGUGGAGAUUUUACCUAACAAAUUAUUAUAGAAAGAGAGAAGAUGGAUUUAACACCUUUUGAGAAUCCAUUCCCCAAUGAGUUGUAUGGUGUAUCAAUUACGCAUGUAUGAAUAUAUUUUCCUUCCACCAUGUGCUGCCACGAAACUUAGGGCCAAUAUUGUGGAUUCCCGGAGAAUUAGAAGAUAAAAGAUAACCUAUGGGAGAUUCUUGUAAGAGUUACUGGUUUAAGAUUGGUUUUGGAUUUUGUAGGAAAGAUAUGCUGCAUCAAUUACACAUGGGGAUUUAAUACAAGUUGGAUCAUUUUCCUCAUCAGCUAACAUUUUCUUAUGCUAGUUUAGAUCCAAAUCCACACACCCAAUUUUGAUUUGCGCUUCCAUCAAACUAAUUCUUUUUACUGUGAAAAACAUAUUAUUUCAGUAAUAAAUGUUGAAUCAACAUUAUUUUAAUAAUAAAUUAUUUUAUUCCUUUUACUAUAGUAUUUUUUUCCCAUCAUGUUGAUUUAGGUAUAGUUUGGAUAGACAUUGCGUUUACUUGUGUUUAGUAUAAAAACAACAGUGAUGAUAAAAUUAGAUAAAAGUGAACUAAUCGCACCGCACUGGCCAUCCAAAUCCAAGUACCAUACUCUUCUUUUAGUUUUUUUUAAACCCUAAAUAAGAAAGACAACCUCAUUUAGCGAAGUCAUUAACCCCUUUCUUAAAUUUCCAUAAUAAAACUCAUACCCUAUUCAAAAACCCUAUUUUAACAAAAUUCAACUAUCUUUGAAUUAUUCGUAACCCUAUAUUUAUAAUACAGACGUGGUGAUUAGUUAGACCUUUAAUUACUUAACAUAUUUUUUUUUUAUUGACUAACAUCUCUUGUUUUUAUUGACUCCUUUAAUUUUAAUUUUAUAAUUUUAUAAUUUAAUCUAAAGAGGUCAAAUUCGAAUUAUUGUUUUGAUAUAAUUUUUAAUUUAACAAGAGCUGAAUCAUACUUUAUAGGAUUUGAACCUUGGACGAUAGGUUUGAAGACCCACAUGCUACCGAACUAAACUAAUAUCACUUUCUUAUCAUAAUAAAUAAAAUUGUAAAAAAAUCCUUUUAUUUUAUAACCCUAAUACAAUACAUUGUAUGUCGUAUAUAUAUAAUAUGAGAAAAUGAUAGAUUGAGCAAAAUUGCAUCAUAGGUUGUGUUCAAAAUUCAAAUUCUUUUUGGUUUAGAGGGUUUUAUGUUUGGUUAGUGAUAAGUUUUUUUUCUUUCGCAUGUGAUUUAUCUUUUCGAUAUGUAGGGUGAAGGAUUUAAAUUGUGGAAUGUUUGGUUUAUAUAAGCAGCUUAAGGUAAGAAAAGAAAAGCAAGAUAAAAUUUGAAAGAUGAUCCCAUUGUUGACUGAUUCAUUUACUGCGAGCUUCUCCCUCAUAUUGUAGCGACACUGAUGUACAAAAUAUUUCAAAGAUGUACAAAUUUUUCGAGUUUAAAAACUACAUUGAGUGUAUUUUCGUAGGAGUUCAGUUGAUUUAAAAACUACAUUAAAUGGUUUAGGAUUUAAGGUUUACUUCAGAUUUGUUAAAUGAUGAAAUUUUAUACAAUAAAUUAAUACUUUUAUAUUUAAAAAUAUUUAAUCUAAAAUAUUCGAUAUAUUUAAAUAUUAGAUUUAAAAAAAUUGAUAAAUAAAUAAAGUCACUUAACUAAUAAUUUUUAGUAGAUAAAAUAAAAAAAUUUUAACAGAGCAAAACGAUGUUAUUUUAUCAAUAGAUAAGCAAUAAUGGCGUUUUUUGUAAAAACGCCACAAAAUUUAUUUUACUUAGAAAAAAAUUUGGCGCUGAUUUUUCCCAAAUUUUCCCCCUAAAACCCCUAACUUUGCAAACAAAAUGAAAAAAAGAAGAGGAAAAUGAAGGUACCAAAGACGAUUCAGCACAAAACCUCUCCAAUCUACUUACGAGUUCUACCGUUUGUUUCCCUGGAAAAUAUAUGAGACUUAAUAUUUUCUGUUCCAUUUUUCCUCUUUAUUUUCUAAUUUUGGGUAUUAUUUACUCAGAUCCCCUUUCUUUUUAUUAUUGUUUUUUUUUUCUCUUAUAUUUUAGCUAGAAAUCGACGAUGCAAGUUACUGCUGGUAACAAGUUAUUGCUUAAAAUUCAUCGUAACAAAUCUACUUCAAAGGAAGUUAUUCAUAUUCCUUCGUAUCGAAGCGAAGUUAUUUACGGUGGAACUUGGUUCUCCAGCUCUCGUAAGUUUGUUCCCAGUUUUGUAUUUGCCAUCUAUAUCAGGUUUACCUCUCUUACUUCUCUUCGUCUUCAUCUCCCUUUCAUUUAUUCUACCAAAAACGCCUCUUACUUGUCAUUUUUUUCUCACAUAUCGUGCAAGACUCAUUUUUCUUUCUUUAUGCUCUAGUCUUAACAGUGCACUUCAACUGUUCAAUAUAAUGCUUCUUUAUACAAUUUGUUUCUGGUUUUCAGGGGGUGUUGUCUGUAAGAUGUUGAAGCAAGCGAUAUGGAAGGUGUUGAGCAAAAGGGUAGUUUCAGAUUCUGGUGAUAAACUUCUUUUGCCUUGUUUGUACUUGCCCACGACUUCUUUUCACGCUGGACAGGUAGGUACUCUUUUUUUUCUUUUAACUCUUACUUUAGUUUUUUUUAUGGAUACCCAAUUGUUAAUUUAUUAAAUAAUAAAUCUUUAAUAAUAAACCUAAAUUUAUGGCAUUUGAAUUAUUUGUAGAAUUUGAAUCAUAAAAACAUUGUCAAGUAUCUUGGAUCAUUGAAGACAACAAGAAGUUAGGUUUUGUAGUCUCUGUCUGGAAUUCUUGCUCUGAAGUUUGUCUAUUUUAUACGAGUUGAGUUUUCAUGGUUUGCUGUUGCAUUGUUUCUUCUGUUCUUUGUUUUGUUAUUGGAACUAUUUCCAAUUGUCUGGUUUACUUGAAAUCCGAUAUUUGAUUAAAGGGACCAAGUAGAGAGCACAAGUGAGAGCGAAGGCAGUGCAAGUGAUGAAGUGCUUGUUGUUCCUUAUGAUAACUUAGCACCUAUUUCUUGUGGUAAUAUUUUCUCAUUAUUCUUCUACUUUUGAAUUUAUUGUAUUCCAAAUAUAGCAUCAAGAAAAAUAUAAUAGUACAUUAGAGUUCAGCUUGUAUAAUUUGUUUGGAUUCUUUCUGUCUUGAAGCAGAUAUUACUGAAUCUAAGCAGCUUUUAGAUAAGCUUGUUGUGGUGAAGUAUAAUAGAGCUUUGGGAAAGAAUAUGGGUUUCGUUGGUCCCAAGUAAGCAAUUAUCUAACUUCUGGAAGUUUGAUACUUAUUUUUUUUCCAAGAAAAGAGAAGCAUUUCUUGAUGAUUCCAUAGUUAUAUAUUAAAGACUUGCCUCUACAUAAAUGAAUAUAGUUUCUAUGACAUACAUAUAUUUAUGUAUGCUUUUUAUAUAUGCCUCUACAUUCAUAUAUUUAUAUAUGCUUUUUAUAUUGUAUUGUGCCAAAUAAAGAGAAUAAAAGUUUUAAUUAUUGAUAGAUUCUGCUACUUUUUUUAUGUACUUUUUAUUAAAUCACUCUUUAAUCAAAUGUAGAAUUAUAAAAUUAUUAAAUUUUACUAUAAAUAAUUAUCCUUAUAUAAUUAAUUAUUUUAGUAAAUUUUCCAACUAUCAAAACAGAUCACUCCACCAUCCCACGUCAAAAUUUUGUUAAGGGUAGGAGUUGAGAGAGGUAGAUACUUUGAUGAAUAUUUUCUUUUACAUGAUAAUUAUAUACUUCUUUAAGUUUGUUUUGGAUGUUGGGACAAUGUCAGUUGAUGCCGAAAUUUGAUAGUGCUGCAAAUUGAAGUGUUUAAGUGCUGCAAAUUGAAGUAUUUAGUUGCUGCAAAUUGAGAUGUUUUAUCGCUGUAAUUGAGGUGUAUAAAUGUUGUUAAUUGAUAUGUUUAAGUGCUGCAAAUUGAAGUGUUUAAAUGCUGUAAAUUGAAGUGUUUAAGUGCUGCAAAUUGAAGUGUUUAGUUGCUGGAAAUUGAGAUGUUUUAUUGCUGUAAUUGAGGUGUAUAAAUGUUGUUAAUUGAUAUGUUUAAGUGCUGCAAAUUUAAGUGUUUAAAUGCUGUAAAUUGAAGUGUUUAAGUGCUGCAAAUUGAAGUGUUUAAAUGCUGUAAAUUGAAGUCUUUAAGUGCUGCAAAUUGAAGUAUUUAGUUGCUGGAAAUUGAGAUGUUUUAUCGCUGUAAUUGAGGUGUAUAAAUGUUGUUAAUUGAUAUGUUUAAGUGCUGCAAAUUGAAGUGUUUAAGUGCUGCAAAUUGAAGUGUUUAGUUGCUGCAAAUUGAGAUGUUUAACGCUGUAAAUUGAAGUGUUAAAGUGCUACUUUCCAUUGUCACCUCCCCCAUUUCUUUAUGCAACAAUAACUAUAUUAAUGAAAUCAAGUACUACAAUUAUAUACUAUUGCAGAUGGGGGUUGGAGAAUAUGAUCAAGGGGAAAACAUCAGAUAUGGUGAUUCCUAGCCAAGCAGUGGCUUCUUAGACACCCAACAUUUUGCACAACCAAACAUGACCACAACUUUUAAACCUACAUGUUGAGGUUGCUACACACAAGUCCCUUCCUUUUUUUAGUUUAUGUGCUAUGUGAUGAUUGUGUUUUAAAAUUUAACUUGUUUUAGUUCCUUACAUUCUUAUACGAUUCACACUCAAGGAGCUAGAAACAUCUCAGCAACUCAUUGGGAUCGAGCAGUCAAAAUUCAGAAUCAAGUGACACACAAGAGCUAGAUUUGGAGCUUAAACUGUCACUGUAAUCAGUAAUUUUUUUUUUGCUUCUUUAAAUGCAUGCUCAUGGAACUACAUCUUAUGCUUUCCUAGAAUUGUAAGUUCAAAUAAGGUGUUGAUCUGCAAUUUAUACAUACAACUUGAGCAAGUUGAUAUGAACUAGUUUCAAUUUUUUUUUUAAAAAUGAAAGGAAUGUUAUGUAAUCAAAGGCAAUUUGACUUGUUGCAUGAGAUAUAGUGAAAAACAUUUAUCUUCUUAUUCAUGAAUUUCUAUUUUAAUACGUCUUCAAAUUAAAUUAUACAUUUCUUAAUUGGUAGAAUCUCACUUUUGCUGUUGCUGCAAUCUUUAACCAAAGAAUGGAGUGAUGUAUGUACUGAUAACAGUUCUAAAGGAUUUGUUUAAGCAAGUAAAGAGAUUGGCGUUUUUAUAAUAAUUUAGGAUAGGAAUGGAGCAAAUCCAAAGAAUGGAGUGGCAUUUUUAUAAUAAAUUUUUUUAUUUUUCGUGACCUUUACUAGCGUUUUUGGAGAAAGCGCCGCUAAAGGUCUUGUUUUUUAGCGGCAUUUUUGGGAAAAGCGCCGCUAAAGGUCCUAGUCUUUAGCGGCGUUUGUGGUAAAAGCGCCACUAAAGGUCUUGGUCUUUAGCGAUUUUUGUGGGAAAAGCGCCGCUAAAGGUCCUGGUCUUUAGCGGCGUUUGUGGGAAAAGCGUCGCUAAAGGUCUUGGUCUUUAGCGGCGUUUGGGGGAAAAGCGCCGCUAAAGGUCCUAGUCUUUAGCGGUGUUUGUGGGAAAAGCGCCGCUAAAGGUCUUGGUCUUUAGCGGCGUUUGGGGGAAAGCACCGCUAAAGGUCCUGGUCUUGAGCGGCGUUUGUGGGAGAAGUGCCGCUAAAGGUCAUGGUCUUUAGCUGCGUUUUUUCCGGCUAAAAAAGUGCCGCUAAAAGCCUGUUUUGGUGUAGUGAAUAUAAAAAUAAUAUAUAAUCUCAUUUAUUAUUUUUAAAUCGCAAUACAUAUUUAAUGUGCUAAAAUAUCAUUAGUGAAUCAAAUAAUUUAAUUAUUCUACAAAAAAAAUAGAAGUAAUAAAUAACUUGAAAAUUAUAUUUUGCAUAAAUAUAAUAUUCAAAUAUUAACAAACAUACCCUAAAUCAAAUUUCAUGUAUAAUUUUAAAAUUUACCCCAAAGAUUUAGUGUACUUCUUGACCUGAACUUGACAAUUAAGUUUAUUUUAGUACUUGUAUAUUUUUUGUCCACUUUAAUAAUUGACCUUGACAAUUAGAUAUAUUUUAAUCUUUGAACUUGAAAUAUAUAAAAUUUUAUUGACAUAACACUUUAAGAUUGUCUCACAUCAUUAAAUUUGGACGGAAUAUAAAUUCAUAGUCAAAAUAGACCUACUUGUAAAGUUAGAUACUAAAGUAGACCCCAACAACAUAUAUAAGUAUCAAAAUGAAACUAGCUUACAAAGCAAAACUUCGUAUGAAAGAAGAUAAACAAAUUGUGCUACUUGAAGGGAACAACACUGGCACUGGAAAAACAUUCCGUGUUUGAGGACAUAAAAUCUCUUAAGCACUGCGUCCAGGUUAUGAGCUACUCACAGCAACACAGAUCGCUGGGAAAUAGUGUGCCAAAUUACCUUUUGUAUCUCUUCUUGGAACCACAUGGACAGGGAGCAUUACGGCUCAUUUCUCCACUCUUUACCAUAUUAAACUUGGUAAGAUCCAAUGGUGUUAAACCCGUUAGCUUUUGCACCUGCAAAAGAUAAAAAAAAAACUAAUGACAUUUCCAAUGGAGAAAGAGAGAGAUGCAUAAACUAAUACUUGUCAUUGAUGUUUUAAACUGUGGGAGAAACAUUCAUCCGAACUCAAAUGCGAAUUUCAGCAACUGAAGAUGAAUGAAGGCAGACAUCUCAGUCUUUUAAGCAAUCUGGCAUUGAACCAAAAAAGCAUAACGCAGAUCAGCAGACCAAACAUCUGUAACUCUAUGUUAGUUCGACUCUUUCUUUUCCUUUAUGCAUCCAUGUUUGAUGCAAGUCUGGGACCAGAAUGAAUAUAGGGAGAUAAUCCUUUAAAAAUCCUCCAAAUACAUUAAAAAACUUGGACAAAAAAUGAACACAACACACCCGUGUCAAACAUAUAUAUCAGACACUCAAACUAUAGUCUGAACAACAAGAUAUACAAUCAUCAUUUUGACUCAGAUAAUAUGCAUAACUAACUCCCCUACCUUCUUAGACAAAUAUCUUACUUAUCUUUCAAAUAGCUCAUCCUACAUUCAACAUCAUAUUCACCGAGCAGCAGCCAAAAGACAAAAAUACAUUAACUUAGAGAAUUUAAGAUCAGACAAAUUGAGCAAUAGGCAUAAAGACACUAGCUCAUACGUUUUAAUCAUUCAACAUAUUAUCAGCAAAAACAUAACUGAAAAAAACCAGUGGUGAACCUACCACAGCAAAGUUCUUUGGCAUCGGUUUGCCUUCCUCUUUCAGCUUAACCAUCUUCUUAUGAACUUCUUUAGCCCAUGUGAACUUCGCAAGCGCAUUCUCAACAUAUAAUAAGGUACAAUCACACUGUUUUGCAGCUUCUUUCUUUUGACUCAGUUGGAGAUUCUAAAAAAAAAGUCAAAAUCUAAAUCCACAAUCAGCGAAUUCACCUACAGGGCUCCAACCAUGUUUUAUAGUUUGGACGAGAAAAGGCAGCACCUUCUUACAUGCAAUGUCAGUGGUCAACAGGACUGGAAUGCUCGCCUGUUUAUCAUGGUGGAAAUCAAAUUCUUAUAUAAAACAUAGUUAACAUUUCUCAGCAUAAAGCCUUCAUCUUUUGUGCAAACAAAUUUUAAAUUAACAGAACUCAACUAGUCGAAAUCACAAGCCAUUCAAAAAACAAUAGAAUCAGACAAACAUGUAAUAGAAUAAAAAUUUUCAUCUGUUCAAUCUGUUCAAUCUGUUCAAUCGAACAAACAUUGAAAACAUUGAAAGAAUUUUCAUCUGUUCAAUCGAACAUGCAAUACAAAGAAAAGCUGAAUGGAAAACGCUAGAAACGAAUCAAAAUUAGGAGAACAAAAACAAAUAUUCCAGAUUUGAGCAAAAGCAAAACUAAAUCGAUUUUACAGAAAAGAGAAGAAAAGAAAAACAGGGAAAGAGUGUGAGAAUUUUUCGUUGUUGAUAAAAUGGAGAAAAGAAAAAAAACGAGAGAAGAAAAGAAAUGUACGAGAAUAAAAGAAGCAGAAAUCGAUGGAAGGGAAAAAAUUACCUUGCAAAACGUCGGAGAGGAUGAGCGCAGAAAACGAAAAAGAUGGUAACAAAUUGGGAGGGAAUCCCUAUUCCGCGCUUAAACAUCAGAAUGGCUAUUACAGCCAACGUGGGUAAUAGAUGCGGAACGGAAUCAGGGUGUAAUAGCAUUACACCCAACCAAACAUCCGUUUGGUGGUGGGCCUAGGGAAUUGGGGGGAAUGCAUACCGGUUCCCCCCAACCAAACAUACCUUGAGUUUGUUCUCUUAAGAGGAAAUGGUAAUGAGGUGUAAAAGCCAAGAGGAAAUGAUUAUCUUUACCGCUAGAAAUGAACAAGGUAUGUUAUUCAUAUUUUUCUCCGGAUGCAGGUUUUAAUUGGGCAAUAGUUUUACUUUUGUUAUAGCUAGAGGUUUUACUUGUCAAGCAUCUUACUGCAUUUGGUUAGUUUUAUGUUUUAUUGUUUUAUCUUUCUGGCAUUUUAUAUUUAGUUCUCCUAUUUUUUUAGACAAUUUCUGCAACAUUGGUUUCCUAUGACGUGAUAGUAUUUUUUUGUUGUAGUAGUGAUAACAUUUGUGGUUGGCAAGAUUCCUUUAACACGGUUUAUCUGGAAAGGUCUAUCUUUGGGUUGCUGAUAGUGUCAGCGAGUGAAAUAAAUGCUAGUUGUGGCUCUUAUGAUUACAAACUAUUAGCUUAUUGGUAAAUUGAAUGUUCAGAUGUCAUGACUGAUGUAAAUUCACAUACUUUUAAACAUUGUGCAUCUUCUAAUUUUAUGAAUUUUAACAACAAAAAGUUUUCUAUACAUAAUGAUUAUUUGAUUACUGUAUGUUUGAUCUUGGAUUUCUGUUGCUAAACAUGAAUUGGAAUAAAAUGAAUGCUAGUUGUUCAUUUGAAUAACAAGAAUGGAAUAAAAUGAAUGUUAGUUGCUAAAGACCAUAGCUUUUAGCGGCACUUUUCAAACAAACGCCACUAAAAAUAUAUCUUUUAAAAAAAUUAAUUUUUUUCAAAUAAUAUUUAUUUCUAUAAUAAAUAUUAUAUUGUGUUUUAAGGAUAAAUAAAAAAUAUUAUUUAAAUUAAAUUUUCUACAAAAAUUUUAACUUUAAAACUAAAUAUAAAUAUAAAAAUUAAUGAAUUUAAAUUUAGAAUUUAAAAUAAUAAAUUAAUAACACAAUUAAAAUCCAAAAGUUAGAACACUUAAGUAAAAAUAAAAAUUUAGAAUCAAAACUAAAAUAAAUGAUACAUAUGCAAGGUAAUAAAAUAUACAAUGCAUUUUCUUAAUCAAGUAAAUCUUGGUUACAAAACUAACACAGAAAAUAACACAGUAUACAGUAUGUUUUGUCUUUCACAUUUUAAAAAUAAUAAUAAUAGCAUGUUUGUUUGCAUGCUACCAUGAUCAAAACACAAAAAUGAAGUUCUCCACCUAAUACAAAUUUCUCCUACGAAUGUGCAGAAUCAGAUCUCUAGAUUCUCGGAGUUCUUCAUCUGGUGCUGUCUCGAUGGUUUUGAUUAUUGUGUCAUCUAGCUGGAUUCAAAAAAAAGAAUAGAAUGCAAAGCAUGUUAUACAUUUGGACUCGAAAUUUUUAGCAACUCAAAAGAAUGCUAAGAAUGUUGUCCAACCUUCCAGUACUCACAAGGAUCCUGAAUAAAAAUGAAAUCAGACCUCACCACUUCAUAUAAGAAGCCUACACAACUAAUUACACAAAAGAAAAAGAUGAGAAAAAAUAACAAUGUAAAAAAGACGUUUGAAUGAGAUAAUAUAGAACCCAGAGUUAACUCUGUGAAUACCUUCACUUUAGAGUGGGUGUACACAGUUCGAUAAAGAUCAGCACGAGUAGCAAAUAACUUGUGGAUACUAAGAUCUAGCAAGAGCACCCAUUACCAUUAUUAAGGAGUAAAAAAACACUAAAAGAACUAAACAUGUAUUUUGCAAGUAAAUGAAUUAGAUGAUACUAACAGUCUUUAGCACGAUAGCAGAUCUCAUCACCCAAAACUCGCAGUCUCCAUGAACCUGCAGGUGGUGUAGUAUGUAUAUUAAGUUUCACUUACUUAUCCACAUCAAUUCCAUUCUAACCAUUUGCAACAAUAUCAUAUAAGAAUUGCUUCUCCUUUGCACUCUUCAAAGUAAGCACAAAAUAGUGUAUGUGUUAGAUAAAGAAAAGAAACAAAGAAUGUUUGUACUUCAUACUGGAGCAAAAUAUAAAAAAUCCAGUGAUCAACAUGUGCCUACACUUAAAAUAUAAAAAAUCUAGUGAUCUACCGAAAUUAAACUAUUCAUCAAAAUGAUUGCAAUUAACUGAGUUAAAACAUGAUUUUUUUUCUUUUCUUGCAAAUAUCUAAAGUUUUUUAUACCUUCCCAAAUGGUGAAACAAGCUGGUGAAGUGCUGUAAUUCUGUCUCCUAAUUUUUCUUUCCUCACCUGCCAUAUAACAUAUAUAUAUGUAUAUAUAUACAAGUCAGAAAAAAAGAAAAAGUAGGUGAUUAAUUUACUAUUUUACUUUCACUUAAACUAUAUUCUCUUUUUCAUACAUUAAUAGAAUAUGAUAGUUACAGCAAAAAAAAAAAAAAAAAGAAUCAUCCCUCUAGAAAUCGACAACCAAACAAGGACAACAGUUUUUACCACCCCACAUGUAUUUUGUGUAUGUGUAUAUAUAUAUAUGCUUGUGAGUGUGCGUGUGCGUGUGCGUGCAAUCUGUAUUGAGAUAAAAAAAACAUAUAUUUAAUUAUAUAAAAAUUAUGAUAAAAGUAUCAUGGAAGUCCCUGUACUAAAAGUUGGAUUACAUUUUGCCCUUUUACUCAAAUGGUUUAAUUUAAACACUCAUUCAACAGCUAUUACCUAAAAUGCUACCACUUUUGAGGUAUAAAAUCAGUGGAAGUCUAAAUGAACAAAGUCCUAAGCCAAUCAAAACAAAGUCACCAAGAAAUGAAAAAACAAUCUGUUCUUAUCCUUUCGAAACAGUGACCAAAUACAAUGAAUUCAAAAGGUUGUCCUUUUCAUAUCUGCUUAUCAACCAAAUACGCAAUGAGAAAAAAAAAUCAUGAUCCGCCAGCAGAAAAGCUUGAAAUUUGAAUGGAUCAAAUGAAACAUAAAUCUAAUGUAAAACACACCUGGAGAAAGCUUAAAAGAAGAACUUUGAUGAGAUUUUCUGGUGUGAGCUCUGGCUGACGCUGCUGAUAUCUUCCUUCUAACUUCCCCAUUAUCGUCCCUCAAAACCCAAUAAUCUGUAAAACGAAGACUCCCCCAAAUUACUUCAGAUGUCUCUCUUAAAUUCUAUUUAAAAAAAUUAAAAAUCUAUAAAAAAAAAUCAGUUACUAUAAAAAAAAGAGAUAAGUGUGAAUUAAAAAUAUAAUCCCAAAUACUGAUUCAAUUGCAGACUGGGAUUUAUUUCUUACCUCAAAGGUACAGCAAUGGUUGUAACCUCUGUAACCUGUUUGUGAAACCUCUGUAACCUGUUUUACUAGUAAAGCCGAUAAUAAUCCAGAAACUGGUUGUAACCUCUUUGUAUUUGCCUGGGAAACCAGUAAAUCUUCUCAUUAUCAGCAUAUGUUGAUUUUUUUUAUAAUGUCGCAGGGAGGGAGGGAGGGACAGAAAGCAAGAGAGACGGCGAAGAGUUUUAGGAGGGAAAAUUAGGGGUUUCGGGGAAAUUUGGGGCUAAAAUGGGGGGAGAAUUUUUAAAAGUGAAAUUAGGGUUUUUAGAGGGAAAUUUUGGGAUAAAACGGCGCGUGAAAUUAUUUUUGCGACGUUUUAAAAAAAACGCCGGGAAUGUACCUUUUGUGGAUUUUUUUUGAAAACGUCACUAACAAAUUUAAAUUCUUUUAUUGAAAUGACGUCGUUUUGAGAAAUAUUAAUACAUAGUAAACGUCACUAACAAAUUUAAAUUCUUUUAUUGAAAUGACGUCGUUUUGAGAAAUAUUAAUACAUAGUAACGGCGUUUUUUGCUAAAAACGCCGCUAAAGCUCUCAUAUUUUUUAUAUUCAAUUAUUGUAUCUUUCAUAUAAAUUAUACAUAAAAGAAUUAUUAAAAUUUUAAGUAAUAUUUAAAAGAAUUAAAUAAUAUUAUAAAUUUUAGUUUUCUUAUUUCAUUUUUAUUUUUGUAUUUUUUUUCUUAUAAUUUGGUCCUAUCUAAAUUAAAUAAUUACCUAUAUAUCCAUAUCAAAUAUAUCAAAUGGUUUAAAUUAAAUAUUUUUAAAUAUAAAAGCAGUAAUUAAUUGUAUAAAAUUGUAUCAUUUAACAAAUCUCAAAUAAACCUUAAACCCUAAAUUAACCAUUCAAUAUACAUAAAGUCUAUCUAUUAUAUAUCUCUUACAUAAUAUAAACUAUACUCAUAAUUUCAAUAUAUUAAAUUUAUUAUUAUCUCUUUUACAAUUAUAUAAGAACAUAUUUAAUAUAUAAAUUAAAAAAUCAAUUAAUCUAAACCCUAAACCUUAACCCGACCCUUGAAACCCUAAAUCCCUAACUCCAAACCCCUAACUCCUAACCCCUAAACCUUAAAUCCCAACCCUUAAACCAUAAUCCUUAAAUCUAUAUAUAAUCCCCGAACCUUAAAAUAGUAACUCCUAAACUGGCUUUAAAUAUUAAAUUAACCAUAUACCGUAAAUCAUAUAAACCCUAAACUAUAAUGAUAAUUAAUUAAAUAUUUUAAAAUUAAUACUAUCUUAUCUUUUUCAAUUAUAUAUGAAAUUAUUUAAUAUAUAAAUUAAAAAACAUCAAUAAAAUAUAAAUUAAAAUGCUUUUUUUUGGAUGAUUUAAUGAAUAUGGCAGGAUUAACUCUAAACCCCUAACCCCUAAAUUCUAAACUUAGCCCUAAACCUUAAACCCUAACCCUUAAACCAUAAACCAUAAACAAUAAUCCCUAAACUAUAAUGAUAAUUAAUUCAAUAUUUUAAAAUUAAUACUAUCUCUUUUACGAUUAUAUAAGAUAUUUUUAAUAUAUAAAUAUCAAACACGUCAUAGACACUUAAAACUUUGAGAUAGUUAUACUAUUUUUUAUUUCACUUAUAGGAACCUCAUACACUCAAGCACUGCAAGUCUUUUGUGAAUUAACCAAUGGUUAUGAAGAUCUACUACUUACGGUUAUCAAUGCCAGCUGGAAUCACAAAUAUUAACAAGAAUCAGACAUAGAUAGCAAAAUUAAUCAAGCACUUUCAAGGGACAUUCUAGCAGUUCUUUAAAGAAAUGGAUUUCAAUCCAAAAUUCAACAGUUCUGUAACUAGCCUAGCAGACAGAUGGAAAAAUAAUAUUUAUUUUAGAGAUCAGUCUACCUCUUAAGUGGAAUAACUUUCUAUAAACUUUAACCUUGUGAACUUUUUUAUUAAUAUAUUUCUUCUAAUACUUCUUAGAGAUAAUCACAGUCAAGAGAUUCAACCAUUAAGAUUCAAUGGAUGGUUAAUAUAAGACCAAACAAAGACAAUGCAUCUAAUUUAAUAAGCUCAGCAGUGCUCACGAAUAAAGCAAAACAGUGUAUAAGAAAUUAUUUAGUAUGUAAAUUAAAAAACACUCAGUAAUGUACCCAAAAAACUUAAAAACUAUUUUAAAUAAUAGUAUUUUAAAUCAUGUACCCAAAAAACUUAAAAAUAUUUUUUGCGGCGCUUUUUAAAAAACGCCGCUAAAAAUAGAGCAUUAGCGGCGCUUUAUCAAAAACGCCGCUAAAGACCAGAGCAUUAGCGGCGCUUCUUCAAAAAUGCCGCUAAAGACCCGAGCAUUAGCGGCGCUUCUCCAAAAACGCCGCUAAAGACCCGAGCAUUAGUGGCGCUUAUUCAAAAACGCCGCUAAAGACUCGAGCAUUAGCGACGCUUCUUCAAAAUCGCCGCUAAAGACCCGAGCAUUAGCGGCACUUCUUCAAAAAUGCCGCUAAAGACCCGAGCAUUAGCAGCGCUUUUCGAAAAACGCCGCUAAAGCCCUGAAAAAUCAAAAAACGAUGUCGUUGUGCUUGGGUUUUUUGCGGCGCUUUUUGAAAAACGCCACUAAUGUUCAUUUUUAGCGGCGUUUUCCAAAAAACGCCGCUAAUACUGGAUCUUUAGCGGCGUUUUUCCUAAAGCGCCGCUAAUGCUUGAUUUUUAGCGGCGUUUUUUGUUCAAACGCCACUAAAAACGCCGCUAAAAGCCUAUUUUGGUGUAGUGAAUAAACAAGCAGAUUGAACGGCUGGGUAGGAGAUAGGCUGUUAAAACAGUUGUUGCCCAAAAGGUUAAAGUGUUGUAUAACCAAAACAUUGUGCACACGUUUAGUAUAGGUUCUAUUUUUUUUUCUUCAGCGGGUGGAGGACUUGGUACGGGUCCAGUGCUGGUUAAACCUAAAGAUGCGUCAUACUUGAGUUGGAAAUUCUGGGAAUUUGAAAUGGUACCAGGCUGCUUUGGAGGGUUCAAAGUGGCAGUGUAUGUGGCUGUUAUAAUUAGCACUGUGACUACUAAAAAUGUGUUACGCAUCUCAUGUGGGAUUCCCUUUGUUGACACCAUUUUUUUUAUAAAACAAGGUCGACUUGGGUUUUAAAAAUGAAAACAAACACGAGAGUCGCCACCAAUCCUUUUUGAUAAGGUGUGAUCGGGCCACCUUAAAAGUGGUUAUUUUUAAUAAACAAUUUAAUUUUAUUAAAACAACGAUUUCGGUCCACGAAAUUCAAAAAAUCGGUUCAGGAGUCAUUUACGUACGAGGAAUGAUUAGCACUCUCGUAACGCCCAAAAUUGGUACCUAGUUGAUUAAUUAACGUCUUAAUGUUGAAGGUCGAAAGAUUUUAAAAUACGAUCCUUAUAUUAAAAACUUGGAUAAAUCAAAUUAGCCGUUAGGACCCUCUCAUUUCAGAGAGAGAAAAUGUUAUACCCAAUGAGUUAGGGCAUGAUAUUUUACCUCUUCAAAAAUGUGCUUGUCUAAACAACUCGUACAGUAAAAUUUAAAAGGAUAUUCAAUUGUUUAAGUCAGGUGAAAAAAUUGUAGCCCAAUACGUUAGGGCACAAUUUCUCAAAAUUCUAAACAUUGAAUAUUGCCUUUAUUUAUUUUUUAGAAAAAUUCACGUCUCGAGAAAACAACGUGUCAUAUCCAAUGCGUUAGGAUUCAACGUAUUGAAUUCCCGAUAAUGAGUUUUUAUUUAUGUUUUUGAUUAAAGAGCAUUCUCGAUUAUUUAGAUUCAACGAAGAAAAUUAGAACCCAAUACGUUAGGGCUCAAUCCUCUCGAAAAUCCCAGAUAUUGAGUAUUGCUAUUAUUUUAUAAAUUUUCCUUUUUUCCAAAUCUGAGUAAAAAUUGAUGUAAUGGAAUAACAAUUAUGAUAAUAUAAGUAAAAAUAAUAAGAGCAAAAACAAAAAGAUAAAUAAAUAAGAAGACAAAUAUUAAUAUAUAAAAAAAUCAUUCAUGUAUACACAAUAAAUAAGUAAUAAGCAAAUAAAAGUGAAACAUUCUUUUAAAAUAAUAAUGAAAGCGUAAAUAGAUAAAUAAAUAAAGAAAAUGAAUAAAAUUAUAAGAAUGUAAAAAGAUAUAUGUAUGUACAUAUAUAUAUAUAAAUUAUAAGAUAUAAUAAGAAAUAUAUAUAAGCAUGUAUAUAUAUAUUUAUAAAAAUUAAAAAAUAUGUAUAUAGAUAUAUAUAUGCAUAAAAAUUAUAAAUUAUAAAAUAUAAAAAAAUAUAAGAAUGUAUAUAUAUGUAUAAAUUAUAAAUAAGUUAUAAAAAUAUGUACGGGUAUAGGUAUAUAUAUAUUAUAAAAAUGUAUGUAUGUGUAUAUAUAACAAUAUAUGCAUGUGUAUAUAGAUAACAAAAUUUGAAGUUUAAAAAGUAUAGAUAAUAAUAUUAAUGAUGUAAUAUAAUAAUAAUAAUAUAUUAAAAUGAUCAAUUUAAUAAUAAAUAACUAAAAUACCAAGCAGAGGACUAAAUCGAAACUAAACAAAACUUUAGGGCCGAAAUCAAAAAUGAAGAGUAGAGAAAAGGACUAAAUCAUAACGCGUCUGAAAGGAAAAGGACCAAAAAAGAAAUAAACCAAGUCACCCAAAACGCAGCGUUGCAAUGGACUAAAAUGAAAUCAGUGAGAAAUUAUGCAGUCCAAUUUGAAGAAUAAAAAAAAUCAAAUUAAAACAAAGUGCAAAGGUGGAGGGCUUAAUGCGCAAAUAUCCCUCCAAAGUAAAAAAACACGCAGAUCCUUCUCAGGGUCGGGUCACUGCGCGGGUCAGGGCUAAAACGGCAUCAUUUUGGCUCCUGACCCUAAACAGCAAAACGCCGCCGUUUAAUAACCUUUAUUUAAAACAUAUUUUUUCUUAGAAAAAAAAUCAUUUUUUAGGGUUUUAGAAAAAAAUUGCAGAGGAAGAAACUCUCCUGUCGUCAGCCGAAUGGGCCACCAUCGGCCCCGCCGUGGGCGGUGGCCAGAAGGCCAAAAGUUGGGUUUUUUAAACCCCGCUUCAAGGGCCGUCUGAAGAUCGAGUUUUCAUGACCCUAAGGCCAUGGGAAGAAACCCCAAACGUCGCCUUCCCCAUCCGCUUUCGGUGACUCGAAGGACUCCGGUGACGACACUUACACGGCGAUUCAGGUAUGUUUUCCUUUCUCUUUUUAUUCUAUUUAUUUCGUAUGUAAAAAAAAUGAAGAAAUGGACCGAGAGAAAAAGCCAAUCGGAAAAUGUAAAAGGAAUCACCUUUAAAACUGUUUUCUUUUUUUAUUUCUUGAAUGUUCGUGGAAAAAAAAAAGAAAAAAGACCCCCUUACAGAUGUAAAGAUCGGUUUUUAAAUCGAUUCUCCCCCCAAAAAAAUACAAAAAGUUUUUUUUUAUUUCUUUCUAUUCUUCCUGUCACUGCUUCGGUUGCUUUGCAAGUACUUGAUGGUGGCAAGUGGCGGUGGGUAGGUGACAGAGGGCAAGUGAGCGGCGAUGUGACAAUGGCGGCUAAUCAGGGCAAGUGGGCGACAGAGGCUGCGGCGCUAGGCUAGGGUUUCAGAAAAUUGAAACCCUAGUUUGACUGGGUUUGUUGGGCUGGUUUUUGGUCUGUAUUUGGGUUGUUUGUUUGGGCCAAGUUUGGGUUGAUAUGGUUAUAAUGGGCCCUUUGUAAUUUUUUGGGUUUGCCUGGGCAAAAUUCGGCUGUACACCCUUCUUUCCACGACUUGCUAUUGUUGCAAAUUUUUGAAGACUGACACCUUUCCUUUUAAAGAUUCGAUGUGGAAUGAAGAGAUGGAGGCUUUGGGAAGCGAGGCAGAGGAACCACUCAAACCUCCUGCUUUGCUUAUCAUGUCUUUAAUGGACUCCUUAUCGUCCACUCUCCCUUCAUCCAAUGGGUAUUGUGAUGGGAUAUCAAGUGCAGUCAAUCCCUUAGCAUUUUUGCAUUGAUAUGGUCAGCACACAAGCGUUUCAGCAGUAAUUUUACCACCUGUUAAUUAGAAUAUUCAUACAAGUAACCUUUGAGUAUAUAUAUACAUAAAUAAUUUCACUUGCAAAAUUAUCAUACCUUAGGUCUGUUUCUGAUAGCAGCAACAUGUAAAACAAUGUUGCCAUCAAUGUCUGCCCAACUCAGAAGUUCUUUCUCCCAACAGUUGGCAGCUUUAUGGCGGCUCCUUAUAAGCCACCCCACCAAGACUUGGAAAGCUUCAAACCUGUCAUUUUUUCCAUGAUUUUUUACAUGUUUUUGGUUCCACUGCAUAUUAUCAUGUAAAAGAAUCUAAGUUAGACCCAAGAGCAAAGAAAGCAUUAUUCAUGGGUAUAACUGGUGGAGUAAAAGGAUACCGUCUCUGGUGUCCUGAUACAAGGAAAAUUAUUUUCAGUAGAGAUGUGACUUUUGAUGAAUCAACCAUGAUGAAGAACAAUGAUUCACAAAAGGAUAACACAACCAAUGGCACUUUGCAGCAGGUGGAGCUUGAAAAGGUUAAUGAUGAUCCAGCUAAUAUUGAAGGAACAAAUGAUGAAGAAGUUUCGACCCAAGAACUUCUACAGCAACAUGAUUCAAUUGCAUAUAGAAGGCCAAGAAGAGAGAUUUGUAUGCCUGCUCGCUUUAAUGAUAUGGUGGCCUAUGCACUUCCAAUUACAGAUGAUGAUGUUCCUUCUACUUACACAGAAGCAAGAAGUAACCCUGAUGGUGUAAAGUGAAAGCAAGCUAUGAAUGAAGAAAUGCAGUCUCUUCAUAAAAAUAGGACUUGGGAGUUGGUGACACUACCCAAAGGAAAGAAGGCAAUUGGAUGCAAAUGGGUAUAUUCAAAGAAGGAAAGAUUUCCUGAUAAAAAUGAAGUUCGAUACAAGGCUAGAUUGGUAGUAAAGGGUUACACUCAGAAAGAAGGAAUAGACUACAAUGAAGUAUUUUCUCCAGUUGUGAAGCAUUCGUCUAUUCAGAUUUUGCUAGCCUUGGUUGCGUAAUAUGAUCUUGAACUAGUUCAGCUCGAUGUGAAGACCACAUUUUUACACGGUGAUUUGGAAGAGGAAAUCUAUAUGACUCAGCCAGAUGGAUUCAAGGUUACUGAUAAAAAAAAUUGGGUUUGCAAACUGACAAAGUCACUUUAUGGAUUGAAACAAUCUCCGAGGCAGUGGUACAAGAGAUUUGAUCAGUUCAUGAAAGGGCAAAGGUGUACAAGAAGUAAAUUUGAUCAUUGCGUGUAUUUUUAGAAGCUACAAGAAGGAUUUUUCGUAUACUUGCUCUUAUAUGUUGAUGAUAUGUUGAUAGCAUCUAAAAGUAAAGUUGAAAUUGAGAGAUUGAAGACUCAACUCAACCUUGAGUUUGAGAUGAAAGAUCUAGGUGAAGCUAAGAAGAUCCUUGGCAUAGAAAUAUGUAGGGAUAGAGCUCAUGACAGAGUUAGUUUGUCUUAGAAGCAAUAUUUAAAGAAGAUACUACAGAAGUUUGGCAUGAACGAGCAGACUAAAGUUGUAAGUACCCCGUUGGCUUCUCAUUUCAAGCUUUCUACACAACUAUCUCCUUCGACAAAUAUGGAACAAGAAUACAUGUUACAAGUUCCGUAUUCUAAUAUGCAAUUGUGUGUACAAGACCCGACAUUUCACAGGCAGUUAGUAUAGUGAGCAGGUAUAUGCAUAAUCCUGGAAAAGGACAUUGGCAAGCUGUGAAAUGGAUUCUACGGUAUAUUCAUAAGACCAUGGAUAUUGGAUUACUGUUCAAGCAGGAUACUACACUUGGUAAAGGUGUUGUUGGGUACGUUGAUUCUGAUUAUGCCGGUGAUUUGGACAAACGGAGAUCAACCAUUGGUUAUGUGUUUACUCUUGCUGGAGGACCAAUAAGUUGGAAGUCUACACUGCAGUCUACAGUUGCGUUGUCAACCACAUAAGCUGAAUACAUGGCUGUAACAGAGGUUGUAAAGGAAGCUAUUUAGUUACAAGGUAUGGUUAAAACCUUGGGUUGGUUCAGGAGCAUAUUAAUGUGUAUUGUGAUAGUCAAAGUGCUAUUCAUUUAGCAAAGAAUCAAGUCUAUCAGGCACGUACAAAGCAUAUCGACGUACGUUUCCAUUUUGUGCGGGAAAUUAUUGAUAAGGGGAAAAUUCACCUUCAGAAGAUUAAGACUGCAGAUAAUCCUGCAGAUAUGAUGACCAAGGUGGUAACAACAAUCAAGUUCGAACAUUGUUUGAACUUGAUCAAUAUUCUGCAUGUUUAACAGUUGAAGAAUCCACUAUCAAGUGUUGUUGACAAAGGCAGAGAGAAUUGUGUGAAGAUAAGAUUACUCGAAUCAAAUCUUCAAGGUGGAGAUUAUUGGGAAUUAUCCAUAUUUAUGGAAAAUCAAAGAUAUGGGUAUCAAAUAAUAGAAAUUCAAAGAUAUGGGUAUCAAAUAUUGGAAAGUCAAAGAUAUGGGUAUCGAGAUAUUGGCAUAAUAAAAUUUGAGAUAUUUGCAAUAUAUGGUCUCUAAUUGUAAAGUGACUUUGCAAGUUGAUCCCUGAACCUCAACUAUAAAUAAGCAUGACCAUCUCUCAUUCUGUAUCUCAAACUUGCCAUUCUUUACUUAAGGCAUUGUUUUCUCUCUCUCUCUUUGUAAAUUCUCACUUGUAUUUUGGAGUGAAAUAUAUUUGGUAGUGGCCGAGGACGUAGACAAAAUUUGCUGAACCUCGUUAAAUUAUUGUGUUCUUUAUUGUAUUAUUCUGCAUGAAUUGUGUGUAUGAUUGUAGUGAUUUAUUGUGCCAUUAAAUUACGAUUGAGGGAUAUUCUGGCUAAGGAAGACCUGGUACUUAAGCGAUCCUUGUGAUCCACCUCUCUUUCCUGGGAAUUGAACUUAGUGUGAUUUUUUAGUACAAAAAUUUUACUCUUUUACACGCUUCCGCACAACAUCUUUAAUGAUAAAAGCUUAAAGAAUAAUCUUUAAAAUUUGGUUGUUGGUAGCUUUAUUUGGGUAGAAUUUGAGAUUUAGUUCAUAUAUUUUAAAUGUUAAAAUUUUAAUUUUUUUUACUUUUUCAAUUUAAUAUUGUAAAAUAAAACCAUAAAAAAAAUUGUGUACAAAUAGUAUUGAAUUUACAUAAAAAUAUAUAAAAAAUGCAGCAUAAAUUUGAAUAAUAAUACAUGAACACUUAAAAUGAUAAUAUAUGAAAAAAAACUUAAGAUAAUAAUAUACGAUAAAUUUAAACAAUAUUAAUAAUGAAUUUAAAAUAAUAUUAAGCAUAAAUAUUAAAAUAAGGUUAGAUUUAAAAAUAUAUAAAAAUAAUGGAAUAAUAAAUACUUAAAUAAAUUAGAAAAAUAAGCAAAUUAAAUCAAGCUAAUAAGGAUUAAAUUGGAUUUAAAACAAAAUUAGAAGGCAAAAACGUAAAUAAAAUAAAAUAAAGGACCCAAUUGAAAGGCGCGAAUAACUCAAAGGGACCAAAUGGGGAAAUAUCCCCGCCUUUUGAAAUGCAUCGUUUCACCAGGACCAAAUCAGAAACCAAAUAAAAUUUAAAGUAUCAAUUGAAGAAAAUAAAAAAAUUUUGAAUUAAAAUAAUAAAAAAUACGGAGGGGGCAAAUGCAUAAAUAUCCUUACCAAGACCAGAACAGGCAGAUCUAGGUGCCUCUGGGUCGAGUCAUCGGGUAUAGUCAAUACGGCACCGUUUUGGAGCCAUUGAAACAGACUUUAAAUGGUGCCGUUGCAUGGCCUUUAUAAAACAAAAAAAAAAAGAAAAAUAAACAAGUUUUUAGCCAUUUCGAAUCAGAUAAAAACCUUAGCCACACGCCGUUUAGAAGCCUGGCCAUUCAAAGGCCAAUCGAUCCCUGUCUGAACUUCGAUUGCGACAGAGUGAGCAAGGAUUCGACACCACCAAGUAAUUUUCUCACCUUAAAUCGUUUUUUUCUUUUUUUACACAUGAUGAGUAAACAAAUAGAUGAGUCUAGAACAGAAAAGAAAAACAACGAAAAGAAAAAAAAGGUUUCAAAUCACCUUUAGAAAAUUCUGAUUCUUUGAUUUUUCGUCCCCUUUUAUAGAUUUGUAAUUGGCUUUUUAUAGCCGAAACGAAAAAAAGAAAAUAUGUAAAAAAGAAAUCUAUUAUGUUAUCUAGCUAUUUUCAUUUGCUGGCAUAUUGUUGCUCGCUUUUUACUGUUAUUCGUUUCUGUUUCAGGUGUACGAAGGAGCGAUGACGUGGAGGUGCAACACGCGUGGAGGCCUGGUUCCCAGCUGCGGCGUGGACUGUUCCAAAAACCCUAGGGGUUUCUGGAGAUUUCAAAUUGGGCCACUUCAAAUCGGGCUAGGGUUUAAUUAAGUCUAGGAUUGUAUUGGGUCUAGGAUUGGGUUAGAUUUUGGGUUUAGGCCUCAAUCCGAAUUUGGCCUAUUGUAACUGAACUUUUGGACUUAUUAAUGGUUAUUUUGGGUAUUGGGCUAUUAGGGUUUGUUGGGUUUGGGUUUUAGAUAUUUGGGCUGAUUUGUGUUUGUUUAUUUUGGGUUGUUUGUGUAAUUCUGGACUUUUUAUUUUAUUGGACUUUUAUUUUUUGAUUUGGUUUUUUUUUUGUGUGGGCUCGAGCAGAUUGGGCCUGCUACAAUAUUGAUGUAAAACUUUGUCACUAAAGUGCAAAUUGUAACAAUAGUUAAGUAGUCUUUUGUUCGAAUAACAUUAGAAGCACAUCAAAGUCAAAGCACAUAGACUUUAAGUUCAUUGUUGUUAAAAUAAAAGUUUAGGGUGGUUAGAUGUCUAUAAAGUAUAUUGAGACAAACUCCAUGGUUGUGGAUUCGCUUAUUAAGGGACUACCACCCAAAGCUUUUUUCCUGAGCACACUGUUGAUAUGUGUGUAAUGUCAUUCAAGGAUAUUUGAUUUUAGUAGGAGUUUGUACUUUUAAACGUUUUUAUGUUAUAAAUACAUUUUCAAUUAUUUUAGUUUACAAAUAUUAAGUUUUUUUUUUUUGUAGAAAGAAAGUUUAUUUGGUAAAGUUUGAUCUCACUAAGAUUAAUGUGGACCGGUUAGAAUAUGCAUGUUUGAAUCAUAUUACAUGUAAUUUUCAUGUUACACAUCCAUACUUAAUCUAUGUCAUUUGGUUGUGCUAAUAUAUGUGAUUAAGGCUGGAUUUAGUUAUGAUAUAUGUAACAAAGUUGCAUUCUUUCUAUGUUAACAUAAUUAAUGGACAGAUUGUUCGAAAUACCUUUUAGAUACGAUAGUAAAAUUUUGAGCUCAUAAGGUUAUAUAAUGACAUGUAAUUAUAAGGUAAUCGGUAUAUAUAUAUAUGUCAUCCAAGUGGUAUAUAUGGACAUCACAUAUAUAAUAAGCAUGUUACAUGUUAUUAUUUACUAUCAUAAAAGAUUAACUCAAAUUAAAAGUGACCUAAUUUGGUUAAGAUUUAUUGGAUUUUAGUUAUUAAAUAAAAUAUAGGUCAAUAAUAUGUGUAGAUACUCUAGUAACUAAUUUCUAAUUUAUGAUGGGCGGAUUAGAAAUUAGGUUAAUGUGAAAAUGUUAUAUAUUAGGAUUUUGGUCUCCAAGUUACGCAUAUGUAACUUUUCUAAUAUCCCAUCUUGAGAAAAGAGAGAGUCACCUUCUUUAGAUUACUUGUGAGCUAAUUUGGAAGAUCAAAACCUUAAAAUUCGUAGAUUUCAAGAAAUCGGUAAAUUCAAAUACGCUUCUGCAUUUAGUUUUGUUCUUAAUUAUUUGACAUGAUAGAUUCUGAUUUAUUAAGUUUUGUAAAAGAGUUUUACGGUUUUAAUAGGAUAAUUACGAAUCCCAAAUAUAAACUGUAAAACGGACAUGAAGAAUAUAAAAGAAAUAUUACAAGAAUUUUGAAAGAGAAAAUUAAAUUGAAAAUUUUAAUGUUAUUUUUAUCUUUCAUAAUUAUUUUUAUUUAUAUUUUAUUUACAAGAACAUUUUAUUAAGAGUUUAUUAGGAUUAAGUUUAUUUUUACUUUUAUUAAAUAAAUGUUAGACUAAAAAUAAACUUUUUUUCCACUGUUGGUAUAAUGGAUAGUAGGCUAGGUUGUCCUUUUUUUAUUUGUUUAGGCACUCGUGUAUGAGAAUAAUUUAUAUUAGAAUAGUCCUAAAAGUUAAAGAUUUUAAUAUUAAUAAAUUUUUGUCACAUCAUCAAAUUUUAAAAAUAUAAAAUUAUUAUUAUACACUCGUUCAUAUUAAAUUUACUUUUUAACUUUCGUUCUUCUUAAACAUAAAUAAUUAAAAUAAAAAAUAGAAAAAUAAAAUAUUUAAAAUUUAUACAAUCCUUAAAGAUUUAAUCCAAUAUUUUUUUUUUGUUUUAAAAAAUGUAUAAUAUGAAAUAGAAAAAAAAUUAAAAUGGAAAAACUCCAUUGCCUAUAAACUAAUUUUUUUUAAAAAAAUUGGUUACAAAAAUUAAAAAUAUUAACUUCUGAAAAAAAACUAAAAAUAUUAACAUUUAUAAAAGAAGAAAAGAUGUUUAUUUAUNNNNNNNNNNNNNNNNNNNNNNNNNNNNNNNNNNNNNNNNNNNNNNNNNNNNNNNNNNNNNNNNNNNNNNNNNNNNNNNNNNNNNNNNNNNNNNNNNNNNNNNNNNNNNNNNNNNNNNNNNNNNNNNNNNNNNNNNNNNNNNNNNNNNNNNNNNNNNNNNNNNNNNNNNNNNNNNNNNNNNNNNNNNNNNNNNNNNNNNNNNNNNNNNNNNNNNNNNNNNNNNNNNNNNNNNNNNNNNNNNNNNNNNNNNNNNNNNNNNNNNNNNNNNNNNNNNNNAAAGGGAAAUUUGAAACACUUACCACCAUUCCCCUAUCAGAAAGUCUUUCCCACAUUCAACUAGAAAUCAGAGCUCACCAAAAUGUUUAUUCUUUUCAAUCUGAACCGACUCUACAAUCACUUAUUGCUCAUGGUCUUCAGCCUAUAAACCCAGAAGCAUUAUUAACUUCUAAAUCCAAAACACUAAUAUCAGCAUCCAACCCUAUAAUGAUAGUCUUAUUGACUCAUUUAAACAAGUUUCCUUUGUCAGUCUAUCAUAUUCCGUAUUUGGUAAUCGCCAAUAUGAAUUCAGACUUUAGGAUAGCUAGAAUAAGAAUAACAGCAAAGAUGCAAAGGGAAACGACUUGUAGGAGGAGGAAGAAACUUCUUUUGGGUACAAACCUGUAUAGCAUAUAAUAGGAUGUCCUGUAUAAUGUCACGAGAGCUAGAACCGUUGCAAAGCAGUAAUUAGUAAUGCUGAGUUUAGAAUAGAAAACGGAUCCAGGAGGCGAAAGAUAGAGAGGAUACUGAAGUUCGAGUGUCCGUAUGGAAACAGCAACUAAAAGCAUGUAACAGGUCCCAAACAAGGAAAGUGUUAUGAGAAUAAACAAGGACAUUGAACGGCUGGGUAGGAGAUAGGCUGUUAAAACAGUUGUUGCCCAAAAGGUUAAAGUGUUGUAUAACCAAAACAUUGUGGACACGUCUAGUAUAUUUUCUAUUUUUUUUUCUUCAGCGGGUGAAGGACUUGGUACGGGUCCAGUGCUGGUUGAACCUAAAGAU
rnacentral:lncRNA from 1 species